UAAAAUAUUGCUCUUUGAUCAAUGCACUACUCUCAAACUAUGUAGACAGGACCAUUAACUCCCCAGUGUUGCCACCAUCAUUAGUCAAGGUAUUGUUGUCCACAUUACUGUCAUGUCUCCGGCUCGAGCUAGUUGCUGAAUGCAAUUGAGAAAGUGUCUUAUUACCCGAUUCAAUUCUUUUCAAUGGUGCAAUUGAUGCUACUGCAUUCCUUUUUACCUUUAGCUUUGUAUGUAGAGUAGAUAACUAUAAUUUUUUAGUGUCUCUAGUUUCUCGAGUAAUCUUAUUGGAUGUUGUCCGGCUCCUUCCUUCAUGUUUUGAUAUAGGGCGAUCUUCCUCCCGUUGAUGUGCUUCCUCUUCUUCUAUUAUCUUGGUGAUAAAAUAUUAAAGAUAUGGAGGAUUUCUAACCUCAUCAAUUACAUAGAACAUCUUGGUUAUUCGCUACUUUGACUUACUCUAACAUUGAUUAUGAAUUUUCGUUAUAGUUUGAAGGUUAACAAAAUCAUUCUUUGGUUCCUCUAGCUUCUUAUCUAGCUCAGCACACCACAACUUUAGCCAUAUGCUAUAGUGGACAAAUAUCAAUUUCUCUAAUUAUCUAUAUAAUAGCUUGUUGCUUACCUUUAUGUGAAUCAAUAUAAACAUUGAUUAGUUAUGUUCAUAACUUCUCAGUGUCGUUGUUUAUGAAAGUAUAUGAACAACAACCUAUCUUAAAUUUGGUAUGUCCCCUCUAAAUUAUAGUUAUAGUCACCACUCGAUUGUAAAAAUAUAUAUAUAUUAUCAUUAGUAUAACUAAUAGUUAAUGUCAAAUAUAAUUUAUAAUAAAUGUGUGUAACUAUUUUUAUCAAGAUCCAUAUUGUAAUAAUAUGAUACAACUAUGCUAUUGGAGAAUGAACGGAUUAUUUUUCAAAAUAAUCGAUCCUCCGUAAUAGUAUUGGCGGUUGCAAUAGUAGUAUAUAUGGUAAAAAUCAAUAUAUAACAUUUCUUAGUGUCUUUAAUAAAUCUGAUUGCAUUCUAAGACUAUACCAAAAUCAAAUGAUCGAAUUUUAAUAAUAUGCUAUAAGAUAAAUAAUUUCAUUACUAAUUUUUAAAAAUAUUAAAAAUUAUGAAUUAAAUUAUACUGAAUAUGAAUUUACUUAUAUUAUAGAUGACUUGGUCUAUAUGAACUUUGGUCCCGCAAUCAAUGACAUAUAAAUAUUGCUCGACCUCACUUGUGGAUGCUUUCUUAAUCUUCUCUUUGUUGUAAUCAACAUAUGUCUAAUAUGAGAUAUUUGGGAAUGCUUGUCUAUAUCAAUCUUAUAAAGGACAACGUAGAGUAGUUCUACUCCUAUUAUAAUUUCAUUCCUGGUAUCCCAAAAUCUAGAAAAAUAAUUUUUUUCUCUUUUUUUCCAUUGCUCGAUCUUGAAUACUUGGAAUCAGACUAUUCUUGUAAGGUGACCAUUGCCUUGAGACCUUAUCUCUUUUGCUAUAUUGACUUUAAGGCAAUGAAAUUUAUAGUAAAUCAAGUGAUUAUGGAUUGUAGUAUCUCACCAUUUGUAUACUUUUACAUAAAAAAAAUGAACCCAAUGAUGAUUAUAUAUAAACUUCGAUUAUACUUGAGCUAUACAUUUGCUAAUUAAUGAUAGCUUACAAAUAUUUUUCAGCAUUAGAUUCGAGCUAUGCAUACAGUCCAAAACAAUACUUUUUUUUCUCUAUCAAUUAUAAAUCGAUCUUCUUAAAAUUAGCUCGAUUGUCGAUGAUUAUUUAGUUAAUAUACCAUGAUCUAAUCUCCUCUAUUAUGAUAUCCAUUAGGUUUUCAAUAUAGCUUACAUCCUGAAUCUUGUUGAAAGAAUUAAUUAACUUAUAAAAAAAUAUCCGUCUAUUGUAAUAUACAAUAAAAUUGAUGAGACUCAAUCUUGUUGGCUUUAUCCAACUAUCACAUAUUAGUGUCACCCUAAAUUCAUCUCAUUACUUCUUGAAGGAUUUGAUAUAAUAAUUUAAUUCUUCUAUCUCCUCGUCUAGAUAUACAUGAUAGAUCUCCUUUGGUAUUAGAAAUUGGAUCCAUAUGAUAACCUUUUAAAUAUAUAAUAUCACGCUCUAAUAAUAUAUACUUUAGGCUAUAUUCGUUGAAAUCUUAUAGAAGUUGAACUAUUUAGUUAUUGCCUUCUCAAUAUUUCAUUUUUUUUUCUUUUGUAUAUGCAUCAUCAAUCUAUAUUUACUUUAUUGUUUGUGACUGAUAGAUUUACGGAUCAAUAUCAAUAAUAUAUAAUGCUGACAUCCUACUAAGUUCUCAGAUAAAAUCACGAAUUCUAUCCUACCUUAUGCUACCAAUCUAACUCAACUUAAGAGUAGGAGCAGUUGCCUAUCUACAAUUUCUGUAGCACAAAUUCACUAUCACUAAUAAUAAUGUCGACAUCUACAAUUUCUAUAGCACAAAGUCACUAUCACUACCAUACUCCCAUCAUGAGUUAGGUUGUAGUGUCUCAUUACUUCCUGGUACAUGCACUAAUGCUUAUUAAUGCAUGAAUAUCAACUAUAAGAUUUGGGUCAACAUUAUUAUUGUGACCCUCAUAUUUAUCAUAAAUCAAUUUAUUCGUAGCCCUAUAAUAUUCUUUUUCGGCUCUUUCUUCUUUUUAAUUAUUUCAUAUCAAAUAUAUAAAAUUGAUCUAGGUCAAAUUAUGAUAAAGCAUUAUUAAAUAUAAUAGUUUUACCAUUAAUAUAAUUAAUUACUUCUUAAUUAUUCCUUAUUCACCAUUAUAAACAUGUCAACACUUUAAAAAGAAUUAAAGAUAUUUAAUUGACCUAAUAUGAUUUAAAUUUUAAUUAAAUAAAUAUUAAAUAUAUUAAUCAUAGUAUUAACAUAGUUAAUUAAUCUAUAAUUAGUCCUCUUUAACUACUAUAAAUAUGUCAAUUACCCUAAUAUGUAUUAAAGAUAUUAAAUUGACCUAAUAUGGAUCAAUUUUUAAUUAAACCAUCAUUAAAACUAUUAAUCAUAAUAUUAAAAAUUUAAUUAAAACUUAAUUAAACAUAUUAUAUCAUCACAAAUAUGUAAAUCACAUUAAGUAUCUAAUUUCAAAAAAAACAUUAAAUAUACUAAUCAUAACAUUAAAGGUAUUAAUUAUUCCUUAAUUAAUAAUAUUCCAUCACCAUAAAGACCUCAAAUAGCAUAUUAGAUAUUGAGAAUAUAGAAUAUGAUUAAUCAUUUUAUAGAUCAUAAAAAAUUAAGAAAAAAUAUACCUUUAAUUAUAUAGUUCUUCCUCUAACUUAGGUGCUAAUCCUCCAUAAUCAACCUGAUUCAAUCCAUAAAUAAUAAUUUUAUAAAGUUUAAGAGAAUGUAAAUAUGAGAAUGAAAAAAAUAUAUAAGUAGAAAAGUGAUUGAAAGAGUAAUAAGUUAGAGAAAAAUGAAAGGGGAGACGAAGGAGUACUGGUUCAAAUGGUCAAAUAGAUUGUUUGAAUCAAAUCAAUCUUGGUCUGAUUAUUUUGAUAGGUACAAACCCUGAUUUGAUAAUAUAGGAUCAUAUAGCAUAAAUUAUCCGGUAUUGAAAGGUUCACAUAUCAAUCUCUUAUUAUAUCGGCACGUAUCGCCCAUAUUGAAUAGUAUACUGCAAUACGAUAUAUUUUGCUAUGAUAUGUGAAAAUGGUUUUGUUUCUUCUCUAUCACUUUAAUUAUUUCACAUUACUUAAUUUGGGUCCUUUGCUCUAAGUUCGACCUAAUCAUUGUUGUGUUGAUGUUGAUGCAACAAAACAUUCAAAUAGAUCUUAGUGACCUUCACAAAGGUUGACAUAUGUGAUGGCUUCACAUAAGCAAAAGAAUUGAUGUCUCAUUUAUGCCAACACACAUUGUGUAGCCUAUCUUUUAUGUGAACCAUUUGUAAACCUAAUGUCAUAUAUGAUGGAUUGUUGAUUCAAUGUUUUGCCAAAUAGUUCCAAACAAUAUGGUAGUUGAAAUAAUUAUUGAUCUGAGCUAUCAAAUUGCAGCAAAUAUUUGUGGUGUCCACAUCAUCUAAUGGAUAACUUUGUAUAGGAAUCUCUUCAGCCAUUUCUGGCUCCCACAGAACCAGAAGCCAGAAUCCUAAAAGGAUUUGAUAUUUAAUUCUCUCUCUCUCUCUCUCUCUCUCCAUGUCAGUGCUCCCAUAUGAAGAAGCCCACAGAAUUCUCAUUGCUCUUUUUGCUCACCCUUCAUUAAAUUGAAACUUACUUCCAAGAAGAAAGGAUAUGAUAUCAGAAGUUUAUUUGCAUCAUAAAGGAACAGAAAGCAAAGGAACACAGAAAGGAACAAUAUGCUUGGUCUAAGAUUGAGAUAAUUAGGCCAAAAUAACUUGAAUUAAUUUCAUAAACUAUUUUAUCUAUUGCUGUCCCAAACCAUCAGUUUGUAUCUGAAAUGUUGAUAUCGAUCAGGUUAGUGAUCCAACCACACGCAAAGACCCAUCUUCUUUUGGAGACUGUAGGGUUCAUCUCUUAGAGAGCUGAACACAACCAUACUAUGGUAGCUUCUGCAGAAAGAUCAACUUGCAGGUUUGACUUGGUAUAUUAACUUGACUCCACAGAAUUAUUUUGAGACAAUGUAGGCAACUGAGAAACUUAAUCACCAAAAGUCUUAGCAAAAGUUGGGACAGUAUAUCACCUGUUCUUCUCUUUCAUAUCUUGCAGACAUUGCUGUUCUGAUAUCAUGCAGAAAUGACAUGGAAGGUACUCAAAGCUCUGUUAGGAUCCUUGCAGGCAUCUGCUUUUUAGAAUUCUUCCAAAGAGAUGAGCCUCACCUGUCUGCACCCUUAAAAAUGCUUCUUUCUUGCAAAACAAUUUUCACAGAUGAGGAGGCUUUAACCAUAUACUGUUGUCAAAUGCCCUAUAAAUGAACCAUCCUUUCUUUCUGACCUUGGAACUGUUUUGCACAGUGUUCCUGCUGAAUGAUAAAUGAUUCCAUCAUAUAAGCAGUAGACAAUCAUAUAAAUAAUUAGGCAUCUACUUGUGCCAUAAUUCAUGCUCGAUUGCAUCAAUAAGAGGGCUUGCACUCAGAUAUAUAGUUCAAAGUUGUGAAAUUAUAAGAGAAUUCUGAAGGAGGUAAAACCAGUUCAACUUUCAGAAUUAAAAUGUUGAAACUCACAUUUCCAAUGCACCAUGCUAAAGAUGAUCACUGUUCUCUCUUUAAGAUUUUGCCACAACCAAUCAAAACAUAGCCAAGUUCAGUACAACUACUGACAACAAGACAGCAUUCAAGCAAUUUAUUUUCCUCAGAUAAACCACCCAAGCAAGGAAGUUGGCAAGAGUGUGUGCCAAUCAGCAGAUGCAGACUAAUGGAAGCCAUUACUUAUUUCCUUUUUCUUCCAUCAUCAAGAAACUUAGCCAGAUUGAGAUUUCCUCCUAAGUAAGCUAUUGUUAUUCUUCAUGCAGUCACGAGGAAAUGUUCCUUCUUAAGCCACAAAUGCAUAAUAAGAAAAAGAGUAAUCUGCUAAAUCUAAAAUGGGGCAUAAAUGAUUGAAUGUUUGGCUGCUGAAGGAAUGUGAAUUUGAACCGAAUAAAAUUAAUCUAGACAUUAACGAUACCAUCCACAUCAACAAGAAUUUUCAUGUAGUUCCAGAACAACACAAUCCUAUGGGACGCAACGAGUUCUAGAGAGAGACCAGUCUGGUCUAUAAAAAAAAAACUCAUAAAUAUCAGUACAGAAGUCCACUAAAAAGUAUAAGGGAGGAAGAAGAGACCAAUCAAACAAAAUGACAUACCACAAGCAAGCACGCAUAUAUAUGUAAGGUUCAUCCACUACAACUUGCGUCUUGAUGUUUACCUUCACAUUUGCAGCAACAAAUAGAGUCAUUUCUGAUCAAAUGACCAAAAUCCUCAAAAAAUUUGGAGGGCACAUGCCAUGAUCGCUUCGGCGAUCUUUCUACCGUGCGCCUCUCUCGCCGCCGAGAAUGCCGACACCUCGAUGUGAUCCGAGGACGAAAACCCCAAGCAGAGAACGAGGUUCGGAAGACUUGAGCGGCAGGUCGCGGAUCGAAGACAAAGAGGAGUUAGGAUUUGGCAACCCACCGGCGGAGGCCGACGAGGGCAUUGGCGACGCCAUCUCCGGCUGGGCGGAGUUUGUCGUAAUUAGGUGGCCCGUGUUGAGAUCCGUGCAAACACUUGAUUAAUGUGCUUAACACUAAAUAUGGCGCGUGAACAACGACGUUCAAGACGCAUCGAGAUCCGUGCAGACACUUGAUUGAAGUGUUUGUUUAAGAUAAGGCGGCUGAAACCGUUAUGAGUGGUUAAGUGAUGAGUUAAACUAAAUAUGAAGACUGAUCAACGUUCAUCCCUUCUUGAGAUUCGUGCAGGCACUUGAAAUAGGGCGGCUAAAACUGUUAAUAACCGUUAGGUAAUGAGGCAAAAUGAAAUAGGGCGUUUAGCCAACGUUCAUUCUGCUUUGAGAUCCGCGCUGCAACUUGAUUAAUAGUGUUUACUGUUCAAGAUAAGGUGGCUUAAACUAAAUAUGAAGCUUGAUCACACCUUGAGAUCCGUGCAGACAUUUGAUUGGCGCCUUUGAGAUUUGCAUCGAAUUUGGGGAUUUCAAUUUUGUUUCGUGGACGUUAUUUAUCCCAUUAAUAAUUUGAAUAUGAUCCAAAAAAAUUUUUUAAUCAUUUUAGUACUAUAUGCAUUCUUAAAUUAAAAAAUAAUAAUUAGUCAAUUCACUGCAUAUUGUGACUUGAUUAUAUCAGUCAAUUCAAAGAUUAGUGAAUUAUUUUUCCUAAAUCUCUCACUUGAUUUUAAAAUUUUUACUUUUUAUAAAUUAAUAGUUGCUCGAAUUGCUUAGAUUGUCUUUCAACCAAAUUUGUUAAUAUAUUAAUUAUUAUAUCUUAUUGAUCUUCAAAUUUGAUUCUCUUUUGUUGUUUAAUAUCCCUUCUUUCUUAUAAGGUAAGAUUAUAUAAUCUCCCAUAAUAUAAGAGAUUGUAUAUUAUUCUAGAUGAUUAAUAUAUUAAUUAUCAUAUCUCAUUAAUUUUGAAUAAUCGUAUCUUCCCCUUAAAUGACUCGCAUGACAAUCUUAUAAAAAUCUAAUUAAUACAUUUUCUUUCGUAAACGUCUUUCGCGUUCUCAAAAGGUUAUAUAAUCUUCUAUCAUCUAAGAGUAAAAAAUCAUAAUCAUACGAUAAAUUAUAGUUAAUGAAUGUCGGCUUCAUCCGUACUUCAAUUUAUAUUUUAUCAUAAAAAUAAAAAAUAUAUAUUAAUCUGUCAUUUUCUCUACAAAGACUAGUAAGAAAGAAUCACCCUAUCACAAACUUUUAUCUUAACAAAAAAACUGCAAGUUGGGGAAAAUAUAUUUAGGUGAUCACAUCAGCCUUGAAACACAUAACGCAUGACACAACAACAUGUACAAUAAGUUCUCAAUCCAAAAUUGGCUCAUAGUCAUAUACAAAUGACAAAACAUGAUACAAGUUGUCAUGAAAGGCCAAGUUUGAAGCAACCCAACAAGCAUUCAAAGGAGACUUUCCAACCCUUGUUAUCCUAAUUUCUUUGGCAUGGUUGGGGGUUUCAGAAAUGCUACCCAAGUCGGGACCCACCUUGGUGAAUUCCCCCAAGUGGGGCUCUUGAAGUUUUGUUGAUCUAUCCAAAUCAAUUUCGAUAGCAAAGUUGUCCUUUACCCUUUCAUGGUGGGUAGGAUGGAUUACUUUGAUCUACUUGACUCAAAAGCUCUUCAUGUCAUCGUUGACUAUGAUCUAUCCAUCUCUCUUUAAGAUGUUAACAUGAUAAUGAUGUAUUAGGUUAAUUUAUCGAAACUUUGGGCCAUUAACAAUGUGCUAUUGCUUGUUUUGGUAUACGUAUAACAUCAUCUCAUUGUGUCCUCUUAUCACAUCCUCCUCUCUUUCUUUAAUUUUAGGUCAUUUUCAUGAAUCACAUUAAAUAUGUAAAGCCAUGCAAGAUCACAUUAAUUAAUUAUGCAUCACAUUAUCUACAAAGCUAAGUGGAAUUGAGACAUGAAUGAAAGUGUAUGUUAACUUAUUUGAUAAAAAUCUUAAUAUUUUAUCAUUAGAUCUCUAUAAUGAGAUUAUAUUUUUCUUGAAAGAAAACCCUCUAAUAUUAUAGGAUAAAAUAAUGGAUGAAUUUUUCCAAAAAAAAAAUUGCCCCUAUUAGUCAUGAUUCCUAAAAUACUCAAUAAUAAACAUCAGUAGCAAAUAUAUGAAUUGAUCUAUAGAGUGAAAUUGAUUAUUACUAUGCUAGAGGUUAGUCUAAUUCUCAUGUAUAAAGUUUAUGGUGUUAUUUUUGAUAUUUUAAUAUUGUAAGUUUUUUUAUUAAAAAAAUAAGAUAAAUGAACUCGAAACCCAAUAUAAAUAAUCUCAUAUAAAAAAUAUGAUUUCAAAUAAAUAUUUUUAUUUUAUAUCAACUAUAGUAAUAUUUUUCUAAAAUACUAUCAUUUAUAGACAUGGUACAACUAUGUAUUAUUCGAGUCGUAUUAUCAAGAAACAUUUCAAGGAUUAUGAUAAAUAGGGGUAUCAUUUGAGAAAUAUAGAAAAAGAACACAUAAGGUGAAAAAAAAAACCUUAAAAAAAAGAUUUUUUUACGAAAAAUCAUCCCAAAUUAAUAGACAAUUCAUAAGUCAAUUAUUCAAUUUAGAGAUUUACUAAAAUUGGCUAACAAGUUAACUGUCUCAUUGGAUUCUUGCAAUGUGAGCACUGACCACAGUUUUUGUUUUCAGAAACAAGAAAAAAUGUUGUGAGAAAAUAAGAAGCAUUUUUUAUUUAUUUUUGCAUUAACUAUUUUAAUUACCUUUUUUAUUUGUAAUAAUUGAUGAUUUGGGAUCAGGAUUGCUUGUACAAAGUCGUGAAGACCACCACAUCUCUUUUCCUGCCAUUUUUGUCCAUCCAAAUUAUUCGUUAGUAUCAAAACAUUCGUCUCCUCUUUCUCUCUCUGCCGUCCUUUUUCGGGUUGGCUGUCUCGUUUACAUCGGCGGCAACGGGGAGAGCUCUUAUCGUGCACCAGCAGCGCUGGGGGAGGAGGGGCAUCGGUUUGGGGAGGUUUGGCGGGCGAAACCGAAGGCUGUAGGUUGCGUGGUGGCCGCCUCCGGCGGAUCUAUGAUUGGCGUUCGACGCGGCUUGGGAGGUCGGAGAACGGGAGCUGCUGGCUGGCGUGCGGCGGCGGCGGCCGAUAAAUGCCCCUCCGCGGAGAUCUAGGCCCCUCCGCGGCGGCGCUUUUGGUCCUCCUCUUUGCCCCCGUGCUUGCUUUCGUGGUGCGCCGGAGAUGGCGGCUCGCGGUGGCGAGGCGGGAGGAGGUCCGGAGGCUGGCGCUCCUCGCUGCACAGGAGGCGUCCCGGGCGGAGGUGGAGGCGAUGGAAACCUACGCGGCCGCGUGGACUUCUGCUGCUGUCGCUGCCAAAGGCGUCACGAAGGAUCCCUCGGCACGGCCAGAGUGCCCCGUGUGCUUUUGCCCCGCGAUCGCGAGGUGCGCCCGGUGCAAGGCUAUCAGAUACUGGUUGGUAGACGCAAAUUCUUUCCUUUGUCUUCGUUCUGCCUUGCAAUUCCGUUGAUUUGUCUCAGUAUUAGGCUUACGGUAUGAUUUAGCUACUGAUCUGAAGUUGGAUUUUGUGAAUUUAGGGUAUUCACUGUUGGUUUGAGAAAUUUGCAGCUUGUGAAUUUUGGACUUCAUAUUAUUCCUGAAAGAACCUUCUUUUUCCCUAAUAUUGCCUUGAUCUCUAUAUAUUAUAGCUAGAUUAAUGAUAAUUGGAAUUGAUGUUGUCAUCACUACCUAUUAGGGGAUUUGUUAGAACCUAUUAACGAAGUAAAUUUCACAAGUUGCUAACUUGAGGUUGAAAAUGAAUACUGCUCUAUCUAUAAGUGAUAGAAAAGAUUUCAUGGUGGUGAUCGGUGACCCUCGACGAAACCAACUCAAUAGUCUGUUGGAGAUGCUGGACGACUAGAUCACAAUAUAUUUAUGUGUUGACAGGAGAAGAAUAUCAAAAUCACUUUUUUUCAACCUGACUUCUCAUGUAUUUUGUUCAUAUGGAGAGGAAAUCAUCUUGUGCGCUUCAAGCGAUUGGAGAAAGUUGGAGUAUCGAGUUCACCAUUUUUUAUACAUGUAGUUGUUAAGAUAAAACUAAUUCUUAACUUGCAGGUGCCUAUAUAGUAGUGUUUGUUGUACAUUCUUGUGAAACAAAAUAAAAGAAUACAUAUGUUGAGACAACAUACUCAAAAUCUGUUACUGAAGCAACUAAAAAUCUUUAACUAAUAAUAAAUGUCAAGGAUAUAAUGAUAUUAUCUGGAGAAAUGCAAAUUUCAGUUCAUGAUGAAUUAAUUAAGACCUUUCUAAUUUUUGUGAAGUAUGACAGCAAAAUAUAACAUCAAAUUAGCAAGAAAUAAUUUCCUUGUCAGUGAAGCUUUAGGGAUUUUAGUCCACUACCUAACCAGAGACUCAAGGAUAACUAAGCAUUGCAAUAAGAAAAUGAUAGGCCACUAAAGAUUUAUGGACUUCUUGUCUGCUGAUUAGUAGUUAACAAUCGCUUGCCUUGCAGGGUUAUAAGUUCCACCUAUUUAAUUAUUUAUUUACUGAAAUUACUUGUUGGUUCUUAAUCUGCUAGUUUUAUUGGAUACAUUAUAAAUGUGGAAAUUUUGGUUUAUGUAGUAUAUUAUGGUUAUCUGUUCUUCAUACUGCAAUAUUGUGCUGGACUUUGUCUUUUGAAGAAAAUUUGGACCGAUAUGCAUUCUUAAAUUUCAACCUUCCUUUCCUCAUUCAUUGCAGCUCUGGCAAAUGCCAGAUCGUUCAUUGGAGACAAGGCCACAAAGAUGAAUGUCAUCCUCCACCUGUUAAUGAUAAUUAUAAUGGUGCAACAAGUGUAUCUUGUUCAGAGGUAGUGCAAGCUGAACAGCCUGGUUUGGAGCAUAAAGAGGAUCUAAACAUGAAAGCAGUCGAGAUGUCUUUCGAGAGGGCUGCUGCAUCUGAAUCCCAUUUCUCUCCUGAUGAUCUCAAUGAGGAUGACGUGUAUGUUCCUGGAAAGGAAAACAGUUCUGAUUCUUUUGCUUUACCAUCGAUACCAAUUUAUUCAACAGUUUCUUAUGGUAUUGGGACCCCUGAUGAUGCUUUGGCUAGUGGCAAACCACAUCUCCUCCAUAAUGCUAGGCUAGAAAAAUCUUCAUCUUCUGAAAUACCUACUACUAGCGUCAGAAAAGCAGUCAAUAAUAACGAUGCAAAUCUUACUACCUUUUCAACUCCUAAGCUUUCUACAUCAAGUCCUUUGGUAAAUGGUACUUUCUCUAGUAACAUAAAAGAGAUGGCGUUUACAUCUAAAACCGAGGUGGAUGAAUCUGUGUUGAGUGGCCCAUCUGGUUUAAAAGCAACUGCAUCUCUGGAUCAUACAAGUAACAAGCACUCUGAGAUCACUGGUGAGGAUCAGAUUGCUUCUCCUUGGACGGUUCAUGAUGAGACCUAUAUAGGUGUGGACUCAACAAGUGAAAUUUCUUCUCAUGUAUCUGCUUCAUCAAAAGCUAAAUCUCAGUCAGAGAACAAGAAGAUGCAAGCUUCAAACAAAGAAGAAUCAGGAUCUGUUGCUAAUGGGAUGAAGACUGAAGUGCAGUCACUGAAGUCCAAGGCUUGUAGACCUUUAGCAUCUGCUUCUGAUCAAUUAUCAACUAAUGGUGGUGCUCACCCUGUAGCAAUUCAUAAAACCUCAAAAAUUGGUAAUGCUUCUCGAGAACCCAUCAGAUUAUCUGAUUCUUCUGGUGCUAUAGCAAAUGGUCUAUCCAAAUAUGCAAAAAGACUUGUUAAGCAGUCUACAUCUCCCAAAGUUUCUAGGCAUUACCCCUCAGAGACGGUGAGCAAUCUCUUUCUUAUGUGAAUGUAAAGUAGGCAGAUUUGCAUUUGCUUAGGGGCACUUGAGUCUGCAGUAGUUCUGUUGCUUAAUUUCCACAGCCCUGUCUGGCUUACUACUUUUUUAUCUUGAUUUUGCAGAUGCUUUUUCCAUAUGAUCUCUUUAUCAAACUUUACAACUCUGACAACAUUGAAUUGCGCCCUUGUGGUCUCAUUAACUGUGGCAACAGGUAUUAAACAAUUGCUGCCUUACAUAAUUUGUAACUUUAGGAUAUGUAUGCUGUUUCUUAUUUGCUCAUUCAAGAUUGACACUGCUGGUUCUUAUCCUUUCUAGCUCAAUAUAGUCUAGACUAAUAGGACUGUGGAGCUUGCUUGUCAACCAUGUGACUGAGUCUGGUAGGCAAUGUACAUAUCAUGUCACAGUGUGUUCAUGCCAGACCAUGGUAGUUAAAUGUGCACGAAUGUGCAAGGUACAAGGUACUGGAUAUGUGCCUUGUCAGUAUCUUGCUGUUAUGGCAAUUCUUUGUCAAAGGUGCUGGUCACAAGCCAGCUGGAGUUACAAUGUUCUUCUGUAGUUUUUUUUUUUCGUUACUAGUUGUAUUGCUUGUUUUACUGUCACCCCAUAAUCAGUUUCCCCUUUGCUUGUUUUACUGUCGCACCAUAGCUUCCGAAGCAUCAACUGUCUGAAUUCUUUUGGAGCUCCUAUCAUUUGCUGAUUAAUGUUCUGCAAGUCAACUGUUGUUGUUGUUAUAAGAUAUACCGAUAUGGAGAUUUAAAGCCCUUCUGCAUCUCCUUUAUUCAGCUAUAUGUUGUCAUAGGCUUCUGGACUGAUGAGAUAAAAGAAAUUGAUUGUUUAUAUGAUGAAUAUGGUUAGUGCAAUAUGUAGUAAACAUUUAGGACAAUUAAGUUUCCUUAUGAUAUGAUGGGUCUAUCCUUUUGGUGGCACAUAAGGGCUUGAAUCAUCAAUCUAUGAACAAUCAAUUGACUUUCCUCUUUAAACAUGUUUAUUUUUAUUGCAGCUGUUAUGCUAAUGCUGUUCUCCAGUGCCUGGCAUUUACUCGGCCAUUGACCGCAUAUCUUCUUGAAGGUCUUCAUUCGAAAAGAUGUAUGUCUAUUCUCUGUAUGGCAUGGUUGUUGCAAUUUUUUACUGUUACAUAUAGAAAACUCAGUUCUUUUUUAUUUAUACCAUCAUUACUAGGUCCAAAGAAAGACUGGUGCUUUACAUGUGAAUUUGAAAGUCUUGUGAUGAAUACAAAGCAAGGGAAAUCACCUUUAUCCCCUAUAGGGAUACUCUCUCAUUUACACAAUAUUGGGAGUAAUUUUGGCCAUGGGAAAGAAGAAGAUGCCCAUGAAUUUUUAAGGUGAGUUUGACAUCAGACAUUUAACUUUGCAAAUCCUUAUCAUUAAUUUGACAUAGACACCAUACUAAAGAGUAAAGACCAUUAGAUGAAUGUUGAUAUAAACAAAUAAAAGAUCAUAUAAAGGUGAACCUCUAGUGACACGGUUAUGUUUCUACUUGUGACCUAGAUUACCAGAGUUCAAGUCUUAGAGGUCAAACUGCAUACAUUGAUCAUCCUGUCACAUUGCACUGAUGGGGUCCUUUUUAUAAACAAUGAAAUGGUGAAGAAGAGACUUGAUAUAGUCUACAUUUAGCUUAAAUUAAUUAUAUUAAAUUAGUCAAGGAUUUAGGCAUUGCAUAUUUUAUUCAUUCUAGUUGUAAAUGCAUUGGACAUGUAUCACACUGUGCCAUGCCAUGGCACACAAAGACAUGAAGCAAAUGCUACCUGCACAGAGGAGACAAACUUUUAUCUUAUUUUCCUCCCACCUAUUGUUGUGCUCUGGGACUAGCAGUUCUGUGUUAGAUUCGGCUAAUUAAGUUUGUUGUCAAACAUCUAGCUAUGGAGACUAAUUUGUGUUGCAAAUUCGAUUCUAGCAAAAUAGAAUUAGAAGGUCAUUUUAUGUAACAUACAACUAAUAAUUAAAUUGGAGCAUUCAUGUGCUAUCGGAAAAAUGAUUAGAUAUUUUUCUAAUAGGAGAAUGUUAUUUGUUUUUCAAAUUUGUCUGGUUUUCCAAUGUUGGUAGCAUCUCUGAGCAUGCAUUUUAUUCAUAUAUAUUGGCAGGUAUGCAAUUGAUAUUAUGCAGUCUGUUUGCUUAAAGGAAGCUGGAGCAAAACCAGAUGAUGUAUUAGCAGAAGAAACAACACUGAUACAACAAACUUUUGGUGGCUACUUGCAAUCCAAGGUAUUUCAGUUCAUAAACUUUCUUAUUUCUAUUAUCAAAGCAGUUCUCACUAGAGAUGCCUAAUAAUGACGUAUAGCUAGUUAGGAUCUAACUGAUGGUUGAUGAUUUUGAAUGCAGAUAAGGUGCUAUAGGUGUAAGAGCAACUCAGAGCGAUGUGAAAGAAUGAUGGAUCUUACUGUCGAGAUACAUGGUGACAUUGCUACCCUUGAUGAAGCACUUUCCUGUUUUACAUCUCCAGAAAUUUUGGAUGGGAAGAACAAGUAUGAGUGUGACAGGUUGGUCUAAUCAUGUUAUUUAACUGAUUGACAUGAACAUUCUCCUUUCUUUGUCACCAAUCUUCAAAUGUUGGGUUUAUAAUCCCUGAACCCUUAAUUCCAGGUAACUCUGACCAUAAGGACUUGAUUAAUAAUCUGGACGACCUAAAUUGUAUUUAUGGUAUUAUGAACAGAAAAGAUAAGACAGAUACCUGAGUAAUGAAAUAGCUUGGAAUGACAGAAUGUAACUUUAAUAUAUACUUCAGCUAAUCCUAGAUCCAUCCCAGAUCAAGUUUCUAAUCUCAAGUGGAGGAACAUUUAGAGAGAGUACUAAUGACAAUAGAACAGAUGAAGUAGGAGGGGAUUUCCCAAUUCAUAGGCAUCUCACACUCCUGAAGUUCCUGUCUAGUCAUUGCGGGUCUGAAUCACCUUCUCUGUGAACUCAACAUUGCAAUGGAAACAAAAACAACCCCAUAAUGUGGACACAUUAUAAAGUAUAAGAGGCUCCAUCUGUUACCGUAAUUUAUCUACAAUAAGGAAUUUAUUGGAUGAAUCACAAUGAGCCACAUCUUGCACUCCUAAUGUUCCUCCCUAGUCAUUGCAGGACUGAAUCACUUUCUCAUGUUGAACCAUGGAACUCAAUAUUCAUCUUUUCAAUAUUUUAGAUAAAUCAUUGUUAUGUGCAUUUGUGAUUAUGGUCUGUUCACAAAAUUAAAAACACCAUGUUGGCUUCUUACUUCACAACCUAAUAUUGGAUUAGGAUGGUUUCCUGGAGGAACAAUGCUACAUAAUUUAUGACAUACAUUCUAGGGUAAGAGACAUUGUGAAGUAUUUAUGACAUUCAAACUUGUUUGGUUGUGAUCAUAGAACAAACCAUUUUCCUUUUGGAGGUUUAGUUUGGAAGAAUGGUUUCUGUCUGAGUCUGACUAGUUAGAAUUUCUGUUUUGUGUACUAAAUAACAAGUUUUUUCUUAAAAAUAAUGAAUGCUAUAGUGACUUAAAAGGGUUGGAGUCUACUUGACAAGCCCCACCUAAAACGGGAGUAACCCUAGCACAUUGAUUGUGAGGAAACAUAAUAAGUUGAAUGGUCAAUUAAUAGAAUCAGCCCAAGUUUAAAGAUCAACAUGAUACUGGUGUAUUUUAAGCUAACUAAUUCUUGUAUAUUUUGUCUUGUGUUGAGGACAACAAAACAAUUGGUAAGGGACAAUUUGACCUUUAAGUUGGAAUAGUGAGCUUUCUUAAAAUAUUGAUAUAGGAUAAUGUAAACUCAGUAACCUCUUCUCCUUUAUGUUCCAUGAGCAAUGGAGUGAAACGCUUCAAGGACUUAGGGUACCUAAGGGUGUAUUUUCACAAACGACAUAUACUGGGGAAACUGAAAAUUAAAAGAUGUAACAUUUAAUUGUCAACUCAUAGACUAAAUUGAUCCUUAAUAAUCAUAUGUAGGAUGCCACUUGUCACAGCCUUGACUAUAGCAAGGUCAAGUUGUGCAUCAUCCAAAAUUGAGGAUUUUCUAGGUUCACUAAUAUUUCUAUGUUGACUAUUAAUCUUGUUGGCCAAAUUAUGGUACCCGGAUGACAUUACAAAUCCAGAAGUCUUGCUUCCAUUAUAUUUUACCAGAGUUCUAUCAUUUCUUUAAAGUGGAUGUAGUAGCCAUUACAACUUUUAUUCUGUUUGGUCAUGCAAGUCAGAUAGGACGGUGACCUUAUUAUGUCAGAAGUAGCUUCUCACACUUCUCACCGGUGUGGUUCUUCUGAGUUCUGACUACAAUGAUAGUCUCCACUUGCUUGCUCAACUUUUCCACAAAACUUCUUCUGAUAUAACUCAGCCCAACCCUGGGUGAAUUCUGCAUGUGUCUAUUGUAAGGCAGUCUUUUUGUUAAUGCCUUUGUGCAUAUAGUUUUACUACAUAUUUUCCCAUGCUGAUAAUGGAACUCAUGCACCGCUUGCUUUUUCUUAUUAGAUGCAAGUCUCGUGAGCGAGCAAGGAAAAGAUUGUCAAUAUUGGAGGCUCCCAAUGUCCUGACAAUUGUAUUGAAGCGAUUUCAGGUAAUUACUUAUAGGGAUGGCAGCAGGUGGGUCUUUUGAGCCACUUGGAUCUAGUCAACUUUCUUAAACUGUAUAUGGUACCCUUUUUAAUCAAGUUUGGAAUGGGUUCACAUUGGAAAAUAGGCAGAAAGAAUUUGGGCCGUGGGCUCAGGUACCUAGAUCAUUAAUCAAAUUGGUUUCAAGUACUCUUCCUGUUGUUAUUCUUAAUAUGAGGUUGGAUGGCAACAGGUAACUUCUUUUGUGUACCCUUUAAUUGGGUUUGGGUUGAGUUCAGGUUGAAAAAUACGUAUCUGAGUUGGGUUUGGGUACCUAAAGAGCUGGUUGGUUUCAUAUUUGGGUGAAAUUCGUAGGUACUACACCCGUUGCUAUCUCUAAAACUCAUAAACAAAGCACUCACUACUUUUUAACAUUCAGCUUUUUGUUGAAUUAGAAGUGAUGUUUGCUUGUAACCAUUUUAGAUCAUAGCACUAUUUGGAAUAUUUUCUGUUGACAAUUCAAAUCAAUUUCUUCUGUAUGUCUUUGAUUCUUUGUACAGUCUGGUAAAUAUGGCAAGCUCAACAAAGCUGUCCGAUUUCCUGAGUACCUCAAUUUAGCUCAUUAUAUGAGCGGAGAUGAUGCAUCCUCUAUGUACCAGCUGUAUGCGGUGAUCGUUCACAAAGAUGUGAUGAAUGCUUCCUUUUCUGGUCACUAUGUUUGUUAUGUGAAGGAUACACAGGGCAAGUGGUACAAGAUUGAUGAUAGCGAGGUAUCCUACUUGUUAAUUUCUUUUACUGAUUGUGGGGCCUUUAUGAUGAACUUAUUGUGGUUUUUUGAUUGAGAAUAUGACUUCUGUUAGAAUUGUCUAAAUUAUUUCAAAGCAACAUUACAUAUUUGAUUUGCUACAGGGCUUUAAUUUGCUUAUCUCUCAGAUUCAAUCAGUCAUUUUACCUAAAAUGUUGAAGAUGUGCUUAUCACAUUAUUCAAGAGUGAUUUAUGCAAUAAAUAAACACCUUUUUAGUAUUCUCAUAAACCUACAUUUGGAUCAGUCACUUUGUGGUAUAAUGACAGAGUUCAAAUUCCAUAUCUCGUUGCAUCUGUUUCAUUUGGUCUCCCCAGUGAUCAUAUGCUCUUUACUGGAUUUUGAACACCAACAAAAAAUCUAAAUCGACAAGUUUAUCAAGUGUUACUGAGGUGUAUAUGUUCAUUCGACGAUGAAAUCACCUUUUAUAUUCUGCACAGGUAAAACCUGUGGAGCUCAAGAAGGUUCUGUCAAAAAGUGCAUACAUGCUUCUUUAUGCCAGGUAAAGUUAAAGGUUCUGGAGCCGCAUUCUUAUUUCAUUUAUGUUUCUUAAAUUUCUUAGUGAAUUGGCAUUUCAAAUUAGGUGCUCACCUCAUGCCCCAAGCUUAGUAAGGAAAGCAAUCUCCCAUGAUCCUUUACAAGCAAGGAAGAUCAGGAGCAAGGAAGCCAGUGGAAAGUCAGGUGGUUCAUCAAUUACAGAACAAAGGAGCCACUUCUACCCACAACCAAUGAUGGGUGAUCGUGCCAAUUUUCAGUCAUCAGAUCUGUUCCGUCCUUCCUUGAAUGAUUCUUCCAGCGACAAUUCCUCUCUUUUCGAUGAAGGCUCCUCCUGUAGCACCGAGAGCACAAGGGACUCGGCAAGCACUGAAGAGAACUGGGAAUGCAUGUCUGGAGAGUCAGACUGUAUCAACUCAAAUAGCCUCAGAGGCUCCAAGGAAUCUAAUGGACUCACUCAUUCACCCCUGUUCUCCAGGCAUUCAUCGAAAAAAGUCUUACAUGAUGAUUCUGGACGGAAUGCUAGCUCUUCAGGCAGGGAAAUUGAUCAUGUGGAGGUUGGGAGGCUUGGGCCGAUGAAGCAUCAGGGGGGCCGAACGACAUGUUCCGAGGGCAGUAAGAGCUCAUCCUUUUUGUAUCAUGAUAAAAGCCAAAUAUGUAGAGUAACAGAACAUUGUAGCACUGUAGAGAUCGACUGGAUUAACCCAAGUGAGGUGAAGUCUGGUGUUGUAUUGAGAAGACCGAGUAGGGAAAUAACUGCCCAAACAUUUUAUUGAUCCGUUUGGGUUGUAGAGAAAAAUAAUGUAGGUUGUAUUAUGCCCAGCGAAACCUAGAUGGACAGAAAAAGAGUAAUUUUUGUUGACCUUUUAUGUCUGUUUUGUGUUGAACUCUUGUCUAGAAUGCCAUGAUAAAAGUAUGCUGCGUAAAUAUUCGGCAAUUCAAGCAUUUGAGAAGCAGUAACAUGCAAGAUAUGAGGUAACGAGUGUUUGUAGGUGAGUGAAUCGCUCUGUUUGUUUCUUCGUUUUUGCCUGUUAAUUGUAGUAGUUGAACUCCUGACUAGGGUUGCAGGUGACUGUGACCAUUCUUGAACAGCUUGGCAUUUUUCUCUUCAAAGAUUCAUUCAAAUUAUUCCCCAAGGUUAGUGAAAUCAAACUUGAAAUGGGUUUCAAAGCUCGAUCUCCAAGCAAGUCAGAGGUAAACCAUGCAAAAUCCUCUUUCAGAUUCAAUUAAAAAUGAAAUGAAUCCAAUACACAAGACUUCUGCCAAUACGAUAUUUGAAAGAUCAAUGUAAUAUAAUUUGAAAGAUCAAUGUAAUAUAAUUUACAUUAUCAUCUAUAUGACUCAAACCCUCAUACUCAGACCGCAAAGGAGCAAUUUUAAUGCGAUUAUGAGAAUAUCAUUACUCGAAUUAACUAACAAUGGAUUUAACUGAACCAUGAGAAUAUCAUACAACUUCUGCAAAUGUUGGUUUGGAAUUAGAAUAUUUUGCAAUAUUGUAUUUAAUCCAGAGACAAUAUUGAUUGAUGCUUGAAGCAGAAGCACUUCGAUUGAAUCUGCUGCUUAAUUAUCAUUGGAACUUCAUCCUUUUGGCUGGGCCUUGAUCAAUUAUAGGGUCUACAGAUGGUUGCUGCUCCGAGGCUUGUUGGCUGUCUGGUCCUUUCUCUGCGUCUGAGGCUGAUGGAGCAUAACCCUCCGGAAAUGGUGGUGGUGGAGGAGCUGGGGGCAGCUGCAUCAUUGAAGAAUGGAAAAAAGUAUCAAACUUGAUGUAUAACCCAAAAAAUGUAUCUAGUGCAACGCAAAAGAAAAUACAUAUAUAUUCUCAGAUGGGUAAAGAAUUGAGGCUUGAACAAGUUUGACAGGAAUUAGAGGGCAUUGCUAACAAAUAUCUAGUUUGAUGUACAACUCAAACAAUGUAACUAGUGCAAGACAAGCAAAAAACGGUUGUCCUCCGAAUGGAAGAGAUACCAUGAAACCCAUUACCCAUAAACUACUUGCAUUUGGCUGAGGCUCAAACAAAUUUGACAAAAUUUAAAGGGUAAUGAAACCACAGAUUCAAACAUCAUGUUUUUGGCUGAGAUAAGAAAAUAAUGUACAACUCCUAAAUUUUUUUUUCACUAAAAGCAAAUAGAUUAGGAUGGAAUAUAUGUUGAUUGCACAAACACAUCUGUGAGGUUUUGAGCAUAAGAUGGGAAGAAACAUAUCCUUCUACAUCUUUACAUAAUUGGUGGUUCAUUGAGAAUACAGAAGAAAGGCACUUUGAAUUGUUGGUUCAUCACCAAAGAUUUUAUCUUUUUUCAGCUAAAUGUUCUUAUGUUAGCAAUAUCAUAAUAUCUGCAGAUUCUUAUAUAAUAUUCAAGAUUCCAGACUAAUUAGGUUCAAUAGUCCCUCAAAAGUUCUCCUGGAAAUAUAUGUGAGACCUUAUACAUAAAUGUAUAUCUACAUGCAAAAGUGUUUCUUCCAUUCUUAACAUGCAUGGCCAUUUUUAUUCUAUGGGCAUGAAUCUAAGAAUCCCAAACUCAUUUCAUUCCUUUCGAACAUGGAGUUUUUGGUGGUAUUUACACCAUUUAAAACAAGAUAUACCAAGUGUAAAAAAAACCAGUUACCUUGCGUUGCAAGGAGGCAAGAAUAUGAUCAACUCGUUUUAGUUCCUUGAGAUCAAUUGUCUCCUUCGCACUUUUCAAUUCAGCGCUAGAUUCUUCAUUUUCAGCAUCAGCUGCAACACAACGAAAGAUCAAGACUUUCAAUGAAAAUGAAAACAAUAUAAUGAUUUCUGUACCACGAUAAGAAAUGGUUUUUCAUGCAGCAAUUUUAGGAACAUGCUUUGAAAGAUGCAGUGUAAGCACAAUGCCUCGAGGAAUAAUUAGGUUCACGUUUCCAGUAUAAUGUAUCUUAGAUAAUAGUUAAAUCAAACUAAAAAACAUAGAAUAGAAAGGAGACCAACAUAUGGUGAAUAACAAGAAUAUCAUUCCUACAUUUCUUCUUACAAGGAUGAUGUCUUGAAGUACUUCCACAAUUUGGAGGUGUUUCAUAGUGCUUCACAAAUGCAUCAUCUUCUUAUAUAUAGAAGACAGAAGACAGAAUGGUGCAUACUAAUGAGUUAUUUCAUAUUGUGAACCAAUACGUAGUGAUCAAAUUUCUUUCCAUCAAGGAGUCACUCAACAUAACUCUCUUUUGUCUUUUAAUUUGUGUAGCCUCCCCACCACAAAGGCUGUCCGCUAUCCAAGCUGUUGAAGCAAAAAAACACUUGAGCAUAGUAUGUCAUUCCAUUAGAAGUAUGAAACUUCUUAAGCAGAUGUAUUAUGCACAUCAUUACCCUUUUUUCUUCCAUCUUUUCUCAUGUAGAACCUAAUUACAUGAGACCAACUAUUUCGGAUGGAUUGCUGACCACAAAAUUUCUUCAGAGUAACUUGUUAUCUUGUUCAGAAGUCGUCAUCAAUCUCAGCACAAUCACCCAAGGCUAAACCUAUCAAUGUAGAAUCAAACUAAUAGCACAAUUCAAAUUGAGAAGGUUUUACAAAGGAUUCAAUGGUGCUAACAAGUCCAUAGCUGCAUCAGGGUGGAAUAUAAUCUCAAGGUAAGGAAGAUAUUCAUUACAUCCCUUCUUUUGGCAAUCUUCAGUAAUAGACACAAUUUAAAGGCAAUCACUAGCCAGGUUGGAAGCAUAAUCUCUGAUCAGAUGCUAUGAUGACAUACAACCUUGUGUCAGAUCUCUCAAGAUAGUCUCAAAUUCCUAGUUAGACAACAUAAGAUUGCAUCGAAUGUCAACAAGUAUAAUUAGCUAGUAUGAUUAUUUAUCUUUCUUCGUGCAGUUUAAAGUCAUUAAUCCAAGAAGCAAAAUCAAAAUUUUUCAUAGACAUGAAUGAAAGUUGUGAAGAAGGGAAGGCCAGUGUUACGACAAGGAGCAACAUUCAUCUGAAAACAAACCAACUGAAGACAAAGUUGAUUCUUUCUUCCACACCUUCAAUAUCGACAAAGCAUAUUAAUCUACUAGAGUGUUUUUUAUGUGCAUGAUCAUAGGUCAUAAAUGCAGCAUUCAUUCACACAAACAGAAGUGUAAACAGGUCUACUUGAUUUUAUGUAUUGCAAAGGGAUGUAAAAACCACGCAAUUGAAAUGAAUGUGAAUCUUGCAACAAGAGUAGCAAGAACAGUCUAUAGUUCUUUGGAGAAUAAAUACCAUAUCCAAUCUUCUCCAACUUCGAGGCUGCAGUAUUGAAAGCCUUUGAUAUAUGAUACAGAGCCCUCCCCUGCAGCCAGAGCAACGACUUCAAUUCCAGUUUGCCGCGUUGAAGCAGAUCAAAGUUAUUUGAAUCAGAAAAAGGCAAAAUGAAAGAAGAACUCACGAUCCGCGCCGCAAAGACACUGGAGAGCUGCGGCGCCUGGUAGACGGACCCGUCGAGGAUGUAGUACGUGAGCAUGGGGUUAACCCUCUCCGGCCCGUCUCGCUUCUGCUUCCUGAUAACAAACAGGUUCGGCUCCAUCACCUCGCUCAGCGCGUACUCCGUCCCCGUCAUCUUCCUACGCUCACGCAUAUACACAAACAGCUCAAAGACGAAAUCUUUAGGCCACAGAAAAGGCAACCCAAGGGAGGCGCGACGCACGAGAGGUGGGAGAUAUCGAGUGGGUGGAUGGAUCGGGCGCGGAGCUGCUCGUUGUUGCAGGACCAGUCAUAGAAGGGGGACAGAGCGAAGUAGUCGAAGAUGAGAUUGCGGUCGAGGGGGUAGGUGUUGAGCCACAGCUGAUCGCGGAAGCAGAUCCCGGUCAUGUCCGUGCCCGGCGGCGGGGGCAUACCCUCAGAGGCGCCUCCGCCGGGGUUCCCGACCGCCGGAAGGGCCACCUGGCCGGCGGGAGGGAGCGGCGUCGUAGCCAUCGCCGGCCUCUACUUGGAGCACGCACGAUGGACUCGCCGAUUCGGUCCAAUAAAUGGGCCGCACUGCGUCGAGCCCAUUUCUGAGGUAUAUAUAUAUAUAUAUAUAUAUAUAUAUAUAUAUAUAUAUAUAUAUAUAUAUUGUAAAUAUUAUAUUUUGUAUAUAUUAUAAAUAUUAUAUUUUGUAAAUAUUUUGUAUAUAUAUAUAUAUAUAUAUAUAUAUAUAGAUAAUGAAGUGGUUAAGUUGAGAUUCCAAUUGGCAUUAGUACUCUCUAAAAAUUUCGAUAGUUGAUUGUUAUGAUUCGGAAAAUACUAAUGAUAUUUUAAAUAUUUUGUAAUUUAAUAUAUUUAUAUACCAAAUUAAUUUUUGUUAUUCAUAGUUAUAAGUUAUCAAUAAGAUGAAUAUUAAAAGAAGGGAUAUGCACAAAGGAUCCUAAUGUUCAAACUCUUCAUUUUUUCCCUUAAAAAUGAUGCAAAGAAUUUAAAAUCACAUACUGAGAUAAUAUUAUAAAUAUCAUAUAUCAAUAUAUUAUCAAUGAUAUAUGUUGAUUUAUAGAAUGUUAUUUCACUCUUGUUUUACCUUUUUCUAAUAAAUUUAAGUAUUUUUCACAUUAUGAUAUGUGAGUCUAAUAAUAAUUAAUAUUUUUUUAUCUUUUUUAUUAUUAAUAAUUCCUUUCUAUGUCUUUCCAUCCUCCAUUCUAAAUCGUCAAUAGGAGAUCAUCUCAGCCUCUUCCAUUGUUCUGCAGAUAGAAGAUGUCUGUACCGUAGACUAGCAGGGAAGUAGAGGGAAGAAAUAGAAUAGGUAUCAUCUCGGUGGCCCUUCUCCAGAACUCAUCAGCAUUCGCAUGCAGAGAGGUGUUGUAGAGGGAAACUUCAGUUCAUAGCAUGGAGAAGUAUACAGCUUUGAGGGAUUCUAAUGGCGACAUCUCAUUUGCAUGAGGAGGUUUGUCAUCCACUUCCGCUGCAAUCCACCUCUCGAAGGAGAGAGAACUUGCAGCUUUGUCGGAUUAGCCAUUCACGUGCAUAUACGUAUAUGUAUGUGUAUGUUUCUGUGCAGGAAUUCAACGUCUUUAACGUAGGUGUCAUGGUGGAUGUGGACUUGACUUCUUCUUCUUCUUCUUCUUCUUCUGGUUCCGUGGAUAAGAAGCAGCCGGACGCAAUUAAAGAAAGCCGCCAGUUUCUUCUGUGCAGCGGCCUCCACACCAUGGCGUUGACUGGGUUUCAUCCCGCCCAUCAAAGUCAACCAUGAAGCAAAUGUCUAUUUGCUGCGACCAACUCAUCUACUAUUCCCUCCUCUCUCUUCUUCUUCUUCUUCUUCUUCUUCUUCUUCUUCUUCUGCUGCUGCUGCUGCUGCUGUUGUUUUCUUCCUCUACUCUCUCUCUCUCUCUCUCUCUCUCUCCAGAUAAUAACUUCACCUUGAAGUCAUCCAUGAAUACGGGUCAUCCAGAAACAACCCAUCUCUUUCAUCGAUGUGAGAUAUACUGUAAUAGAGUUAUGGAUAGAGAGACAGGAGAAAGAGAGAGAAGAGAGAAGGUAGAAUUGCUGAGUAAUUAAUUAAUGAUCAUCCAUCAUGAACAAUGAUUGCGGCUGCUAAGCCACACAAUCCAAUUUCAACGUGUAAAAAAUACCUCGUGCACUGGAUAUAAUUCGAUAAUAUUAUAAUUCAUCGUAUCUAAAAUCGAUAAUAUUAUAAUUAAUCAAUAAUCUAAUCUAAAAUCUAAAUUAACAUUUAAGGAUACUAAGAAACUAAGUUAAAAUUCACAUCCAUAAAAUAUGUAUAGUUAAUUUAUAAUCAUACAUCACGUCACUCAAAUUUUUAUGAAAAUCUAAAUCAAUUAAUAAAACAUUAAUCGUAUUUAUAAAUCCACAAGCAUAAGAAUUUAUAUAACGAGAACUUCAAUAAUUUUUUGAUUUGUGCAUGUCAUCAUUCUAAUCCACAAGCGCCAUGUUAAUCUUUUAUAUAUCAUUCUAAUUUUAUCGAAUAUCUUCGAUAUUCAUAAGAGGACUAUCUGGACUGUUAUGAUGUCUCCAUAUAUUUUCUUAACCUAUCAAAAAUGAUCGUGUGCCUCUCAAAGAAGGUUCGACGGUCGUGAGAGGAGGAAUUUUUCUUCAUUCUUAUCUAAUUCAGUAAGAAAAAAAGAAAUAGUAAUCACAAAUUGAAUCAUAGUCCACUUGGAAGCCUCCACAUUAUGAAUCAAUGUCAACAUCUACCUACAUGGGCAAUUGGUGGCGCCACCUGAGAGGAGGCAUUUAGAUCAUUCCGGGAAGGAUUGUGGUCAAAAUUGACGAAAGCUAGUUUGAAUUGGGUGUUGAAGGAUUGAAUCGACUAUUUCUCAUUUCCGGUCAACAUCUGCAAGGAAAAAAAAAAUCUCACAAAAUUCGAAUUGAGUGUUCGCCGUCGUCACCACAUGUAAUUGAUUUUUUUCUCCUUUUUCGAGCAGCAUUAUUUUUUUCUUGAAUUUUAUUAUGUAGUGAAGAUAUUUAUUGAAAAUUGAAGCGUCUCCAUCACUUAUAUAUAUAUUUGUGUAUAGAAUUUAAAAAUGAUAUAAAUUAAUUUAUUAAGAUAAAAAAUUAGAGGAUUUUGAGACUUUUUAUGAAUUUUUCUUAUAAAAAAUUCCGAUAAACAUUCCUUUUUAAGAUUUAUUUUUCUAUAAUUUUUUAUUCUUUUUUCUGUUGAAAUAUAUUUUUUAUAAUUAAAAAUAAUCUUUCAAGGAAUAAUAAAUAAAUAUUUAUGACAUUUUUGAUAUUAUAAGAAAAGAGGAGAGAGAAAAAAAUAUAUAUAAUUUCAUGUUUUCAACAUACUAAAAUAUUACUAAAUUAAAAUAUGAAGAAAUGCUCCAACUAACCCUAAUUUUUUUAUUAAUAUUUUGAAACAUAAAGGAAUAAAAAAAAGACAAAUCCAAAACUUAUUCGUGUUAAUUUGUUGUGCGGGCGACGCCGCCUCUUUGACCGCGGGCAACACGGAACGAGAACGCAUCCCAAGACCUUCUCGAUCGCUCUGUCCUCGUCGUGGCCAACUGCGCUGGAUUCGAUCAGCGAUGCGCUCCGCAGUCGUCGUCGUCCCGCUCACACCUGUCCUCCCCCUUACUUGAGUGCCGUUUGCGCUCCCAUUCCCUCGACGCAACCGCUUUGCUUCUCGCUCUUCGCUUUCUUCUCCUCUACUCUUUGUCUGCUACAUCGCUUUUGAGCGUCCCGAUCGGUCUAUGUUCGUUCGAUGGAGGUGCCGUCUCCCUCGCGUCCGUCGCAGCUGGAGUCGCUGGUGCUCUGGGUGCAGACCAACUACGCAGAGCCGUUGGAUUCACUGAAGCAGUCGCUCCGCAUCGCCUACGUCGUCUUCGCCUUCUGCUCCGCGCUCUUCCUCGGAGCCCUCAAAGGUCCCGUCUUGAUGGAUUUUCUUGGCUCCUCCUCCAUCGAAUCCUGCUAAAGUUUGCUCCUUUCUGAAAGCGGGUUGGAUGUUUGGGUGUGAUUGUUGGUUGCAGCUCUGGUGGUGGGUCCUGUGGCAGCGCUGCUGCUGAUUCUUGGGAACGUUGGGGUGAUACUUGGACUGUUUCCAGCUCAUGUGGCCUGGACUGUCUACUCUAUUGUCAAGUAAGUCAUCAUGACCUUCCUUUGAUUUGAGCUUUCUUGUGCGAAAAUUUUGAUUUUGUUUGUUUUUGCGUUGGUAAGUUCCUGUUGUUUAAUAGUGGCGUUCAUCAAGAUUGGAUUAUGAUAACCUUUUUGCCCCUUGCUGCGUUUAAGCAUGAUUUCUAGCCGGGAAUUCAGUGACAUCCCAGCAAUUGACGAGAAGUGGAAGAGUUAGAUUUAGAAGAGAAAAAAAUGAUUGGUGCUUCUAAAGUUACCAAGAGAGAAGUUUGAGGGAUCUGUGCUCUACCGGAUAUUACUUCUUAGUUGAAGUAACAAUAGUGAUUUUGAGAUGGAGAUAACGUUUAUUCUUUGUGUAUAUGAUCUAUUGACGAGAAAUCAUGAAGCUGAAUCUCAAAACUAAUGAAGUAAAACAAAAUAAAUGAAGUUGAACGUUGAACUGAAAUGAUAGUUUGCUUCCCAGAUCUAUUUUUCCAUGUGAAUAAGGAAACAAAAAAACUUUUUCCAAGUGUUUUACUUCUGGAGAUCGUCAUUGUAAUUGGAUAAUUGUCAUUUUAAAGUCUAGCCCAGGUCUUUGACUUUGAUAUUUUCAGAAUGUUUGAUUCUUUUGAAUUCUUAAACACAAUAGGUAAACAAUUUUCUUUGCCUAUUUAUAUGUGAUUGUAUAUCAGAAUUUCACACUUGCUUCUCCAAAAGAAAAAGGAACUAAUAGGUAAUCAAUGCAUAGAUACAGAAGCCAUUUCUUUAGUUUUGGAUUCUUGACCAUAACAACAAACAUGAUUCUUCAGUCAAUCCUCCAACAAUCAGCUUUAGGCAUUCAAACAGAAGUCUGGAUUUCAGGGAUAUUAUCAUUUCUGCUGGUAAAAGUCAAUAAAAGAAGCAGACAUAAACCUCUUGUAUACAUUUUCAAUCAGACAUGGUCUUAACAUUUAGUUUUAGUCUAUGUAGUCUGAAGAUAACACUAUUACAGGAAGCAAUAUUUUUAUUUUUAUUUUUUUUUGAAAAUUUUCAAAUGGAGCAUUUCUUCCAUGACUAAGGUGGCAUUGUCCCACAUGAACACUAAAAAAUUCUGUUGAAACAACAAAAUUAAGGAGGCAGAGUCCAAAGGCAACUCAGAUCCUGAAAGAUAUUCAUGUACUAUGUUCUUUCUUGCUCUUGCUACAUUUCAUUGGAUGAUUCCAUUAUUAGAAAAGAAAGUUUGAUGCAUGAUGUAUUGUUAAAUGGGACAAGAUCACAUGUACAGAACCUUUUGAAGGAGUUUGAUAUAAGAAGUUGCUCUACGUCGACAUAGUACUGGUAUUUUCUUGUGGAUAGCUAAUUAUAUCUCAAUCCUCAAUUGGUAUAUUGGUCGAACAUGUCACCACCACUUUUCUCUAUUCCUAGCUGCAAAGGUUAUGGAAUUCAUGGUUACGUAUACCAUAUUGUCCCUAAAAUUUUAAACUAUAUUUUGUCAAAGUUUUUUAAAUACAAGUUAUCAUUUAGAUCUUUUACAAUGCAAGAAAAUAUUUAUUUGGUAAGUUCCAACUCUGUUCAUCCUAACAAAAGUUUCAAAUUUGAAGUUCAAUUAAAUUCUUGCUGUUACAAAUCUCAUCUCAUACUAAUACAAGCCUAAUCUGCUACCUUUCAUGUAUAAUUAUAGAGACUCUUUCAGAAAUUAUACAACACAUAUCUUGUAAGUUGAUUAACCUCUCAUAUCUCUAAGCAUCAUCAGUUCCAUGAAAACAGGAGACAAAAGUUGGUAUCAGAAGAGAAUAAUCAUUGAAUGGGAGUGCUUUCGAUGGACAUUUAUAUAGUUCUAUUUAGUUUGAGAAGUUUAUGACAAUCCUAAAAAAAUUAAGAAAUUUAAUUUGAAUGGAGGAGAAUGUCAUUAUAGCAAUAAAAUCCUUACAUCUGAGUUUUACCUAACUGAAGUCUGAGGUCGACGGAGCAGCAAAGAUUCUUAGACACAAUUUGCAAAUGAUUAAGGGGCAUUUGAUUUUUUGAUUCACACAAAUGGAAGAGGAAACAAGAACACUGAGAACAAGAAUAAAAGAAAAGGACAAGAAGAAAAAAAAAUUUCCAAAUUUGAAGAAUGCAAAUAUGUGGAUUUAUAAAUUAGAAAUUUGUGCAAGCAUACUGGUUACUGUCUUUGGAAAAAUACACAUGUCGCCAAGGGGGCUUCAGUUACUAACUGGCAUCGUAUUGGUCAAUUGCAGGACGGAUUCCAUAAAUGCAGCACUUAAACUUGCCUUUCUUUUUGCUCUUCCCAUAUUUGUUGGGCUGUGGUUGGCCCUUGCCAUCUUUGGGAGUGUCCUGGUUGGACUUGGUUAUGGGUUUGUUACACCCUGGGUGUCAACCUUUGAGGCCUUCCGAAAGGAUGGUGAAACAAAUAAAUUUCUUCACUCCAUUGUGGUAAAAAGACUACUUAAACUCAAAUUUUGUGAACUAUUCUCAAUGUUAUUAUGGGCUACAAACUGCUUAGCAAUAACUUGACUUAAUAUCUGACAUUAAACAGGAUGGAACAUGGAGUACUAUCAAAGGGAGUUGCACUGUGGUUAGAGACUUUGCAGAUAUCUGUUACCACUCAUAUCCACUUUACUUAAAGGAGUUAAGAGAAAGUUCACAUGAUCAUCAGCCAUAUUCAAUUAGGUAUGUGUAUUUAUGUCCUUUGCUUUUUUGGGUAUUAGUAUAGAUUGUCUCAAAAAGGUUAUGUAUGGUAUUCCAUAUUUUGAAUGUUCUGUAGAAAGAGUUUCUAAAUUUCUUGAUUAUUUUUUCAAUAAUCAUUUUUUAAUAUGUAUAUAAGAAGGAGAAUAUGCCAUAUUUUCUGAAUUGGCUCAUUAAACAUGUUAGUUCUCCAUGUACAUGACAAGGAUUUUAUUUCCUCCAUAAUUUCUUACUUGAUUUGGUGCUGAAAGACAAGUCUCUUUAUGAUUUUUUCUCAGUGUCAAGGAAAGUCAGUGUUAGAUAUGGUAAAUACUUCUGAAAGUCUUUAUUUGAAUUUCAAUAAAUGUAUCACCUUUGGUUAUUUUACGUGUUUAACCCUGAAGUGUCGCAAUAAAACAGUGAUUUUACCUGUUUCACAUUGAAGUAUCACAAUAAAAUGGUAUCCACUUGGAAUAGAAAAUCUCGUGUCAUGUGGAUUGUCCAUUUUACUUGAUCCUUCUGUUUAUUAUAUGGAGUGCAGUAUAAUUAUCAUUUAACAGCUGUUGAUGGCAAUUUAAGUGAUUAUUCAAGUUAGCAGUCCAAUUUAUAAGGAUAACAUCUUACUAAUAAAUUCAAGUUGAUAUUCUUUGGUUGAUACAAUUUAUUGUUAUUGAUCUUCUCAAAUUUUAUGUAGGUUGAUAGAGGUUCCUGCUUGUGUUGUUGUUGCGCUGAUGGGCUUAAUUGUUGAUAUCCCACUUUACACUGUCAUUGCAUUGAUAAAAAGCCCCUAUAUGCUAUUUAAAGGCUGGCAGAGGCUUCUACAGGACCUGAUAAGCCGAGAGGGACCAUUUCUUGAGACAGCUUGUGUGCCUGUUGCUGGUCUCGCCAUUCUGUUCUGGCCUCUAGUUGUUGUUGGGAGUGUCCUGUUGGCGAUAGUCUCAAGUAUCUUCAUUGGAUUGUACGGAUCGGUGGUUGUGUAUCAGGUCCUUUGUGUGGUUACUCUCUCUUGGUUUAUUCUUUACGCUUAUGAAAUGUGCUGCAGCUGCAGCAUUUGUUUAUUUUGAAACCUAAUCACAUACGAAUUCUAUUUUUUAAUACAGGAGAGAUCUUUCAAACGAGGAGUUGCCUUUGUGGUUGCCAUGGUUGCGGAGUUUGAUGAAUACACUAAUGAUUGGCUAUAUCUACGGGAGGGGUCCAUUCUUCCAAAGUAAUGGCGAUUUCACUUUUGCUUUUCCUGUUUACUUUUAGUCAUCUAAAUAUCACAUUUACUGUUGUUAUUAUCUAAUGGCUCCUUUUUCUUAAAAAAAUACAUUAUUUGUAUAAUUUACUUCUUAAUAUAGCACUCUUGUUGCCCAGCCAGGCCUCGGUACCGAAAGAGGAAGAUAUCUCACUCAGCAGAAUUUUCUGUUGGAGCCAGUUCUGUUAGAGGGGUUAAAGCUGGUUAUGGUUCUUCAGGGGCUCCUGCAAUGUUAGUCCCUAGCUUGGCUCCUUCAAGAUCCGUUAGAGAGACAAUACAAGAGGUGAAAAUGGUGCAGGUAAAUGCUCUACUUUCCAUUUAUAUGUUGAAAAUAUUUUCAUCAUCAAACUUCAGUUCUUAUUGUAAUUAAAUAAUCUGAUAUCAUUUCCUUGAGCAUGACAUUCUCAUCAUGAUAAAAGAAAAGUUUGUCUCCACUGAAUUAAUUUGCACGAAUGACCAUACUCCAUAUCAGUUGGUAGGAAGCAGUAUUUAUGGUUUGACCAAGCAUUAAUAUUUAAAAAUAUAUGUCAAUAAUAGUAAAGUACCAUUUAUUUUUAAUUUUUAUUAUUAAAUUUAAUUGUAUUGGGUGGUAUACUGGUACCAUACUGAUAUGGUAGGUCACCAAAAUCAAUACUAGACCAAGAUUUAAAUUCUUGAUUUAAAGAUGCAUUUAAUUGUUAAUGAUGAUAGUUUAUUAUUUAACUUGUGAAUAUAUGAGUAACUGAGGCUGGAAAUAUCAAUCUGGUAAAUAUUCGACAAUUGCUUGAGCACCAACAUAUACGCCAUUCCUUGAUUGUCUCUAAACUUGUGAGAACCCAAAAAAAAAAGUGUCUUACAAGUAUUCAACACUGAAGCUAGUUGGUCUUAUUGAUUUAAGCAAUAAAAAUCCUGUAUUUCAAGGAUUUAUUGAUAAAAAUUAGUAUUAAUAUGUUAUUAUUCAACUUUGUAGAGUAGCUCCAAGGACUACAAAACUUGCAGGACUCUCAAAUGCUAGUUGUUCCAGGCUUUUGUUUUUUCAGUUUUUGAGAAAAAAAUGAGCAUGGUAUUGAGCUAUUCUUACACUGCAUCUUAAGCUGGCUCUCUAAAAAUGAUUUUUUUUCAGUUUCAUGUCUGUGAUGUAAUUUCAAGCCUUGAUUCUGAAAAUCUUGAUGCUAAUCUCAUCAUUGACUUCUGUGCAAAAGAAUUGUAGAGUGCAAGCAUCAUUUCUAUGUGGCCACAGUCACUAAUGCUAUGUUUUCGAAGCAGCAGGUUUUAGUUAAGCUGUCCACCAUGGAGAUGUUCUAAUUUUUGCCGUAAUGUUUUUAGUUAGGAUCUCAUGUACACUCACAUUGAUAUAUGAGAGCUACCUUUAUACAAGUUCUUCACAGACCACUAGAGAAAAUCUUCAUCAUUGAUCAUUAAUCAAUCCUUCCAAUUAUAUUGGCUUAAUUUAGAAACUUAUUAUUUGUAGAGCAGACCUUGUAGAAUGUGGACAUACCAAGUAGUUAAAGUAGUUUGCUAUCCAUGUGCAAUCUGAUGUUUACAGAAGUGCCUACUGUUAUCAUCCUUUUCAUUCAUAUGCUUAUGGACAUGGUAAUAUCUUUCAGAUUCUUAUAAAUGCACAUUGACAUUUAACACCCACUUGCUUGCCUUACUUUCCUUGUUAAUCGACAUAAUUGGAAGUUGGCAUUUUAGUUGCUUUGGUAAUAUGGUCCUGUUUUCCCUCCCCAUUCCAUGCUUCUGUAUUUUACCAUAUAAAUUUAGCAUAAUAGUUUAAGGAGUACCAUAUUUCUCUCCAGGAUCACAUUCAGGUUUUCAUUUAUCCUGUGGUUCACCAUUCAUUUUCAAGUUAAGAUCUUUUUUCCUUGACUUUCAUAGAACUAAAUGGAACAUUGAUGCAACAGAUAUGGGGUGAGAUUAUGAAAUCCUGUGAAAUGAGGGGCAAGGAACUUGUGGAUACAAAUAUAAUCACAAUGUUUCAUCUGAGUGAUUGGUUACAAACCAAAGGAGCCAACCAGGAAAUAGUUGGUGUUGGUCUACCUUCGUAUGCUUUUUUGCACACUCUUCUCGACUCUAUCAAGUGUGGAUCAGGUGGAUUGUUAUUGAGCAAUGGUAUUGAAGUUACUCACAUGAACCGACCACAAGAUAGAUUGUUGGAUUGGUUCUUCCAUCCUGUGACAGUACUCAUGGAGCAAAUCAAGGUCAUAAAGUUGAAAGAAGAUGAAGUCAGGUUCUUGGAGAAACUAGUUCUUUUCGUGGGUGACAACUCAACAAUGGGAGCCUUGGACAAUGUCUUUAUGGUUCCUCAAGAUGUUAUUAGGACUGCACAGAUUCAGGCGAUUAGCAGAAGGUAAGAUAUUUGCCGUUGUCAGACUAAGUAUAUUGUCUGUGCAUCAUUAUAAAUAUCGAUAUUCUGUUUCAUGAUAUAGUUCUCACAAAUUAAAUAAUAUAAUUUAUAAAAGAAAACAGCUUUCUUAUAUAUGUAGAAUUUAUGACAGCUAUCCAUAUGUGCAUUAAUUAUGGUAAAGAAAGAAAUUGUGUUCAAUCUUUGUGCAUAAUUAUGGUAAGGCAUACAAAACAAUGUAGUUGAUGGUAAACUUUAAUCUUGAGUGAGAUGGGUGUAAAAUAUUUAUCCCAAAGCUUAGAACAGUAGAUAUUCUUAUCUUGUUUGUUAUACCUGUGGACAUGAAACAAAUUGGUAAUUGAAACAUUUUCCCACUUGGAACACUAAGGUAACUGCAUUUUCAGUUCAUCCCCUACGGCUACAUUUCCUUUUCUACGUGUCACCAGAUAAAAGGAGCAUAACCAAAUAUUUCAAUAACCCUCUCUAAUUGUUUAGAAAUUUGAGCUUGCUUGGUGAUCUUGCAGUAACUUGGUAGCACAUGCAUCAGUUUUCUUCCUUUAACCAUCAAGUGAAAAGUCCUGCAAUAAGUAAGUACAAAUCAAGAUGCUUCUAGAUAUAUGGAAAUGGUUAAAUAGGAACUCAGUGGUGGGGAUUGGUAUAAAAUAAUAUAAUGUGGUUGAUUCUUUUCCUUUGGACUUAGUAAAAUAAUGUUUGAUGAAACCAUCUUGAUAUUUUAUGGUGAUUGUCAAUGCCUUGUUAAUGGGAGAAGGCUUGAAUAAUCCAAUAUAAAGAAAUUGCUGCCUUUUUCUGUUCUUAUCAAUGCCAGUGUCUACCUUUGAUAUUUACAACAAUAAAAGGUUACUGACCCAACUUGAUCUUGGAUCCAUAUCAACCGAUUGUUUAAGCUAUACUAUGUGUGAUGUAACAUAAAUUAUAUUGCCAUGUUUCUUUGUGAACCAGAAGUUUUUGUCUUCUCCAUGCCUACUGUCAUAGCUGUGCCAAAAUUUCUGCUUAUAGCUUAGCAUGGUUUCUCUCUCCUGCACUACAUAGAUUAACUUAUUGUAACAAGGAUUAAAGCAUUCAACUGGCAGGUUGGUUGGCAUGACGAGGAGCGUUUCAAAGUUUCCGACCUACAGAAGGAGAUACAGGCAAGUCGUAAAGGUUCUUAUGUCUUACUUGAUUGAGAGCGAAGGGUCUCUUGAGAGAGGAAGGUCUUGCCGAACGCAUUCAACUAGAUCGAUUUCUUCUGCCGAGAUUGUACCAGCUGAAGUCUAGUGAUGCUUUUUUUAAUUUUUAAUUUUUUUUUACCUUUCUUAUUGUUGGUUUUAUGUUGGGCAAUGUCCAUAGUAUAUUGAGUGCUUAGAUCAGUGAGUGAAGGUAGUUGAUAUCUACUACACAAACUUCAGCCUAAAGAUUUGAAAUGGAUGUGCAUGAUAGGUUUUUUUAUUGUGUCAUGUCACUUGUAAAUUCUGUACUUGGUAGACAGCAAAAAUUCAGUGAAGAUAGGAAGUCAUGGUGAAGUUUGUCUUUUGUUAUCAAAUUGGUAUUCAUUUGAUCUCAUGGUUUAUCUCUUACACAAUCUGAGUGAAGCACCAGUGAAGAGCUGUGUUUGCCAUGAAAAUUAGCAAUUAUUUUUCCCAAGAAAACAAGAAUCUAUUAAUGGAAGGAAAGGGAAAAUGGAUGGAUGGAGGGAUGAUGAUGUCCUGUAAACCCUUAUCCUAAACCUUUUUCCCCAUGUCAAAGAAGAGAGGCAAAGAGACUCCAACACAGAUUUAUGAGCCAUGGAUGAUGGACCCAUCACUGUUGACAAUAAAUGGACCAACCAUUUGGAGAACAAGAUCAUUAAGAGAACAAGCUGUUUCUGAAAUAAAUGCUCAAGUCCUAUUAGAGAGAGAUAAAGAGAGAGAAGAAGAAGAGGAAGAAGAAGAAGAAGAAGAAGAAGAUUCAGUGUAGAUCUCACAACAUUGGAGAUAAAUGUUUAGUUUGAUGGAAAACAAUUGCUUCAGUGUCAUGUUUGAUUCAUAAAAGAACACAACAUCUGAAAAGUAAGGAGAUGUGUAGAGAGAUUGGGUUAGGAGAAGAACUAAAUAUCCUUUAUUGAGAACUUCUCUCUUCUCUCUAUAAUUGUAACUCUGUACAUAUAUAAAAUAAAACUUAUGGACUCACCUACUCAUACCAACUCAAAGUAAAACACUGCAUUUAAAAUGUUUUCGCGCACUACAAAAAAAUUCUCGUUAUAAACAACUCUAAUAAUAUUACCAUAAAAGUUUUAAUUUAUUUUUUAAAAAAUAUUCUAGUGAUUAAGAUGAGUCCAUUGGAUGACCUACAAUGGUAUCAAAUACUUUUAUUAUCGUCUCGUUACGAAUAAACCUAAUAAUAUUCUCGCAUUUCAUAUUUUCGAUCAAUUGAGACUCGACACAUGAAGUAUAGAAUUAAUUUAUAUUCACCGAUUGAACUUAUCAUGUUAGCAUGAUUGUUAUAAGAUAAAGCUCUUUAUAAGAUUUUUUUGUUCUCGUGAAUUUUAUCGAACUCACCCGUAGUUCUUGUGGGAACAUAUUAAACAGAAUAUAAUUUUUUUUAAUUAUGAAAAAAAAUUCUCCCUUGAUUGAAUCAGAAUUUUCCUCUUUUAAAUGUGAAAACACUCACAACAGUUUGAUCACCAAAAUAACCAACCAUAUUAGCAUUCAUUAAAUCAAAUUUGUAAGAUAACAGGGAAAUUACUAAUGCAAAAGAUCAAAAUUUGCUUCCAUUCGAAUCAGGAUUAGAAGACCACGACGUGGAUCGAGUUUGAAAUUGUCAUCCCUAAUCACAAGAGAGAGAGAGAGAGAGAGAGAGUUUGGGAGGACAAAAACACUCCAAACGUGCAGUCACCGACUUCCUUCUCCGACUACCGAAAUCGGCACUCGCCGAUUCAUAAUUCCUCGGCCGCAAUUUUGGGUGAAGCGACGGGUAAUUGGAGCCGAGAUCGACGCGUUUGCGUCGCCAAGUCAAAGCCUCGUGCCUCACGUCUUGUCCAUAGUCGUGGCCCACAGCACUCACCCCACAACCCCCUCCUCUCGAGUUCGGAUCUCAUCGACCACGGGUCUCGGAUCCGUACUCGAUAGCAGACGUGUAUUCCUUUAUCGGGUUUGGAUUCGAGUUCACCCGAUAAAUAGUCUCUAGUUUAAUUAAUGCUCUACAAAUCCGACUAUUUGGUUGAGCUGUUACUACUACUACUACUAAUAAUCAUAUAUAUAUAUAUAUAAUAUCCUUUUAAUAUUAGUCAAAACAAAGUUAGGUUGAUUACUAAUAAUCAUGGUUAUUUAUUAUUAUUUUGAAUUUUAAAUUUUUACAUAAUAUUCUUAAAAUCAUUACUAUUAUAUCCAAGGUUUUAAAGAUACCAGUAUCAAUUAAACUUAAAAAAUAAUAAUAAAUUAAUCUCAGCUAUCAUUUAAUGGUCAUAUAAGAUCAACUACACAUAGACAGAAGCAAGAUUUUUGGUUUUCUAAGAAUAUAUUAGCUAAAUUUAGAUUUAAAGAAAUAAUAAUCAUAAUCAUUGAUUUUGAAGGAAUAUAAAUAAUAUAUAUAUAUUUAUGUGUGAUUUUAUCAAAAAUUAAUGCGCACCAUAUGAGAACAAACCCACGUCAGGCCACGCUGUCACCACCCCCGUCUCCGUUACGCGAUGAUCCCUCUAACUAAAACCCCAUCCGCGGGACAUGUUACCCGACGAAUCGCGGAUAAGAAGAGGAAACCAAGUUUUACGUUUAGCCGCCCGCGCAAUUCUAGAUUUGCACAGACGCCCCUAACAGAGAAAGGUCUUGUGGCUCGAGAUUUGUGCGAUGUUGUGAUCUCUCGCUGAAUCUACGUUAAUUUCGCUUUGAGGUUCGUGCAUUUGUUUGAUUGAAUGCUUAGGGAUAAUAUUGUGAUUUCAAAUAUUUAUAGGAAUAAGUACGAAAUUAGUGAUUGGGAGAGGGAGGCUUAUGCAAAACCUGCAAAAGAAAGACCAGUGACUUCCGACCCACUCAUACCUGAGUGAUGACUGGUGUCAAUGAUGCCAAAGAGCGGGUCCCGCAUGGCAUCCGUCGACCGUGUAGCUAAGUAACAGGGAGGGUGCGAAACGUGUAAGAAUAGUGUGGUAUGAGUUAUGGGUUUUUCUAAAAAGGGAACAAGGACGACCUUGUCUCUCUCUCUCUCUCUCUCUCUCUCUCACGCGCCCAACACGUACAAUCUUGACAUUUCCCAGAAAUCAAGGGAGGAAGAAAAGACUCAACAUCAAUUUCAUCCUUCUGAUUCUACUUUUCCUUCAAUUUCUCCAACAGUUCUUCUUGAUUUGCUUCCCCUCCCUUCCGUCUCUCGAUGGAAUCCGCGUGGUUGCUUCCUGUUGCCAGAUUUGUUGGAAUCAGGGAGCACAGGGGAAUGUGAUUCGGCUUGGCAAGUAGCUAGCUGCGAUUUGGAGCAGGAGGAAUCGUGCUCGUGAUGGCGGCCUCGGUGGCGCGAGAGCGGCCGAUGGUGCCGCUGGCGGUGCUGCUGAGGCGGGAGAUAACGAGCGAGAAGAUGGAGAGACCGGACGUGCUGCACGGGCAGGCCAGCCAGAGCAAGAAAGGCGAGGACUUUACCCUCCUCAAGACAGACUGUCGGCGCGUCCCAGGCGACCGCGACGCCGACGCAACAUUCUCCGUCUUUGCGGUAUAGUACCUUCCGUCCUUUCUCUCUUUCCAAGCCUCGAGUGUUGAACGAUUGCAGUGGUUGGAUGGGAAUUAUUUGUGUGCGCGUUUUCUCAUAAUUUCUCUUUGAAAUUGUUACAAGAGUUUGUGGCUGUCAAACAUGAAAUUUCGUAGUGUCGGUGUUGUUUACAUCGAGCGAAGAUAAUAUUGUGUGUCCUUUUUGCUGUGCUUGCGGGGAAGGUUAAGGUUUUGUUUUUAGUUGAAAUGAGAACCUGUCCGUGCCUUGAUUAUGCAGCUUGACUUUUUCUUUGGGUGCAUUUCAAUUCUUUAUGUUGUACCGUUUCUUCUCCUUUUUCUGAUCGAAAAGCUGUUUACUUCUUGAGAUAAUUCGAGUUAUUUCACUUCUUUUCUGAUCUUUUCUUGAUUGAAGAUCUAAGUGUUUCUCUCUCCACCACCCAGGUGUAUAUACCUAUUUAAAGAUAUUUUUUUUGUUACUUAAAUUGAAUAUUCUCAUGUUACAUGCUAAAUGGAUAAUAAUACAAAAAAAGGAGAGGAAGAGAUCAAAGAAGCCUUUUACAUUAGAAAAAUUGUAGCUAAGACAGAUCUAGUGGGCUCUCUUUACGCAGAUACAUCGUAAUUAAGUUUAAUUUACUCUAGGAGCAAUGAUAUUGCUGCUAAUUGAUGUUCUCAUAAUGAAAAGUUAAUCCCCAAGCAAAAUUCUGCAUGAACAUCUUUGGUUAACAUUCUACUAAAUCUUUUAGUGUAGGAGGGAGUGUUGACACAUAUGUGGCAAAGUCGCAUUGUGACAAUCCACCAAAUGAUAACCCAAAAUCAGCUAAAAAUACCCUAAACUACUGAAAGAUUCACAUGAAACACAUCAUUAUUUAUGAGCAUAAAAUUGAUUUGGUGAAAAGAAUGUUUUUAUGUUAGAUGCAAAGAAUAGACAGUUCACAUAAGAAAUAGAAUAUCAACUAGCUAACAAGAUAUAUUAAUUAAUUGGCUAAUUGUUUGUUUAGGCACAUAUAAGACUUGAAUUUGUUGAAUUUCUUGUAACAACUUGUUAUGUGACUCAGGCUCAAUUUUCUGCUUUACGGUCCCUUGAAAAACUCAUUGUCUUUCAUGCAUCGUUACAUUCCAAUUGAUUCCGAUGACUCUGAUUCUAAUGAUUCUGAUCAACAUUUGUAUUUAUGUUAUCAAAUUUUCGAUAUAAGAAUCAUAAUUCCAUUUUACCUUUAUCUAUCUGUUUCUGAAAUAUGCAUUUAGAAAUACACACCAAUAUUAUUGUGAGAGUUGUAAACAAGGAAAUACUGAGAAGAUGCCCACAGAAAGAAAGAAGGAAAUCAGAAUGUAACAUGAUGCACAGAGUCAUGGCUCUAGAUGGAACCAUCGGAACGACCUGGUACCAGAUUUCCAUCAGGUCUAAAGUUAGUAAAUAACAAAGUUCCAUAAUACUACAUUCUGUUUCUCUCGCAUGCUAAUAUUUUUAAUUAUCAAUGUGCUAAAGUUAGUAUAGUCAUAAUUAUCAAUGUGCUAACAAUGUAGUUCUGGGAUUUCAUCCAAAUCAUCAUAUCUGACACCAAAUUAAUGCAACAUCUUUGUAUUCUCUUUUUUUAAUAUAGUAUAUUUGCCAACUCCGGUAUGUUUGUGAUCUUCAAAUGUAUUAAAUGCUGAAAAAAGCCUUUUAUUUUCUUCCUGCAGCUAUUUGAUGGGCAUAAUGGUUCUGGGGCUGCUACUUACGCAAAGGAAAAUCUCUUGGAUAAUGUUUUAAGUGCCAUUCCUUCAGAUCUCACUAGAGAAGAGUGGUUAGCAGCACUACCAAGAGCUUUAGUUGCAGGAUUUGUAAAAACAGAUAAAGAAUUUCAAACUAAAGGUAUGUUUGGACUGUUGAAUUGCAACUUUUGCCCCCUUGGUUUUGAACGACCAUUGUUAGAUUCCUCACGUGCUCUGAAUAUUGCCUUUUCAAUUAACCUCAAACCUGUAAAACUUCUUUUCCUCCCAUCCCGGAUUGAUUUCUUUUACUGACUCUUGCUCUGAUGCAUCUGAUUAAACCAAAUAAUGAACUUGUAACUGAUGACAAGGUCCUUCACUUUUGAAUAUUUAGUUACAACUUUGCUGCUUAUUUAUCAUGGUUGGUUCAUCUUCAGUUUGCUGUAAUCUUCCAAUCUAUUUGAGAAAGCAGUUAGAAUUAGAAGAUUGUUGUCUAGUAUGUCGUUUUUCUAACAAAGGUUUGAUUGUUGGAAGAGGUCUUAUAAUGGACGAAUAUUCUGAAUUUUGUAUUUGUAGUUCCAUGAAUAUCCAAAUGACUUUGAAUUUUAAAGCAGGAAAAAUUUCUUGAUAUUUGGUUCACUAAAUUUCUUGCAUACAAAUGCUGUGUUCAUAUCACAUUAAUAAGUCUGUGAUACUUGGUGCAUGUCUGAAUUUAAACUUCAGUUCAUGGUCUUCACAUAAUUUUUGCUACUUGUAUUUGUAGCUUGAAUAGAUCUUUCCUGUAGAAUUUAGCUAUCCUCUAUAUUUCAAAUUGCAUAUUAGCACUUUCUGCCUUCUUUAUAUCAAGUCUAUUGUCUUGAAUAUGAGAUUCAUCUAAUUUUUGUUCUGGUUGCUUUUCAGCGCAUUCUUCAGGAACCACUGUCACAUUUGUCAUUAUAGAUGGAUGGGUAGUUACUGUAGCAUCAGUUGGUGAUUCAAGAUGCAUUCUAGAAUCUGCUGAAGGUUCUGUUUAUUAUCUAUCAGCAGAUCAUCGGCUGGAUAGUGAUGAAGAGGAGUACGUUUGUAUUUUCAGUGGCCCUGUUACUAAUGUUUUUGUGUAGUAUCUGCUGCUUUAUGAUUCGUUCUUCAACAGGGUUGAGCGCAUAACUGUGAGUGGAGGUGAGGUUGGGAGAUUAAAUAUCGUUGGAGGCACAGAGGUUUGUAUACUUCCAACCAUCUUAGGAAGAGAAUUUUUUCUCUUUUAUUUUCAGUUUUCAAACUUACAUCAGUUAUUUUUCUAUUUUCUUUUUUUCAGUUAAACAUUAACUUAACCCUACUCCAGCAGUGUAUACCAAAAUUUAACUUUCAAAUCAAGGAUUACUUCACUGGCAGACACCCUGUAUGGUCCCUAGUUAGACCUGCAAUGUACUCUGGCAUGAUCUGCAUACCAGCUGGUACCAACCACUCCAAUGCCAAGAAAAAAGAAAAAUAAAAAAUAAAAAAUAAAGGUGAAAAGUAAAAAACGAAGAGGACUGAGACUUUUCUGGCUGCUUGUGGUUUGCCUUUAAAAGUUUUGAGAGUUCAGAUUCGGGCUUUAAUUUUUGUAGAAGAACCACUUGGACUUGCUUUCAAUUGAAAGCUGUCUGGAUUCAAUGGUCAGGUUUUGACCAAAACUGGUCAAAACAACUCUUUAUCUUUUCUCACUCAAUGCAGACUCUAGUGCUUUGGAACUUGUUCACAAGAUAAUGGUGGAGUCUGUCGUAUAGGACAAACAACAAACUGUAAUGUCCCAACUAUAAAUCCGUGCCAUAUAUUCUUCCAAAAUAUUGUUGUCCUACAGGAAAUGUUGUAUUGCUUGUUAGGCUCUGGAUUUAACACUCCAUGAGAAUCUAUAGUUCAAGUGUGUAUUGUUCCUCAAAAGUAAUAGUUAUACUUAACUCUCAAGAAACAAUUGAACUUAACUUCUCUUGUCAUAUUAAAGCAGGCAACAAUAAGAGAGCAGUUUAACACUUUAACUAUCCUCUUUGGUAAAUGAAUUAUAAUAUUUUUGUUGAUGAACUUUUACUUGCAUUAUUAAAUCCUUGUACAUAGUCAUAUACUUAGAUAGACCUCCAUGAUAUACAUCAUAUGUUGAUAAUAUUAUUUUGAUUUAUGAGAUUUUAAGAAACUAAAAGUUUUAAAUUAAGUUAAACUAAAAUCGAAUAAUGUAGUUAGAAUGGAAAGACCCUAAGGACUUAUAUGUAGAGUUAUCUUGGAUCUAUUAUUUAACAGAAGAGAUUGAUAAAAGAUAUUAUUCAUAAAGUAAAAAAUUAGUGGGUUGAAGUAGAAAGGAGCAUAAGGAAUUUUGUGUGAUCAUCAAACAUCUUUUAAAUUAAAAAAAAAAAUUUACAAGAUAGUUGGUAGGAUAAUCAUAUCUCUAUGGAUUUUAAUGAUGGAUGGUUAAGAAUUAACAUGUACAGAAAAUUUAUAUCGGCAAGAUGAAAAUGUCAAAAUAGAUGGCUCAAAUUAUUAGAAAAGAUAAAAAAAAUCAUUUUUAGACAAUUAAGUGUAGCUCCGAUGGAGCAUAAAAUGAGUAAAAAAUCAUCUAAGAUGAUACACAAAUGUUCCAAUGAGAUCUAUAGAUAUUGUGGUUAAAUGAGGUGAAAUAAUUAAUACUAAUAGUGGAAUGAGAGGUUGGGAGAGACACCUAAGCAAACUUUAUUAGAAACUAUAGUUAGCUAAGAAUAUUAUCUUCUGCAAAAUUCAAUGGUGAAAAAAACAGAUUUAUGUAGUUGAUUACAUAUAGUUGGGACAUGGUUUGUUGUAUUUGUUGUAUAAUAUGAUAGUCAUAUUUUCUUUCUGACUUUUGUCUUAUGAUUCUUUGGAAAUUUUGUUUUUAUUGUUACCAAUUUGUAGUUUUAUAUAUUUUGCCUUUGCAUUCUCAGAUUGGCCCUCUCAGGUGUUGGCCAGGUGGCUUAUGCUUAUCAAGAUCAAUAGGUGAUAUGGAUGUCGGUGAAUUUAUUGUUCCUGUACCACAUGUUAAGCAAGUGAAGGUUUGUGGAUGAUUAAUGUAUACAAUCUGCAUGCUAGUAUGAUUUUCCUAGGAAGUUAGUUAAACAAUUUUUUUCAUCCUUUUUCCCAUUGUUGCUAAUAAGUGCACAAAUUUUUUUUCUUAAUGUUUAUUUCUUGUUUAUUCUAUAAAAUUUGUUUCUGAAUGAUAUUCAUUUCCCAGAUCUAUGCUUGUAUGCCAUCCUAUGUACGUGUAAUAUAUUUAUUGUGAAUCUUUCAAAUUAGUUUCGGAGGAGGUAGAAAAUGUAAAUAGCAAUUAGGUGGGUUGCUUUUCUUAUGUUACGAAUCAAGGAGUACAAUCAUUAAACUAAUGUUAUACUCAUGCCAAGGCUUUUGGAAUUAUCACAAACCCGGCUCAUUGUUCAACACUAGGGAAGUUUGGGUAGGAAUGAUAGAUCAGUAUGUCACAUACCCAACUGCCUUUCACCACAAAAAGUAUGUAGUUUUUUUAUGUGUACCAGUUGCUAUCAAUCCAUACCACUGCUACAAAUUACAGUUUAAGAAACCACCUUGACUGGCACGAGUUGGGCAGUAAAUACCAGUCCAACAAAGAACUGGUUGGUUAAGGCCAGUUAAAGUUUUUGAGCAAAAACCCUUUAUGAACCCCCCCCCCCCAUCCCUCCUCUCUCUCACUCAAUCACUGCCAAACCCUCAGCCCUGCGUCCUAAGCCAUCCGUGGCUCUUCACCCACUGCUUGGUACCUCCUCCGUUGCCUCUUCUUCCUCCUGCUUCUCCUCCUCCUCCUCUUUUCCUUCUUGUUUCCUUCUCCUCUCCCCUUCUUGGCACUGCAGAAUGUACCAGCAUAUUGUGUAUUGGUACGCUGGACUUAUACCAGUUUAGUCGGGGACUGGUACCUGUCACUUCGAACUGUGGUACAUACUAGUUUAUUCUGAACAGGUAUUUUAAACCUUGAUUAUCAAAUUUGUUGGUUCACACUUUGACAACAUCAAGAUAAUUUGGAGGCAGGGAACAUAAGUUUUCUGGGUGUGUGACCUAUCCAAAGAUGGAAUCUAUGUGUAAUGUGUGGCUACUUCAGAGCCUCACUAUUCAUCACUUCAGUGUUCUCUCAACAUUUUAAUUGAAAGGAUCAAUCCUUGAAGUUUCUGCUUGUUGAAUCUCCAAUGCCAGCAUGUCAUUUCUGUGCUAAUGUAUGUUGAGGUAUGCCAAAUUUGACAAUGGACUAUGAAAUGCUUGAACCUGUUUUACACCAUUUUAUGUUAAGUAGAUUUCAGUUUAUUCUUUGGUAAUUUGUGCCUGAUAAUGACAUUUAAAUCCCUCUACUUCUUGCUCUCAUGUUUAUUUUAAGUUUGGAAAGGACAAAUGCUUUUCAACUUGUUAGUUGUGAAUAUUGUUUUUAAUUAUCACUUUUGAAAAACUCCAUUAUAAACAAUUGGCUUGCACAAUGGCUGCAGCUUUCCAAUGCUGGAGGUCGACUUAUUAUCUCAAGUGAUGGCGUCUGGGAUGCCUUGGCUUCUGAAGUGGCUCUGAAUUGCUCACGUGGCCUGCCAGCAUAUGUCGCAGCCCAUCAGAUCGUUAAAGUACUUAAUUGCUUGCUUAAAAUUUGAGUUCCAGCCACAACGUUAGUUUCUUUAAAUCAUAUUGUAUGAUUUCAUUUUGCAGGAAGCUGUGCAAGUGAAAGGACUUAGAGAUGAUACUACUUGCAUUGUGAUUGAUAUAUUACCACCAGAAAAGAUAACUCCUGCACCACCACCCAAGAAAGCAGGAAUUGGUGUAUUUAAAAAUAUGUUUCGCCGAAAGUCUUCUGAGUCAUCAUCUCAUUCAGAUAGGGAUUUUAUUGAGCCAGAUGUCGUGGAGGAAAUAUUUGAGGAAGGAUCUGCAUUGCUGGGCCAAAGGUCAAAGUCUUGGUCAAAUCUUUACUUGAUUUAUUGAUCUCGAUCUAUCGUGAAUUAUGAUGCUUGUAUUUUGAUAGUGUACAAAAUCAAAUUUGCUUUCCAGUUUUUUUUUCAGAAGUUUAAGCACCAAGAACUCCUUACUAGAUCUUUACCUCUGGUAGCCAGAUUUUGGUGUUCAUGUUUAAAAAUUAAGUUUACGGCAGGAGUAUGUGCAGUGAUAUCUAGAAGGACUUUGACCUGUAGAUGUUCCUAUCGUAGUAGCAGACUGAACUUGGACAACCAUUAAGUGAAUGGUUUAGGUUAGUUAUUCUGAAUUAUGGAAGAGUAGAGGUGAAGUUCGAAAAUUUUGAGACUGAAUGUAUGUCUGUGGCAUACAGUUGUUCAUUGGACCAGUUAAAAUUUCUGUCUAGUUGUCAUUUUAUGAUAUGGACAAACCCUGAUCUUGUUAUAUGUUUCUAUUUUGCAAAGGUGCGUGGAAUGUUUUAGCUAUACAAAAGACAUGUAAAAAUGGAUCCAACUAUAAAUAUUUAUCUUUUUGAUCAACUAGUAUUAUCGUUGCUCAUUGAACCCUAGCAAUAGCUCAAAUAAACAGUUAUAUUAGCCGUAAUGAAUCAUUACUUGAGAUUUUAAUAUAUCUUGUGACACAUGAUCAAUGGACCACAGAUGAAUUGCAGGUUAAACACAGCCUAUCCGAUUCGCAGCCUGUUCAAGCUUUUCAUAUGUGCAAUUUGCCAGAUUGAGUUGAAACCUGAUGAGGGCAUUUCUAUUCAUGGAAUCCCAUCUGUACCUAGAAAACAGCACCCGUGGGAUGGUCCAUUUCUUUGCAUAAGUUGUCAAGAGAAGAGGGAAGCUAUGGAAGGCAAAAGACUUUCAAGAGGUAAAACCAAUCGGUAAAGUGGUAGCUUUCAAGUUCUCACUGUGCUAACAUCAACGUUUUCUUUUUAUCAUCUCUCCAGGUUCUUCGUUUAGAAAGAGUUUUGGAAGUGAGUAGGCUUCCCAUUUGUUAGUGUCAAUGGUAUUGAACUGUUGCAUGGCUCAAGCAUUAGUGCAUGCUCAGAGACAUAUGAAGCUACUUUCAGGACAAUUUUCCUUUCUCCUUUUGGGCAGAAUGGCUAUCAAGUGAAUCGCAGCUACAGGGGCUUUCAUUUGAAUGUUUAUAUUAACAUUCUUUCCUUGAUGAAAGGUUGACAUAAGCUCUCCAUUAAUUGUAAAGCUGCAUUUGGUUGGGUGAUUUAUACGUCGGUCUUUGAAGAUGGGAGGCACUUACGCACUCAGCAUUUCAUCGCCUGGCUUAGGAAGAGCCUGAGAAGUUUUCUUCUAGAUUUGUACAUCAGUCAUGAGAGAGGUAACAUUGGAAGUAUCCAAAGCAAUCUUUUAGGAUAAAACUAGAGUAAAUUACUCCUAGUUUUCUCAACUUUACACCAGGCAAGAUCUAGAGCUUACCUGUUAGUUGAUUGAUGUCAUAGAUGAACUUGUGUUACCUGCCAUUAGAUAUUACAAGAUCUCUGGGGAUUCUUUUUCUCGACCGAAAUUAACAAAUUGAUUCGUUGGAUUUUUUUUUUCCCAUGUUUCAUACUGAUUGCGCAUCAUAUGCUCAUUGUGCUUGAUCUUGCUAUGUGAAGAAUUGGGUUACAUCAUUAGUUUGACUUGGGCAUUGACAUUGCUGCCCCAUGGACUGCUUGAGAUUGGUUAGAAGAUAUGAAAUUAAUUGUUGAUUUCCCAGAUUGACAGUCCCUCAUGGUUUUAUGGUAACCUUUUUUGUGAUGUAAUUAUUUUCUUCUGUUGUUCAAUAAUUUCUCCAAUACAUCGACAUUUUAAUUUUAUUUUUCAGUUACUCUGAAAUCUGACCAAUUGAGCUUAUUUUUGUUUCUUAAUUGAAUAAACUGCUUGUUAGAUGAGUUUUAUGUUAGGAUCGACGCUACGGUGUUAAAAUAUUAUGUGCUUAUUUGGCAUCAUAUGCUUUAUGGCAAUUCAAAAGUAAAAUUUAACUGGUUUUACUUAGUGCUAAUGGAGGUUGCUUUGACCAAAAAUAAAUAAAAAUAAAAAAUUUCAGUGAUCUUAUUGGCGUAUAUAAAAAUAAACCUACGGGAUGACAUAUAUAAAACACAUGAAAUUUAUGUUCUAUAAAUAAAUUUAUAUCAUACUCUCACACAAUAGAUUAAAAAAUGGAUGGAGAAAUUAUUUAACCGUCACAUCUAACGGUUUCCUAAUCCCAAAAGGAUAGAAAAAUAAAAUAAAAUUAUAUUGAUCAUAUCUAAAAUAAUAUAUAAAAAUAUCUUAAUUAAUCUUUUAAAUAUCAUUAAUGUCAAGUAGUAUCCAUUAGCUCUCAAUUGAUUGACUUAAACCCUUAUUUGAUCGAUUCAAUUAAAAUUAAUCUCUAAUCCUCAUUUAAUCAAUUUAAAAAUAUAAUUUAGAUUAGAUUAGAUUUAAUUUAAAUUAAAUAGAUUCAAAUAACUCAUGUUAAUUAGAAAUAAAUCACCUUGAUCUAAAUUGAUCAAAUUUGAUUUACCUCAAUGGGUAUAGAUCAAACAAAACAAAGGUAAUAGGCUAAACUGCAUCAUGCACCCCACUAGGGUGCAUUCUCCACAUGAGAUUAUCUAACCGUCACAUCUAACGGUUUACUAAUCCAAAAUGAUAGAAAAAUAAAAUCAUCUUAUAUUGAUCAUAUCUAAAAUAAUAUAUUAAAAUAUCUUAAUUAAUCUUUUAAAUAUCAUUAACGUUCAAGUAGUAUCCAUUAGUUCUUAAUCGACUUAAACUCUUAUUUAAUCGAUUCAAUUAAAAUUAAUUUACUUAGAACCUAAUUAAAAUGAUCUAAACUGCAUCAUGCACCCUACUAGGUUAGAUUAGCCCAUAACUUUAAUCAAUAAAUGGCAAUACAAGAAUCCAAUUUAGAUUGCCAAUCUUUCCUUCCACUCCACAAGGAAGUCAAUAAACAAUGACACUAUUUCUUGUGUGUAUUCUCCACAUGAGAGAAAGAAAAAGGACUAGUAAUAAUUGGCUUCCAGUAUCUGACUUGAAUGCCUAUUUGUCCUACAUAACAUUUUCUUGGACAGAUAGUGAAUCUUCACCUAUCAUUCAACAUGUGAAACAGUUAAUAUUGAAUUCAAUUGUCACCAACCAUGUUUUUGGUCUCUCAUGUCAACACCAAAAAUUGGUGCCUUGCUAAUAGUCUUUGGCACCAUAUAUAACACUCAUACAAGCACUGUUUCUUACUGAUUUGACUCAACUUGUUACAGUUGACCACCUCUCUCUCUCUCUCUCUCUCUCUCUUUAUCAUGGCAGAAGACGAAACAAAGGACAGCUCAAGGCCCUCAGACCCAUGGACACACAAGAACCACAAAGGUUGAGAGAGAAGGAAGAAGAAGACAAGGCUCCUCCUCCUCCAUCUUCAUCGGCUUCCCUUUCUGAUGAGUUCUCAUUCGCAACCUCACUCCACCCUCCUCUCAACACAGCACCGAACACCCUUAAGAGCCACAGAAGCACGUCAACUGUGGCACUCGACAUGGCUGCGGCCGACGACCUCUUCUUUCAUGGGCACCUCCUUCCCCUCCACCUGAUGGCUCCCCGCCCCUCCGACUUCUCAGCCGAGAGCUUCAGCCUUCCCAAACUAAAUUACCAGCGAGAUGAUACCCACAAGAAUUCCGGCGAGAACAAGGAGAGGGUUAAGGCGUCGUCGAUGACCUUGUCUUCCUUCUUUGGUCUCGGGAAGCCACGCAAAGGAGGCGACGAUAGAGAAAGAGAGGAAGACACGAGGAGAAGGAGAAAGCGAGGAUUCGACAUGAGCCGGUUGCUGAAGAAGUACACGAGAGUGAUGGAGCACCUCUUCUUCUCCAAGGGGGAGAAGAAGAAGCGCGACCAGCGUCGGAGUCUGUGCACCUUCUCCGGUCACUCGAACCACAGGGGGGAGAGAGAGUGGUGGAGGAAGAAGGGACAGCUGUCGGCGCCGGCCUCCACGAUGGCGUCUCCCAGGAAUAGCGGCCUCCUCUCGGCUUCAGCGAUAGCCUUCUCUUCCCCAAACGACAGUAGCAUGGAGGAGCUUCAGAGUGCAAUCCAGGCAGCCAUUGCGCACUGCAAGAAGUCUGUGGCAAUGGAGGAGGAGAGAUGCAAAUCCUGAUAAGAUAAGAAACACCAUCAUAUAUCAUGUAAGUGUGAUAGAAUGGAGAAUAAGAUUCCAAUUUAAAUUGCUGUUUCUUUUUCUUCAACAUCUAUAUUGGCAAAGAUUCAUUUUACUUCUUCUAUGGUUCCUUGAAGGAAGAUUAUAGACUAAAAAUAUAUAUAUUUUUUUACGCCUAAAAGAUUGAUGAUUCGAAAUCUCAUCCGAUAUAUUUUAUAGAAUAUUAAUCGGACGAUAAUAUAUAUAACUCGUGUUAUAAAUUUAGUUAAGUGUUAAUGUACCUAACUCACUUAUCUUAGAUUAAGAGUUCAAAACUCUAUCCUACAAAUUAUUUAAAGAAAUAUUCAAACAAAUAAAAAAAGAAUUUUUUAAUGUUUAUUCUUAUUUUUAAACCAUGUAUAAUUCUUCUUCUUCAGAUUUCACACAUGAAACUGAUUUCAUUAUUUUCAGGAUAGGACAAAGAAGAUAUCUUGACAUGAUUAAGGUAGGACCCAAGUGGUACAUAGAUAUAGACAAGAUCCAGCCAAUAUCCAACACACCAUGGACCCAAACCUUUUCCUAGAAAAGUUUCAAAUGCCUUGAAUCAAGAUGUGCUUUGGAAGAAGUAAAACAUUAUGACUCCUCCUUCACUGACAUUUGAUCCAAUCAUCAUUUGCAAAAUUAAGCUUCAUCAAUUGGAUCUAUCAUCCAAUAAAAUUUCAUACCCACCUUCAACUGUUUUCCUUAAACCACCACCAACAAUGCAUGGAUCCUAUGAACUCCACCUUCUGUGGUGAGAGUAAUUUCAUUUGGUACAUGGAUAUUAUGUUGAGUUAAUAAUUAUCCUCUCUCUCUCUCUCUCUCUCUCUCUCUCUCUCUCUCUCUCUCUCUAUUGGUUCCAAAUGUUCACCUUAUUAUCAACAGUUAAGAUCUCUAGAAGUUAGCCUAAUGGACAAUUCUAUUAACUGUCCAUGUUUGAUCUACUUGUUCCUUGGUGAUGAUGCCAAGGUAUCAAGAAUAGGAGAGGAAGAUUUGAAUAUUACUUGGUCUAAUCUUUUACUACAAAUGCUAUGAAUGCUAUGGAUAGUGUUCUAUAAAACUUUCUUAGCUUAAUAUAUUGGUCGAAAACAAUCUCUUGAUGCAUAAUAAUAAGAUGAUAUACAUUGUACAUCUCCAUAUUGAAUUGAGAGGUGUAGUAAACUUUUCCAGGCCCUGAAAUGGUUUAGGAAUCAACUCUUGCAAGCUCUCAGCAGGACCCAAUUAUGCAUCUCCAUUAUUGGAUUGAAAUAACUGGCACCUAUCACACUCAUGAACAGGAACAUUCACAGAUCAUCUGGAUGUGCUACAUCUUAGUUACAUGGACAAAAGGUUGCUGGAAAGCACUUACAAUUCUUACCUCACAAGGCAAACUAUGGACUUCGAGACUGAUUCGAUGCUUUCUUGCAAGUAGAGAAACCCUAGUUUGCAUGCAGACUCGGUUGAUUACCAGUCCACAUGGGAGGUUGAUCUACUGUGCAUUCUUGUUGAUGCCAGUCCAGGAGUAGAUGAGAUGUUCAUCUUCUUUGAUAGUGUUCACAUAUUGCACCACACACAGCAUGAGUAUGAACAGUACAUCAAAGCACACAUGAAGAUUACGGUCGCUUCAAACAAUCAAUUCAUGGUAGACGUGCCAUUGCUAAUACGCCACUAUCUUCAAGCCCAGACUCUUCCGAGCAAACUCUGCAUCCCGUGCUGCUCUUGAUGUACUUAGUCGAAGUAGCUUCGACUUGCAGCAGCUGGAUUUAUAGGGAAAAUAUACAUAGAUCAUGUUUCCGGUGGAUCGAUCACUUUGUUCUUGAUCAUACAGUACACGUAUGGGUGGGUUCUUAGAACAGUUGGAAAAGGUAGGGGUGAAGCUUGGCUGCAACUUUACAGGUACGGGUUGCUGUCGAAUCUGUGAGGAAGAGGCAUCAUGAGGGAAUAGAAUCAUACAAAGCAAUGGAAAAUAGACUGCCACAGAGCUCGGAAGUCAAAAACAGGAAGCUAAAUGAUAGAUGAAGAUUCCAUUAAUGUUGUGUACUGGUUUUGGAUGACAAAAGGCAUUUGCAUCUACAGACUUCAAACCUUCCUGUCAUACUUAUCCUAAAGUUUGAAUCGGUGACUAUAUCAUACAACUUUGAUUAUAGUUUGGGUAAAGCUUAUUAAACCAAGAUUGAUUGGUGAGACAAGGAAUAUUUUUUCUCACCUCGGGGUUCGACACGUGGAAGUCAAGUCAUCGAUCCGACCACGUCAUCAUGAACAAAAAAUAUUAUCUGAAUAUUUUCUGUUUUAAUCCAUAUUUUCCUAAGAUAAUUAAUCUUCUUUGUAAAACUUAAAAUGAAUAUUUGUUUGAAGAUAAUUUUCAGUAAGUUAGAAAUCCUAAGUAGUAUUGAGUAUGAAUAUAGAUUAAAAGGAUUAGCUUCGAAUAAAAAUCCAUCAAGCAAUAUAUAUAUUUGACAUUUAACAUGCCUUUACGUAGUGUUCAUCUUCACCCACACACACCACACGACAAGCUCGACUGCAACUAUACAAAUAGGUAGAAGAAACGAAGGUUAAUACAUGCACUCCACACGAAUCUCAAAGACGGCUCAGGAAGAAUCGUACUCGUAGAUCUUCAUGCGGAGGUGCUCGUUAGCGUAAGCGAUCAACCUUCCCAUCUCCUCCUCCUCGAUCACGCCAUUGCGGUUCACGUCCGCUUCCUUCAUCGCCGCCCGCGCCUUCCACCACGCAAACCACGUGUGCAGGCUUUGCAGCGCCCGCUGCAGCUCCUCCCUGCUGAUCCGCCCGUCCCGGUCCGCGUCGAACUGCCUCAGCCACGCCCUGAACUCCCCCGCCGUCAUCUCCCUCUGCGGUAGCAGGUGGCUUCGCAUGAACGCCAUAACACCUCUCUCUCUCUCUCUCUCUCUCUCGCUCUCUUUCCACAGUUCUCGAGGGACAGCUAAGUUUUCUUUCUGAUGGAUAUUUAGGGUUCCUGGUUUGGUGUGGUGGAUAUAUCAUGGUGAUGCAUUGGAAACCAAGUUAGGCAUGGAGAAUCGAUGCUCUCUCGAUUCGCCAUGAGUUAUCUCUUGAUGUUGACGAAGUGGAAAAGUUUGAUUUCCAGGCAAUUGGUGUUGGGUUGGCCACGUUCUUCUCGAGAGGGAUUCUCUGACAAGAUGUAGGAAACAACACAUCACCGAGCUGUCCAUUCCCAUACGUACUGUACAAUCUCAGUCGAGGGAAGAAGCUUUUGUGCUUGUAGGUUCAUGUAAGUCAUCUUUAGAUACAGUAAUCGGAUCCGAUUGGCUGUAACCAAACCCGACCCGACGUGAGUUGCUCUAUACCCGAACUCCGUCUUUGAUCGAACCGAGUCGAUCGCUCGACCGCUGGUACAAGUUAACGGUCGUGAUGCGAGUUUGGAAGAUUCCGAUUCAAAGUAUGGUUGGAUAGGAUCCUUGUUACGGUCUAUCAGGGAGGAAUGCAGGAAGGGGAUACGUAGAAUUGACCUAAUCCGAUGUGUGUGGGCCAUCUGGGGUCCACUUUGCUUCUGCUCAGGUGACUGAGUCGGGUAGGAGUUUACGAGUGCCCGAAAAGGUCACGUGGUAUGGACACCUAUAGACACGUGACCUACCCUCUAUUAGAGCCACUUGUGGAUCCAAUUUAAGGUCCGAUUACAUGAAAUGGACCGGUCUAAGGACCCGAUCCGUAACCAAAUUGAACACGGCAUUCACUGAAUUCGGUGGACUUAAACCCCAAAUUCCUAAAGAUCGAAUUUGAUCCGAUCCGAACAACACAUGGAUUGACUUUUACGAUCGAUCGAUUGGUUGAAAUAUUUCUCAUUUAAUUUUAUAUUCGUUUGUUACAUAUAAAACGCAACCGUCGAUGAACUUAAAACCGUAACCACAACAUUGUUGGCAGAUAAUGUUCCUCUUCGUCGGGUUUCUUCCGUCGGAAGCCCCUCCGAUCGCUUGAAGAAGACGAGCAUUUAGUCCCCCGGAGCUCCUACGAAGCAUUGAUUUGUGCUGCCACUACCACCACCGAGAUGAACUCUUGUUCUCCCUUUCCCAAUCCAGUCUAUAAUGCCGCCAUAGCUCAACCACGAGAUCCUACACCUUCUUGUCCGACCCCCAGCUUCUUGUUGAAUCCGAGAAGCCCACCCCAUGUCGGAUUUUGUUGUACGCACAGGAUGCUCUCGCUGAAGAAGAGGAGAAGCUCGAGCUUCCUGUUCGAUGCCGUGGCGGAUGGUCGAUCAGGAGAGGUGGUCGGCACUGGCGGUGUUGCGGACGAUGACGACGACGAUCUAUGUCCGGUUGAUUGCGUCAGGGAGUUCAAGACCGAGGAGGAGUUCGCGAGGAUCCUGGACAAGGCCAAGGCCGCCGGGUCGCUCGUGGUUGUGGAUUUCUACCGCGCCUCGUGCGGAAGCUGCAAGUACAUCGAGCAAGGCUUCGCGAAGUUGUGCAAGGGUUCCGGCGAUCAGCAAGCGGAAGUGGUCUUCCUGAAGCAUAAUGUAAGCCCUCUUCUCCUUUCUCGCCCUUUUAGGCAAGUGUGCUUACCGAUCUCUCUUGUUUAUGGUCUGCCUCUUCAAGGUGGCAUGGUUAGUGUUUUUGCUGCAGUCUCCAUUUAGUAGGGCAAGUUAUUGUAGGGUCAAGAUGGCAAAUUUCUCCUUCGGUCAAUUAAUACUAGGCGAAAUCCAUGGGUCAAUUGCAAGUUAUAUAAUGUGUUUUAAUUGGUAUUAAUGGUGCAUAAUGUUUUUAUCUUAUUAAUAAGAUGAGAUAGUACUACCCAAUUUUACCCUGAAAAGAAAAUAUAAUAAUAUAAUGUUGAAAUAUGAGAGUAAAACAUGCUCAAGUUUUACUAAUUUACUUCCAUAUCAGUAAUUCAGCCUUAACCCUUUAUAUUCCUUAAAUCAUAAAACAUGUUACUUAGUUCUCGAUAUAAGGAUAAAGGUUUUUAAUUUGUCAGUUCCUAACAACAAAUGUAAAACAAUGUGAAAAUGUAGAUUCUCAAGGAAAUGAUAAUGUGGCUUCAUGUAGGAUUUUUUCUGAAUUCUCGAGAAUUGUGGGAAUUUCUUAGUAGCAGAAACAUCCCUCAAUAACAGACUCUAUCCUCAGCAUAAUGAAGUAUUAAUCCUUUUAACCAAGGUUUCUAUGCUUAUUUUGUAUGGUUCCUUAUAGUGAGCAUAAUGGUAUGUGGAAGAACAGAUGGAGCAACCGAACAAGAUGUCACUUUGACUCUAUAUCUCAAGCAUGACAGUACUACUGAGAGCAACACCUAAGUUAUAGCUUUCUUAUAAUUUCUAGUUGACAUACUGAAAGGUGGAUCAAUUUAAUAGCGAGAAUGGCCAACAUGACACUAUGUUUCUACUACAUUCAGUGAUGAACAAUGAGACAAAAUGUUAAAUGAGUGGAACAGAUAUUUUAUACCAGGCUGCCUCAGACUCCAACAUUUGUACCACCCAUCUUUAGGCAGUUUAAACAGCUCGAUACGUUGCUGUCACUGAGUUUCACAGCACGAACCCAAUCAAUCCAUACGGAUGGAACUACUGAAAAUAUACCACAGAUGUCUUGUUCCAUUGAGUAACUGACUUCAGUCGCAACCCACCUUCUUUAGCAUCACUUUUGGAGCUACUAGUAUGGUUUUUUUCCUUUAAAGUGGUAACAAAAGAAUUCUUUUUCUUGUUAAAAAAUAAAUAAAAAAUGAUAUAGAUCAAACUCUCUAAUUCAAGCAUUUUUUAUUAGAUGGUCAUUACACUUCAUAGCAGUAACACUGGUACUUCAUUUAACAUUCUUAUUGUAUUUGUGAAUGGCCUUCUGUCAUCUUAAAAUAUUAGUUUUUUAUUUUUUCUUGUGUUGCAAAGUAGGUUUUUCUUUUGUAUGCUCUUUUACUGACUUAUGAAAGGUAUUUUUUCUUCUAUCUCAAACUCUAGGUUAUUGAUGAAUAUGACGAACAGUCUGAGGUUGCAGAACGGCUACGGAUAAAGGUGCAUUUACUGGAUUUCUCACUUCUUAAAUUAGACUCAUGACGUUAGAAAGAUUGUACGUACAAUCAACUGAAAAUGUUAUGAAGUGCUAUACUAUCAAAUCACAGUAUUCCCUGUGGACAUUACCAUGCUGCAGAACAUGCUUUGCAGUUUGCAGAAAAUGGAUUUCUCACUUCUUAAAUUAGACUCAUGACAUUAGAAAGAUUGUACAUACAAUCAACUGAAAAUGCUAUGAAGUGCUAUACUAUCAAAUCACAGUAUUCCCUGAAAACAUUACCAUGCUGCAGAACGUGCUUUGCAGAAGGUGGAUUUCUCACUUCUUAAAUUAGGCUCAUGACAUUAGAAAGAUUGUACAUGCAAUCAACUGAAAAUGCUAUGAAGAGCUGUACUAUCAAAUCACAGUAUUCCCUGAAAACAUUACCAUGCUGCAGAACAUGCUUUGUGCCGCCCUACUUGCUGUAUUUGACACACUUUUCCUCCACAUGGCACAUUGGUUCUUCUUAGUUGCUUCACCUUUGAAUUCCAGUACAUUUGUUCUCACCUUUAUGUCUGAUAUCAUCUGGUGUUGAAAGGCAACUUGAGUUCUAAAACAGGGUUGUUCUAAUAAUGAUUGCAAGUUUCAAGUAGAUAAUAUUACAAAACAGCUUCAAGUACAUUAUUCAAUUGCCAAACUGACGGAUGGAAUUCAUGCAGUCAGUUCCACUGUUCCAAUUCUACAAGAAUGGGGUCCUGUUGGAAGCGUUUCCAACCAGAGACAAGGAAAGAAUAAUAGCUGCCAUUCUUAAAUAUACUUCCAGUUCCUAAGUGUUGGUGAUGUUGCUUCACAGGCUGCAGGUUUGCAUUGUUGCACUCAUUCUCUUAUGACCAUGAAAGUCCAGCUUUAUAAGUAGAAUAUUUCUUUCUAGGGAACCUGCUGUUCGUUUAUUGAGUAGCCUCUGUUUUCAUAUGCUUGUACAUCUGUGCCAUGGCUGCUUCAUCUUAUUCUUUAGACUACCUGCUAGUUUUGUAUGAAAGGCCUGAUUCAAUGUAGAUAAUCUGUUGGCUUCCAACACUACAUCAGACAUUCUAAAUUGUCGAUUGCUAGUCUAAUCACCGAUACUCUUGUAAUAGCCUCUGUGUAAAAUGAGCGUAGCAUUCUUGAUUCGUUUGGAUAGAGGAUCACAUAAUGGAAAUAAAUGUACUUAAAAUAUAGUCGAAUAUUGUGGAUGGUGACUUGUUGCUCCAGCUGUUGACUUUUGUCUCUGUAGAUGCUUUUUAUUAUGUGAACAUGUAAUUAGACUCCUUGGUUAGUCCACUUGGUUGUUGAGACUUGCAUGUAUCUUGAAUGUUCUUCUCUUUGUUUUGCUUUGCAUUUGGGUUUGAUAUUUGUUAAGCAUAUAUUGGGUCAUUUGCUAAUGGCUUAAGCUUUUGAUAUUUUUUAUCACCCAAUUCAAUCCUUAAGAUGGUAGCAAAACAAGUCAUUGAGUUCCACUUAUGUAUUUAUCUUUUUUUUAGUGUUUAUAUGUAUGUAUUUUGGUGAUAUGGUUGGACUGAUGAAUACUUGGAGGAGAAGGAAAGAGAUGGAGUGAUGGAGGAAGGAGAGGAAGAAAGACGAAAGGAAGGAGGAAGAAGACCGAGCAAAUGGAGAAGAAAAAAGGCAGAAGAAAGACGAAAGGAAGGAGGAAGAAGACCGAGCAAAGGGAGAAGAAAGAAGACAGAAGAAAGACGAAAGGAAGGAGGAAGAAGACCGAGCAAAGGGAGAAGAAAGCGAAGAGUAUAUAUAUAUAUAUAUAUAUAUAUAUAUAUAUAUAUAUAUAUAUAUAUAUAUAUAUAUAUAUAUAUAUAUANNNNNNNNNNNNNNNNNNNNAUAUAUAUAUAUAUAUAUAUAUAUAUAUAUAUAUAGGGUCUUCUUUAUUUUUAUAUUAAGAUAAAUAAAUAAAAAAUAAAAUACCUGCUCAUAAUGAUCAAUUAUAGAACAAGAAUUCAUCUCCUAAAAUUGAUAACAUACUUUUAUUUUAAACAACUUAUUUUGACUAAUCAAAUGUUUAAUUCCACCGUCAGAUUGGUCAAAUAAACGUCAUCCACCCAAGUUCAGAUGAAAAUGAUCGUGGUUUAGAUCAAUGACAAUUAGUAUAAAAUUAUAUCAAAUCUCAUGAAUAAAAUGAAGGAUUAUGUUAGAUCAAUGAUAAUUAGCUUAAGAUUAUAUAAAAUCUUAUGAACAUAGAUCUUACAUUACAUAAUGAUUUGGUAUUGUUCUACGUAUUCCAUGUCCAAUCCAACACUGGCAGUUCUAAUCACCCAUCACUGUUGUAUGCUGCAACCUUGAUAUGAUAACCAAGUGCAGAAACAGCAAGAUGACAAGAUGACACCUGAGUUCUGACUGCGUUGCUGGGGAAAUUAGAUACAAAAUAAAAGAACAAUAAAAGCAAUCUCAGCGCCAAUAGCUAAAAUUCCCACAUCCUCACAUCAUAUCAUUUGGAAAUAUAGCUGCGCAAACCAAUAUAUAUGGUGGCUCUAUCUAUCAUACAAGCAAAGAAAAUAGUGCAGCUGGAAAGUAAUGCUGAGUAACAUCACAGGCAUGUUAAUCAAAUUACAAAAUCUUUUUCAGUAUAGAAAAAGGGGUAUUGAUAGUAACUACACAUCUCACAGCUUAUACACAUAGGCAGCCUACAAACAACAAUUGCUUUCCUCUCUUAACUAGAUGUUAAUCAACAAUGUGUACCUGGAAUCAUCAACAGGAAGAGGAUAUAUGAACAUCUAAUUUGACCAGGCGACGAGGUUCCCGUGCUAGAAAAAGGGAUCGCCUUCAUCAUAUGCUUCUUCUUUGUUUUCGGUCUAUAAUCUUUAACUUCAAAAUUAGUACUGUUCGUUCGAUCGUUUUUGUCCUUGGGCACAAAGAUUGCAUGUAAAACCUUCCCAGUUAAAAUAAGGUACUCCACACAGUACCAUCUCCUUCACCACACCUUUCAUGGACAUCCUUGAUCUUCUCCACAGAUUUGCAGAUCCCGCUGCAGCUCCAGUCAAAUGAUGCAAUGCAUACAUUUCCUGCCUGGGCCUUCCACUCGCAGUCUGGAGAGAAGCCAGAAAGAGUUACUGGAGACAAUUUUUUUUACAAAUGAACACCCCAAAUUGGAUACACCUAGUAGAGAACAAACCUGGAGGUGUCCCACAACACAUGUUCCUCUCGUCAAUGUGUUCUACUUCCAGCCCAAUAAACCAUGAACCUAGUGAUACAUCUUCAUUAGCAUAUUUGUGCAGUAUUGCCCUGCCAUUAAUGAUUUAAAUAAUCAGUGUCAUCCACCAUUUGAAUCAAACAACAGAUACGAUAGUUAUCAUAACUUACUGGUUUAUUGAGAUGUACAUAGCCAGGUCUUUUGAAAUAGCAUAAAUCUGUCCAGUAGCAUGACGGAAAUACUUGUUCCCAUCUUCUCCAAACUUCCAGUAUUCAGGUUCAUGGUACUUGACAUUCCUGAAGCACAGAUGAAACUAUGUCAACACAUGAACUUAAAGCAUAGUUUUGUUAAAGCAUCAAGGGGACCAUACUCCUAAAAAUAUAAAAAAGACAUUACUUGCUUGAAAGCACUGGCCCGGACUUCAUACAUCCUAUAUAGGUCCGUGGCUUUGAUCUGUGUCGAGCAAGAGUUGUGGCUAGCAUUCCUGUAUUAAUUGUGCAUUUGCAAGAAUUGAUUAGCAUGAUAGAAACAUAAUACAUAAUAUAAAGUCUCAAUUAGGCACAAUACACACCUAGAUUCACAUGAACAUCAUCAUCCACCUUGACAUAAAAAUCAGCAUCCCAUAUGGCAACAGCAGUGGAAAAGAACAUCUUUGUUUUUGCAGAAAGUUCAUGGUAACCUUCCACAUGAUCCUAUGAGAUAAACAACAUAUCAUUUCGAGGCAGAAGACAACCAUAAGUUGAGAGAAUCCUGACAAUUAAAGGAUGAGUUUCAACAAUGUCUAGCAGUUCCAACAUACCAGCCUGAGAAAGUCAUUAUGCAGAGAUUCCUCGGAAUCAAUAGCCUUAUCAAGUAUACUUUUAGAUGUAGCACUGUGCAGAAACAGUAGGAUUCAGCCAUUAUAACAAGCUUACAAUCUUGAUCUAUAAUUUAAACUUAAUCGGCCUUGAGAAUGAAAGAUGCUGCUACUGUAACGAAGAGAUCAAUAGCCAGAGAAAACAUUUACAAGUUACAACAAAAUUACAGAAUAAUGCAGAAAAGUUGCAACAGAAAAAAAAAUACAAGAUAAUACCAAAAGGAAAUUACAUGCAUACAGAUUUGAACCAACACGACAGAAGAAAAACUAUGUUAAGUUCUUCGAACUCGUGAUGGCAAGAUGAAAUUGGUCUGUGGUUCAUCACUGUGUACAGCUAUCAUAUUUAGAUAUCUAUUAAUCACUAUGAAAAAGUAAACGAUUUACCCUUGUUACGCACAAAUAUCCGAGUCCAAACAUAUUAGGACAAUUAACAAAAGAUGAAGCAAAAUAGGAUCAAUAAUUAACAUAAUAUCUAAAUAUUAUAAAGUUCACAUCAGUUAGAUCCAGAAGGCGAAAAGUGAAUCUUCAUAAGCUUCACAUUAGCAAAAUAGAAGAUGAUGCUCUUAAAAAAAAUAGAUAAACAAAUGCAACAAUGAAUUAUAAUGAAGUUCUGCAUUCAUCAAAGGUUUACAUGAGUAAUAGUCAUUAUGGAAAACAAAACCAUGUUUUCCAUAGAAGAGGUAGUAAUAUUUACCUAUGCCCAAUCAUGAACCGGAUGACAAUUCCCUUAUCAUGUUCUAGCUGUCGGAGCUUGUCACCUGAUAAAAAAGCUCACAACUUGCUUAGUGUAGGCUAUCUAAGAAGGACUUUGUACAGAAAGAGAAAGAAAAUGGCAGAAAAUUUGACAACUAAAUUGAUGAUCUGGAUAUUCUACUUUAGCUAUUUCUCAAGUAAUUCCAUGAAUAUUUUGUCAUUCCUUCAGCUACAUCUGGAUCUAUCUUUUAUUUCAUGCCCCUCAUUUUGCUAAAGCUGCAACCGGUAGGCUUCAGUUUUGAUUCAGAUGGAUACAAAGUUCUCAUGCUUAGUUCCAAGUUAACCAGAUAAAUGUUGCUAAGUGCCUGUUAGAUAAUACACAAAGCUUUGAACAAGCAAUAGAAACCUAAGAUAGAAAGUAAACAAGGUAUACAAAUCAACCAUCUUCAAGAUAGAGUUCAAUAUCAGAAGUAAACGGCCAGAUGCAUUUUCCCAAUUUUCAAGAUUAAGUUAGAUGGUUUUUUUUUCCUGUUUGCUGAUAGUAUUGAAUUGUUUGCAUAAAGAACUAACACACUUAAAACUAGAGCUAUGGAGACAAGGCUUAUAAAAAAAAGAGGGAGUUGUCGAUUGAAAAAAUAAAAAUAAAACGACAAUAUGUGGUGACAUGCCAUUCUCUAAUCACACCAUUUAAUGCCUGAAGUAUGAUAUUUAAGAUUUUAGCUUUGAUGUUUUGGGUUGCUACUAUAUUAUUAACAUUUUGUUUACUAGGUUGGCCGAAUGUAGUUUGUACCGAGCAAGCCCCUUUUACUAGACCAAGUCUUUAUCUAUUUUGGAUGAUUGCAUUAAUACCUUUGGUCAAAACUCAAACUGUUCUUGCAUUUUGCACUUUGUUUGGGUUAAUAUCAAGAAAAAAAACAUAUAUUUGUAUCUCCAUUUUAUUUUUAUUUUUGCUGUGUAACUUUUCUAGAUUUAAUAACAUAAGAAUAUUGUUUGAGGUUCUUCCAGUGACAACACUGGAUAAAGUGAGACUCAAUGAAGCAAAUAUUGUAUGCUACUUUUGCAAUUAUGACACCAAAAAAGUCAGCAAGGUUGAAUGGAAUACUACAAUUAUAUAUAAUCAGGAGGACCAAAAUAAGAAUAGUCAAAAACUGCUUUGCACCAUAUAAUAUGAAAAAUGCUAUGCACAAUUCAUGUUUUUUCCUUUUCUUGUUAAGAACAACCAACCACUACUGCAAGUAUUACUUCCAAAUCAACAUUCAACUACCCAUAGGACCAAUAAUUAAUAAACAGAAUGAAAUGGUCCACAAAGUGGAAUCAACAUAAUUCUUCAGAUCAGAAAGCUGAGUCACUUAAAUGCUACCUUGGGGCAUCCAAGUCUCUCUGACGGAAUCCCUCCUCUUCCUGCUGCUGAAAGCGGUGUUGAUCCCUAUCACAACAAAUGCCUUCUUUCUCUGCUGACUUGACACAGCAAUCGUCGGCGAGCCAUUGGCGCCGUUCAGCUCCAGCGCGCUCCGCUGCGACGCCAGCUCCAUCUGCAGCGUCGAUAUCGUCUUAUCCAGAGAUCUGAAAUUUCAGACACACAAUUGACAUCCUCCUAUCAAUCUCAGUUCACAAAAAUCCAACAAUUUCAACAAAAAAAAACCAUAAAUUCGAAGCUUUUGAGAUUCGAGUACGCACUGUAUGACCUCAUGCGUCCUUGUCACCUCCCCCAUUACGUCCUCAUCCUGCUCCGCUCUCUGCAAUCGAACGAAAAAGAAUCAUCAUUUGGAACAUGCGCAGAAGAACUCAAAUCCGCGGUCGGAAUUGAUACGGACCCUUUUGGUUGCGCAAUCUUCCGCGACGAUCUGGAGCUCCUGCUCCUGCCGGCCGGUGGAGACGAUCUGGCCGGUGGCAUCCGGGCCCUCCCAGGACCUGACACCACGAGGAGAUCGUGAUCGACGUGAGCGAGGGUUAGCGCGAGAUUCAAGGAGGGAUUAGGGACCGACCUGUUGGUGAAGAGAAUCCCGAGGGCGAAGCUGCAGGCGCAAAGGAUCGCCGUCCAUCUCGCGGACGACCUCCGCUCGCCGCCGCUGCUGCCGUUGCCGCUCCUCACCCUCAUUUGCUUCCGCUUCUAUCGUUCCCACGCUUGGGUUGGCGAACGAAGAGAGGUGAGGAGGGAGGAAAAGAGGUGGCGAAGGAAGGAGAGAGUUCGGGGUACCUCAAGUCAACUUACCGCAACCGCUACUGGGAUCUAUUGUAUGAAACCUCGGGAGAGCGGAGCUUCGGACAAACGGGCCGCCAACUCAACGCGUCAACACGUAGCGUCUAGACGGUGACGGGAACCAAAGACUCCGGAAUACAUCAUGGUCAACUUACCGCGUCAACACGUUGCAUCCAGGGGAUGAUUCCUGGACACAGGGCGGUCAACGUACCGCAUCAACUCUUGGCGCCUGUUUCGUGGAAACAUCCGGCGGAAGCUUACCCACCGUCUUCCUGCCUUCUGAUUGAAGAAGCCAGUGGGCCCCCACUUAUAUUCACCAGUAGCAAGGCUAGGCCCCCACUUUUAGACAAGGAUUAGCCUUUUGAGUUGUUGGGCCUCACUGGAAGGCCCAGAAAAGCAAUUUAUCUCAAUAGAUAAAGCCCAUAUCGCCGCAUUAAGCCCAAAGCUUCUACCCAUUUCAUGGAGGUCUAAUUUGAACUACAACAAAUAAUGUUGCAUGUAACGUGCAAACACCAUUUCUUGGUAUCUAAAUUGCAAUUAUUUUGAGGUUGACUUUGUAGUGAGUUUAAGAUCUCAAUAAUACGAGACCAUUAAUAUUAUAAUUCAAGUCAUGUGGUUAAGUACGGCAGCUGUAUGGUCACCUACAAAAGCGUGGACUUGGCGGUUCCAUUUGUCCCACCCCGCGACGAGUCGACUCGGCCGAGUUGGCCGAUCACUUCACCUCAUUAGGCUCCAGUCCAAUGCCGCCUUCUCAUCCGUCUUCUAAGGUGACGUGGCAUUUAGAUUCGUAUUAUUUUUAUUUUUAGGAACUUAUUAAUUAGUAUUUUCCAUUUAUAAGAAUGUUUUAUAAAUUAAAGCAAAUAAAUUUAAAUUUUCAAAAAUAUUUACACAAAUGAAUUAUUUUGCAAUGCUUUUGGAUAUUAUUAUGUGUAAAGAUUCCUAAAAGUUGCAGUGCCGUGCGUCAGCUACCCGUACGUGGCUCCCGCAAUCGGCUACCUAACAUUUUAUGGAUUUGUGGGCCCCAAUCUAAUCUCCAAUUGCGAGUCAGGCGGGGCUCUCUUUGUGGGUAGGUUUGACUGGCACGAAAAUAAUUAUCGAAAAGGCCGUACAGUCGGCACAGUUCCUUAAUCUUCUUUUACCCACACGUUUAGUACCCGGCAGUUGUUCAUUCGCCUGGUCUGAUCAGAUCGAAUGGGACCCACAAGGUACGUCGGAGAGGGUAAGACAAAAAAUUUGUUCUUUCUUUCGACAUUUGGGGCUUGACUGGGGCAGGCGAAGCGAUCCGAACACCGAGUCGAUUCCCCAACUCGGUCGAGUUGUGUGGCCGCUUCUCUCCAUUUAUACAUGGCUUAAUGAAGCGAUUGCUGUAAUCGAUCGUAUCGGGCUCCGGCGUAGGGAUAUUGGAGGAGUGGGAGGAGGAGGAAGAUGGGGUUGUCUCUGAUCGAGGUGCGCUUCUCCUGGCAAACCCAAAUCUCCAUCUCGACGUGAGAAGAGUUGGGUACCGAUGGUUGGUUGUCUUGUUGAUCUCUCCAUGUUUCCUUGUGUGAUCAGGGGUUCACCAAGUCGCUGGCGAUGACCGUGCUAUCCGAGAUCGGAGACAAGACCUUCUUCGCUGCAGCGGUGAAUCUCGUGUCCUUUGUUUCAUUUUCUACUUUCUGCUUUUCUUCGUUCUUACUUUAUGCAGGUGUCCUUUGUUUCAUUUUCUACUUUCUGCUUUUCUUCGUUCUUACUUUAUGCAGGUAUGAGAUCUUAGAUCUGUAGUUCUCUGGUUUUAGAGUGUAGUUAUCAUCAUAUUGUGGGUUGGGUUGCUUCUUGAAGGCGAAAAGAUUCAGAUGGGGUUGGAACUAGAUGUUCUCUGCUGUUAGAUUAACUGGUGUUGCGUGCGUCAUUAAUGCGAUGGGAUCGGACUGGAGUGAACUCGAUGUCAUUAUUCGAGCUGCUCUUGGGUCUAUCAGCUUUAAGUGCGUGCGUUCUGGAAUCACAAUUCUCAAGAUGGGUUUAGCUUUGUUGAGCAAGUAGUCAGUGAGUUUCAUUUCUUCAAUUAUCUUAUGAAGAACCUGAAGGAAUCAGGAGGUCAACUCUCUUUAAGGCAAUUAUAAAAGAAUUAAGUAGCGAAUUUGUGGCAUGAGUUAAUCAUAUGGGAAACAAGCUCUUUGCAUUGCAUCUAUGGUUAUUGUCCACCUUUGUUUCUAUAACUUCUUAUUUCUAUUUCUACUAUUUUAUUUCUUUGUUUUAUUUAUUAAUUUUGCAUCAGAUAUUAUGGUUGCUCCAUUUUGUUAGCUUGUAAUGUUACAUGCUGUUUUUGUUGGGUCUAGAUACUCUACUAGGUAGCGAAUUCGUGGCAUGCGUUAAUCAUAUGUGAAACAAGAUCCCUGCAUUGCAUCUAUGAUUAUUGCCCAUCUUUGUUCCUAUUACUAAUUAUUUCUAUUUCUACUUUUCUUUGUUUUAUUUAUUAAUUUCCAUAACAUAUUAUGGUUGCUCAAUUUUAUUAGCUUGUAAUCCUACAUGAUGUUUUUGUUGGGUCUAGAUACUCUACUAGGUGAAUUUCUGCCCAUCAAAUACUGAUAUAUACUUAAUUGUGUACAUUACCAUACAUAUGCAUCACCAAGCAUUUUGACUUCCUAACAUUUUUAUACUAAUCCAUUUUCAUCUCGUCUUAAUGAAAAGGGGAAAAAGUCCAGUAUAAGAAAGUUUUAAUCCUGCCAUUUAGUUUCAGAAUGGUUGCCUGUCAUGUAUAUUUGUUUUGCCCUUAAGUUGGACUCUGCUACAGUAUGGAGAUCAGCAUCUCAUUUCAGCAUAAACAUACCAAAAGCACAGUCGCCCAACAUGUCAUUGCAAUUACAAUAUUCUGUCCAAAUGAAUACUGCAUCAGGUCAUGAUAAUGCAUAUUCGUAUUCCACGAAGUAGAUAAUUCUGUGAGAUCUUGAUGCUAGGACACAUCCAAGAUAUUGGUAUUUAGGUCUGAGGGAUUAUUUGGUAGUUAGCUCUACAAGUUUCCUUAUGGAAAAGUUGAGUUAUCUUGUGUACUGUAAAGUUACUGAAAAAUAGGUGAACAUGUUAGUAACAUGAUUUCCAGGUUAUAAGUAUGACAUGAAGGGAAGUAGACAAUUGAACAUCCAUUGAUUUUUCUUUUGUUUUAUCUCUGUUGCCAAUUCCUGCUUAUGCUUUGUGUUUUAAAUGUUGAAUUUGAACCGGCUAUCUAUGUUGUUUGCUUUGCUGUUUUUUCAAAAAUUAUUGUGAAUUAUUGAUUUAUUCCAAUUAUCUUAAAUUUGGAGAGGAUGGAUUCUGCUCUUCCAUUUCUGGUCUAACAUUAAUUUAACUGGCACCUCAUGUAUUUUCCUUUUUAGAUCUUGGCAAUGCGUCAUCCUCGGAAGCUUGUUUUAGCAGGUUGUUUAGCAUCCUUAAUUGUGAGUAUGGCAUCUGUUUCUUAUACCUUUAUAUUGCUUUGUUGAUCUGUAAUUUUGUUUGUUUUUACAUGUAUUCUGGAUGAUGUUGUAGGUCAUGACCAUUCUAUCUGCCUCUCUUGGUUGGGUUGCACCUAAUCUGGUAAUCUGUCAUGAUUGAUACGAAUCAUUUUUGCACUUUAAACUCCUGCUUAUUGACUUUCCUUCCAUUUGGUUCUUUGUUUUGGCAGUUCUACUUAGCAUUCAUUGUGGGAUAAUAUGUAUUAUAACACUAGAGUGCUAUGUUCUAUUGAGAUAAAUUCUUGAAAUUUGUUAGUCCUGAAGAAGAUUCUUCUGUUUAUGUUUCUGCUAUGAUGCUCUCAAAUAAGCAUGUUCAUACCUUAAGAAGAGAUAUCAGAUCUAGUAGUCAUCGUGGAUAACAAUCACAACUUUUAUUAUCUAUCUAUACCAUGAAUUUAAAAGACCAGUCAGAUCGAUAUAGUACCAGUCUGUAUUUAUUUUAAUUAUUAUCUAUAGCAUGAAUUUAAAGACUAGUCAGAUGGAUAUAGUACCAACUAGUAUUAAUUGGUCUAACAAGGAUCAACAAGCGAUAUAGUACUAGGAUUGUCAAGGGGGCGGGGAUUGCUUCUCUUGUCCCAGUCCCAGUCCCUGUCUUUGUCUCAUCCCCCAUCCUCACCUCGUUCCCCAUUUAGAUAGGACGGGGCCAGAGUUGGGGCACGCCUAUUGGGGGUGGGGAACCUAUGGAUUCUCUGUAUUCUCCUAAUUAAUCCAUUAUAUUUUUAAAAAAUAAAACUAUUAUCAAAACUAAUUACCUACCAAAAUGUCACAAUGACGAGAAGAAGACCCACUUUAAUUAGGGCUCAAGUGUGCACGAGGGAGGGGGGUGUGUUGACCGUUGAAUGUUUAUAUUGUUUCAUCUAGUUCAAUCAAACCAAAUGGCUCGCAUUUGACUCUCAAUCAACUCAACUAAGGCUCAAUUUAGCCAAUGAAGUCAUUGGGUGCCCAGGUAGCUCGCCUAGGUGCCCAGGCGAGGUGAGGCCCCGAGUGCUUGCCUAAUGGGCUGGGCGGGCAUCUUCACUCAAGCGUGGUCCAGGCACUGGGCAAGCUGUGCAGACAUUCAGUUCAACUCAAGCCAGUUUGAGCCUGAGUUGAACCAAAUAAUUGAAUUUGGUUCAAUUGAACUAGUUAGACCUAGCGUCGAUGGCUGAAGAGUUCGAUUGAGACCUAUCCAUGCACAAGUCAUAACGCAGAAAUCCUUUGUCACUUUAUUUCUGCACAACGACAGAGUUCCUCCCAUCGGUGAGCGACAAUAGCAGUGGCAGCGACAACGGUGGCUUCUUCCUCUGGCAACAGCGGCAACGACUUCUUCCCCUCCCUCCGAGUAUAUCUCUCUCUUUCUCCUCCACCCUCCUACCUCUGCCCCGUUCACCACAGCGCUCUGCAUCCUCUCCCCUCUUCUCUCUUCCCCUCCUUCCCCGUUCACCGCUCCUCUGCAGUGGCGAUGGCUCCUUCCCCUCCCGGUAUAUAUCUGUCUUUCUCCUCCUCCCUUCUACUUCUGCCCCGUUCACCACAGCCCUCCUACCUUCACUGCAACCUCUUCCCUCUUCCUUCUUCCCCUCCCUCUUCCCUGUUCAUCGCUGCUUUCUGCCCCAUUCACUGCUGCCAUCUUCCCCAUUCACCACAGCCAUCCUACAGCCUCUUCCCUCUUCCCUGUUCACCGCUGCCACUUCAUUUCUGUUUGUCAAUUUAAACUUAGAAUAGCUGCCUGCUUUGCUGUUAGUCUUUGUUGUUUGUCUAUGUUUGUGAGAACAGCAACUGCCUGCUGUAGUGAAUCAGUAGUAAAAUAUCAAUUAUUAUUGCUAUUAUUUGUAGUGAUUAGUGCUACCUUCUAGUGUUUUGGAUUGUCGUUGCAGCUUUAGAUGGUGACAAGAUUGAAGAUGAUGAAUUGGAAUUUAAUGAUCUUUGAUGUAAUCUUGUUUUAUUUUGUAAGUUUGUUAUUGAAUAUGGACAAUGUAGUUUGGUACUUUAAAUGAAUCGAAGUUUGAUGUGUUACUUUUGUUUUAGUUUAUUUUUAUUAAUCAUGAUAUAUAAUUUUUAAAUUAUAAUAUCUGGAGCGCCUCGCUUCCCUCGGGCGAGCGCUUAGUGCCUCAAGCAUUUUGGGACUAUGGCACCUUUUGGUGCCUAGCGCUUUUGACUACAGUGAAUCCAGCUUGAUUUGUAUUAGGUAGACUAGGUGGGUGCCUAGCUCGCCUAGCAUUUGGCCCACAUAUUGAUGAGGUGGGGACGGGUAUGGGGAUGGGGUGGGGAGUACUCUAUUUGUACCUGUCCCAUAACCGGACAGAUGAUAGAAAAUGCCCCUCAUACCCUCCCCCAUCCCUAUUUAUAUCCCUCAUCCCUGCCUCAUUAGGUUGACACCUCUAUAUAGUUCUAUCUGUAUUUAUUUAAAUUAUUAUUUCACAAUAUACCAAGUGGUAUAGGAGUAUCUGCAUAUUAGUGUCAUAUUGUAUCAACAACAUUUAAUAUGGUAUUGAACAGAUUUAUAUCCAGAACAAUGAUCUAUACUAACUUGGAUAUGUUAAACUGAAUAAAUUUUGCUUAAUCUCAAAGCAACCAGUUCACCACCAGCUCACUCUUUUCUUCUUCCUUCCCUUUCUUUCUAAUGUUCCUCCCUUUUUAUCAUUUCUAUGUUUACUAUGUUAACUAGUUGUACAUCUUCACCUUGCAUUGGUUAAUUUUUAAUUGUUGAAUUUAAACCAUGGGAUAAAAAGAGAACAGAUGGAAUUUUUGUAAUGUAUAGAGACAGAGAAAUUGAGAGAUGUGAGAAGGAGAUGGGGGUCUUGUGUGUGUGUGUGUGUGUGUGUGUGUGUGAGAGAGAGAGAGAGAGAGAGAGAGAGAGAGUGUGUGUGUGUGUGUGUUGAUGAGGAAUAUUGACUAAUUGAUGAAAGGGAUAUGUGGUCUGGGAGAAAUCAAACUGUUUUUUCCUUUCUCUAUUUUUUUACUAUGGAAGCCCAGAAAUCCAGUCCAAAAAUCCCAUAUUUGUUGUAUUUAUCAUGUGGCUUGAUUAACGUGACUGAAAAUCCUUGUGAUGGUCUCAAUUUUUUUCUUGGCCACUUUUAAAGUACAUCAAAACAUCCAUAAAACUUAAAUCCCAGUAGCCACAAAAUUUUGCAAUCCAUGUCUAUGAGAAACUAAUGGUGUAUGAGGCUAAUGUUUUAUUUAAAAAAAUAAAACUAUUUUUUUAUUAGUUGAUAUCUUAGCUAAAUAGGGCAGCCCACUGUAUGAGGCUCUUUUCAAUUUGUUGCUUGGGAAGAAUCAAGACUUGCAUCCUUACUGUUUUUAUGACUUGAACCAUGGUGACUUAGGUGGCAAAGGACUGUUUGAAUGUCCUGAACCAUAGUAACUUCAAUAGUAAAGGAGCAACCUUAUUGUGGCUAGUUGAUAUAUCAACUAUAAUCCAUGUAUAUGAGAAACUAAUGUUUUAAUUGAAUGUCUCAGUUUAGAUCAAAUUACACACUGAGUGCAUCUAGUGAUUAUUAUUCAAAUGCUGCCAGAAACAGGUGCUUUUACUUGAUAUUUUGAAGGAACCUAGGAAAUUGAGGACUCGAAAAUAAGUUGCCUCUGUAUUAUGAUUAAUCAUUCACUUCCAUUCAUUACAUGCUAAUAAUAUCUAAGUUAAGGGUACUUGAGAAUUCUGAUGAGACUUCUGAGUGGAUGCUAACUAGGAUGUUCUGUCUAUUGGGUUUCCGAGACCAAAUAAAUUAUUUUGGAUUUUUGGUAAUAUUAGGUUCUAACUGAUAAUGGAAAUGAAGUUACAGCUGAAGCUUUGUUGGAAUUAUGGUGACAACUGCAUUCUGGGAUAUGAGUAACUGCAGUCAUACAAUCCACAACAGAUAAUUAUCAGUUGGAACUGUAAGAUUUAUGUAAUGACCAAACAAAACUCAUGCAAUCUACUUAAGGAGAGGAGAAACCUGAUAUUCCAUGUAUGACUAAUGGAAGCUCAUUUUGAGUUUUGACCGAGGUUUACAUAUUUCCACUACACAUAAAACUUGUCCUCUCUUGACUGAAUGAUAAAAAUGUGAUUGUAAUGAUUGUCCAUUUAAAAGAGCUACCCCAGCUAAUCAGGGCUUUUGAAUGAAGCACUUUAUUUCAGCUGGAAUCUUAAUAUUUUGCUUCCUUAUUUUAUGUCAUUGGACUCGUUACCUAAAGAAAUACACUGGCUUUCUAGACUUUUCAGAUUACAAAGUCCUGGUUUUAUGUCUUAUUAAUUGUUUAUAUGUAUUCUUUCAAUUUAAUCCUAUCAACUUUUUUUUUGGCCAUAUGUUGUAAUUUAGAAAGUGUUUAAUUGAAACAGAUUUCUCGUAAAUGGUCACACCACGUAACAACUGUGUUGUUCUUUGGAUUUGGGCUGUGGUCAUUAUGGGAAGGAUUUAAAGAAGAAAGGUAUGGUUAUUUCUGCACCAUUCUCGAGCAUCUAUAUUUCUUGUUUGCUCAUUCAUUUCAAGACUUUACAUAGUGUUUAAAACUAAUUGCCAUUAUUCCUUUAGUGAGAGUGAAGAAUUGGCAGAAGUCGAAGCUAAAUUGGUUAGUUAACUUAUCUAGAACUAUUUUAACUCAUUUCAUUAAUGGAGUUUUUUCUAAGUUUCUCUAAACACCUCAGAAUGCUGAUUGGAAGGCUGAAACUGGAAGCAACAAAGUAAAUACCAAGGUUAUUAUACUUGUGCCUAUUGGUCUUUGUUGAUUUUUUCACUCUUCACAUGACAUCUAAUUUGCCAAACUAUGUUUUCCUUGAUUUCCUGUUGUGCUUUCUAUAUGUGUGUGUGUGUGGAGAGAAUAGCUAGUAAAUAGCAUGGAUAAACAUGUUCUAGUGAAGAUGGUCAGGAUCAAUGUAAUUGGGCAUGCACAUUUUGGGCAGGCUUUUCUCCUUGCAUAACCAGGAAAAAGUGGGUCUAUUGACUAUAACAUAGAAUCUGCCAUUCUUGAAUUUGGCUGAACAAGAAACUAGAUACCUUUUGACUGGGCUAGGCAGGUCAAGUCCCAAUUGUACAACAGUGUUGAAAAAGUCCUCACCUGCCACACAGUGACCAACCAGAUCAGUUAGUCAUAUCCGGAACGUGGAGGAAAGACACUGUUUUGAGGAGUUUUUUGGAUCUACAGUAGAAGUGUUUUUUUUUAUGACUUGGACAGGGUAGCAGUAUCCUAUAUAUGAGGAAUUAUGAGUCUAUUGGCAUCGGUUUUGCAAUUUUCGUCAGAAAUUUCAGCAAUAGAGUCUUAAGUUCGCAUUUUUUUUUAUCUUCCAUGAUCUAGAGAAGCACUAGUUAGGGGUUGUAAUAUGCACAACUAUAUGUGGAUUUCUCGAGUCUUUUUUCUGACAUAUAACUUGCUAGCUCUCUUUUCUUGUACUUUCCUUAGAUGUAUGGUGAAAGUUCAAGGGAAAAGCAACUAACAAACUAGCUUUGGUACACGUGCUACUAAUGCAUGUCUAUUCAUUGCCACCAUGUCAACGUUAACUGCUUAUAUUUUAUGGAGAUUACUAUGAUCUGAUGGAUUCCUGUAAUAUUUAAGCUGUUAUUUGACAUAGGUCAUGCUGUAAUAUUUUUUAUGUAUCGUUAGGGGAGUGAUGAUUUGAAGAAACAGCAGAGGCCAUUUCUAACCCAAUUCUUCUCGCCCAUCUUCCUCAAGGUAAUGGUGUUCAAGUUACAAGACCAAAUAAAUGAAAAUAACUGGUGUCAUUGUUUUGUUCUAGCAGGUCUAAUCUGAUAUGCUACCAUGUGAUGCAGGCAUUUUCCAUCACGUUCUUUGGUGAGUGGGGUGACAAGAGCCAGGUAAACCAUGGUUAAAUGAGGUUAGUGUUUUCCUCCCUGGUUAGCUGUGGUCACUAAGUUACAGCUAUUUGUUUUCCAGAUUGCUACAAUUGGGUUGGCUUCCGAUGAGAACCCGUUUGGUGUAGUUCUUGGGGGCAUCAUGUAUGGCCUCUAUCCUCUGUUUUUUUUUCGUGGUUUGAUUUCAUUUUUAGCCAAACUUAAAUCUGUUUUUGCUUCAUUAUUUUGGUUUAGCGGACAAGCAUUGUGCACCACAGCGGCAGUAAUCGGAGGAAAGAGCCUGGCGUCGCAGAUAUCAGAAAAAAUGGUAAGGAACAUCCUUAGAUAUUGUUACAGAAAACUCAUUCGAGUUAACGCUGUCUAUUGUUUUGAUUACAGGUUGCACUCUCCAGUGGCAUACUCUUCUUGGUAUUUGGCGUCCAAUCCUUCCUAUCAGCAGCAGGAGAGUCGUGAAUCCCAAACUGUGGGAUCAUAUGUUCUUCCUUCAGGAGAAAAGCUUGCUGUAUUCUCCUUUGGGGGUUAAGACUCUCAUCUGACCAUUGAUAGACCCUAUUUUGUCUCAUUUGAAGAACAUAUAUAACAGUUUUUUCUUACGACCUACCCGUCAGAGGGAAAACCCCAUGAAAACACUGUUUACAUUGGACUGGAUAUCAAACUCCAGAAGACACGCAUGAAUAUUUGCAUUGAACUUCUAGGAUAUUUGCAAUUUGUUUGAAGUGCCAAAUCAAUGGGAUCAUUUGACUUUUUAUUUGCAAUGAGAGAGAGAGAGAGAGAGAGAGAGUUUCAACUGGAAUGGAACACUAGAAAAGGAUUGGUCUGUGUUGUAGUUCGUCGACGGACCGAUGCAGGAGAUAGCGCCUCCAAAAAAGUGCUGUGAGAAGGCCUUCUCUCUGUCUCUCUCUCUCGCUACAGCAACCCACCCAAUGUGGAGUGUAGGGAAGAAGCAAAGAAAUGCUGCAAUGAAGAAGAGAGCAGAGCUCGACUGUCACUCGGAAGCUUAAACAAGAGGAGUUUACUUGGAACAGUAGGUAGAAACUUCCAAGACAGUUCUUCUAACAGUUCAAUGUUAUGAUAAAUACCCUUUUUUUCCAAGUACCUGAGAGACGUUGAAUAUCUACAAACAAUAGCUACAUUAGUCAACAGUUUAAGGCGUUGAAUAUCUACAAACAAUACCUACAUUAGUCAACAGUUUAAGGCGACAUCGGCAACGAUUGAUCACCUCGACAGUCCAGAGCCAAAAAAAAAAAAAAAAAAAGAUAAAAAAUUACUGAUGAAUUCCCCAAUUAACAAUGAGUUUAAAAAUGUUUAGUAAACUUGAACAAGUUAUACUGCUACAACCCCGGUGACAACUAUACAAGACUCCCCUCUCUCUCUCCCUCUGUGUGCUCGUGCCAGAUGCCCGGUCGAGCAUGAAACUGGAAUUGGUAGGAUCGUUUAGUACCUUUCUCCGUCAAACGAUUUAUACAUGCAUUGAUUUUUUACAUAGCAUGUGCAUACAAACUUGGGAAGCAACUAACUCACCACAAAUUUCUACACCAGUGUCAGAUACUUAGGUUCGUGGUCCGGAGAAAAGGAACCAUCUUCGAUGCCUCCAGAGAACAGUGGAACGGUGGGGGUCAAAUGAGGUGCUAGCUAUUCGAUCAGUCCAUCCUGCACAAGUCUAAUGCAUGCAUCGAUGAAUUUUCGAGACGGGUGCUCUAGGUUCCACUGGAGCUCAACGGAACAGCGCCAUCUCUCAGCUGCUGCAGUAACAUUUGCAAUGUCCUCUGCAAUGUGUCAGCAACCAAUCUCAGCCUCCCCUGACUGACAUCAGCUGCAGAAUUCCCAUUGGCAAAUUCUGCUGCUCUCGCCAUCCUCUGCUUGCAUUUCUCCCAAUCCUCCUGUCGCGACCAGCAUGCUCUUCCACCGUGGCUUCCUUGCAUUCCAAGAAAAGAAACAUGGGCAUUAUCACCGAAUGAAUAUCUUAGCCUCACGGACACGCAGUAUGGUAGCCAAGCAGCUCCGCCAGCAGCAUUCAUGUGAGGGAUAUGAGCUGGGUCAAGGACAAAGGUAAGAGCAAAAUCUACUAGAUUAUGGGCUCGAUCAUGAUGUAUAUUACUCUUUGAACAAGACGUGGCCUCUGAGUUUUCAUCUAAAACAGAGCCCGAAUGAUUCUCCAAGCAUAUCUCUAUGCGAGACCUUUGAGCACUUGCUACGUCUCCACCAUGUGCUUGUGACAGUCCUUUCUUCCAAGAAAUCAGUUUUAGGAAUUCUCGGAGGACUGAAACAGGUAGGGUAAGAAGUGUGAUGAAGGAAGCAACCCUAGAUGCAUCGUAGGGCUCAGAUGCAACACGCCUGCUGAAGUAGUCACAUAUCUCAUUAAUUUCUCCUGGGGCUAGUUCUUCCUGAGAAGUAUUUUGAUUUUGCUGCUGCUGCUGCUGUUGUUGCUGGUGAUGAAAUCGUUUCACACUCAAAACUUGCAGAAGAAGUUGAACUCUGUGCACGCUCACAGCAAAUACAUAGCCUCUGCAGUAAGAAAAAAGAGAGAGAACAACAUUUAGUCAUUCACAUCAACUGUCGGGAAUACCCACAGGGAUUGCCAAAGGCAGUCAGAAAUUAAAAAAAAAAAAGGAAUAAUAUAACCGUUAAAGCAGGACAGAUAUCAUCAGCUUGAUAGGGAUUAUAUUGUUUUUUUUCUCUAUCUAUAGUAAACAUUUAUAGACAAAACCCAGUAAUGAAAAUUAUGAGUUGGUCAGGAGAGCAUGAGAGGGAAGGUUUAAGAUACCAGGAGAACAAAUUGAAUCGAGUUUCAUCAAGUUAGGUCAGAUUUGACCCUUUUCAAUUUGGUUAAGGCCCGCGUCUAGAUUUGGACAACACUCUUUACAGUAGCAGACAUAUUGCUUUAUUAAUAUAUAAAAAUAUUAACUAAUGUAAGCAACUAAAACUAUGUGAUAUAUUCCUAUAUAGUUCUAGAAAAUAAUACUAUGAAAGUCUCACCUAUACAGCAGCGAAAAAACAGAAAAGAAAACUAAUAAAGCAAAAGUUCCAUGACUACAACCUCUAAAUGUUGCAGUAUAAAUACAUGGACAACAGAUCUCUUACCCAACAAAAAACCGCAAGGCAGGUUGCUCUUGAUCCAAAUUCAAAAGUGCCCCCUCAUUAUCCCUUAAGAUUGAACCUAGAAUUUCUUUCAAGAGAUCAGGCAACUGCGCAAACAACCACAACACACCAAGAUAUUUGAGAAUGCCACGCAGCACCUUCUUGAGGGCCGCAAGGGGAACCCAACCACCACCAUAGCCUCCAUCAUCUCCAAGCCCAAUAAAAGCUGCGUUAAGCUCUCCUUUCACAUGAACUGGGAAACCGGUACCUGGAGAUAUACGUAAAGGUACUCCAGAGAUCCCAGGAGACAAACCUGAUGAGGCUAGCAUGGCGCUGCCAAUUCGAUUUAUGUUGCCACCUACCUGAUUUGCAAUAACAGAACUUGGUCUUGAUAUUCCAGCACUAGAUGCAACACUAAUACGGUUAGCAUUAGAUGCCAGUGGUUGAGAGACUGAACUGACAUUGGCGUUGCUUGAACCAAGAUGGCCACCAGCAUGCGAUGCAGCAGAAAAAUUGGGCUCCAGAGCAUUCAAUCCUUGAGCAACAUGUUCCAUGAUGAACGGUCGAAACUGUGGACAUGGCAAAGAUCCACCAGCAGCAGGUCCCCCUUUAGGAGGUGUCGCUGGCUGCAGCCAGACCUGAUCUCCAGCAAAGCAGCGCAUAUCCACAGCAAACUUUUUCCGAUAUAUUAUGCGAAUCCAGUAUGGACCCCUCAAAACAACUGAGACAUCAAAAGGCAAUAAUGAGCUAGGAACAAGUCCUGGCCCACCUCUUCCAGCAGCAGAUAAAACUGCAGCAUUUUGAAGACUGUGACUGCCAAGUUGGGUCAUAAGUGUAGUAGUUGUGGGUGAACUAGAUGGAAGUUGGAUUGCAGUUGAAGAAGGAUUUGCCAUUAAUCCGUGAGAUGACAUGAAACUGUUCUGCUUUUGUACAAGGGAGUGGCCAACAGAAACAGGAACAGGAAUUCGUGCAGGACGUAUUGCACCACAAAGAGCAAGUAAAGGUCCAGCAGUAAGUCUGAUGCAAUCCAAGAAAGAUGCAACUUCACCUCCAUUAAUGAAAUCUUCCAGGAACUGCAUUGACAAAUUUACAUGCAUUAAAUCUUCAUACAAUAAGAGUAAAAUCAGUAUAUUUCAACUAUUUGGUGUCAACUACAUGAACCUUUUAUCGUCAUUGAGCUCUCUAAAAACUAUUAUUAUUUAAAUUAAAAAUAUUUAAAUAUGUAUUUAUUGUUUUUAAUAAUGUCAACUUAGAUUUCCCUCUGCCUCUCAUCAUAUCAACAAGAUUAAUUAUUUCACAUCUUUUACCUACAACAUCUAUAGGUCUCUUCUAUAUCAUCUUCGUCCUCAUCUUAUCCUCUAGCGAAGAUACAUAUAAUUGUUCAUCAAUAAAAUGUAUAACCAUAACAAGCAUGAUGACAAUAGACUAACUAGUAAAGAUGAAGUCCAAUUGCAAAUGAAAAUUAUUUUGGGAUGCCUAAAUUCAGAUCAAACUGAUAUAUUGCAAGUUCAAAAUUAGUAUCAUUUAUGUGAAUAAAUAUCAUGAAAGCAAGCUGAUGCAAAUUAAAAUAAGUUUCAUGUAUUCACAAAAAUGGAGAAUAUUUGAUACUGGGCAAUUUUUAAGUGCAUUUAUUUACCUGAAUUGUACUGGUCAACAAUGCAAAAACCUGAGAAAGGCUGCACUACAAUCUAUAGGACAAAUGAUAUUUAACAUCGAUGUACUUGCAUCAUCACUCAACAUGAGAUGUCAACAGAAACAUUAAAAAAAUUGCAGCGAUAUUUGUGACACUUCAAUGCCUCCAUUAAUAAGUUAAUACAGUUGCUGUCUUUUGUUAUUUGGUUUGAGAUGCCAUCACAGAAAUAAAUUGCAGCAUAUUGCUCUUUUAAGGAACAGGGGCAUACCUUUGUAUGUGGCCAAAGUUGAUCAGGAGAAACAUGCAUUGUACAACCUUCCUUAUCAGCUUCCCAUUCAACAACAAAAUGAACGAUCACAGGCAUUGAGCCAUAGCUAAACCACAAACUCAUCAGACCAACUGCUUCAAUUUUAAAGGCUUUUCUCAUUUGUUCAGAUAACUUGUCUACUAUCUCGCCAGUACCUUUGGCUUGUGCCUUAGAGUCAGAGUUUGUGUUAUCGUCAAUCCUAUCACCAGUGCCCAAACCAAUUAGUUUUCGCAUCCCACGAGCAAACAAUCGUGCAUUUGAAAGCCUACGUAAAUCUGAUACAAGCCUUUGAACACUAUCAUCUUCAACACUCUUAUAACUCAAGACAACCCCUUCUGGGUCAUAAUGAAUAUGUGAAUCAACCUCAGAUGUAUUGGCAAUACGUACCCCAGAGCCCCACGAUGUAGUGGUACUUCCUUUAUUAAGAUUCCAUAAUUCUCUGAAAUAAGGAUCAUUGAUUUUUACAUCCCAGCACAUAGUUCCAGGUUUACCAAGGCGCAAGCAUAUGCGCUGCCAAGAAUCAUCCCUGGCAAAUGGCAACUUCAGCCAUAAGUUUAAGGAUGGAAUUCGCAGACCUACUUCUUCAACAUAAGAAAUGUUUAGUGCAUCCAUUUGGCUAGUUAGCUGAGCAUGCUUAAUACAUAGUGAGCAGUGCCUGACAAUGUGUAGGAGGACGGAAACAUACAAAUUUGAUGGACUAAUGCCAUGAUUUGCUUCACCAAGAAGAUCUCCAAAUGUAUGUCCACCUGUUCGACAUGCCAAUAGGGAUGGAAGGGGUGGGGAAGAUGCAGCAUGAGAGUUAGCUAAUCUUGAUAUUUUCUGCCUUUUAUGCUGCAGAGAACUUGCUUCUGAUCCUUGAAAUGAUGGAAGUAAAUUAAUAAAAUCCACUAGAGAACGCUUCCUUCCCUUUCUUUCAUGUUUGUGAGCACCAUUAUCAUCUGACCUGGUAGCUCCAAAUUCCGGUGUUUGGCCUAUAAAAAGUGCAUUAGUGAUGCAAAAAGAUUUCAUAAAUAUCAAAAGCAAAUACACAUGAAAGCAUUAUUAAAAAAUUUUCAAUAUAUAAUGCACAAGUCUUACAUGGAUUAGCCAGGAGCAAUGUGUUAGAUCUGGUAACUUCUGAAGAUCCAACCAAAAUGCCAGGUGAUGAGUUUACUAUGUCAUUUGGAGCCAUACUAUGGGCAGAAAUUGGUGGGCAAGUCGUCCGAAGUGGAGGCAAUAGUUGACCUGGCCCAUUUCCUUCAAUCAUAUUGAGCACUUUUGGAGGUUCAUCCGCAGGAGGGUAUUGACCAACAUCAGCCGAAUACGGGUACCUAAGAGAGCUUCUGUCUUGAUCAGAUCUCAAGGUUGACAAUUUAUGAACGGAUGAGAUCCUCACAGGGCUUGAAGAGGAGAGCGAACCAGUAGCACCAUUCUGAAUUAUACCUUUUAAGUUGCUUGUCACAUGCAAUGAAUUCGAUGAACUUGUAAAACUAGACGAAGCCUUCCCAACUUUAUGAACUUGAGAUUGUUGUAAUUCCCCUUCCAAAUUAGUUGACGUAACUCCAGUAUUUAUUCCUUGAUUGCUACUUGAAGGAGAUCCUAAAUAAGACAAAGGAGGCAUCUUAUAAGACGAGGUGAGUUGAUUUGUCUUGGGCAAUUGACCCUUUUCGAACUUGAACACUUCAUCAACAACAGAUGAAAAACUUGAUUGCGAAAAUCCAGGAAACUGAAGAGCAGAAUCUACCCCAAAAUCAUGUUCUACAACCUGAAUAAAAGUGCCCAAUUUUGGCAAAGAACACAGCUUCUCCCAGUCAAAAAGGCUCAUAUUCAAUUCAUCAUCAACUAUCUUCAUCUGACCAAUAUCAAUUCUAUUAAAACGUAUAACUUGAAUGGCAUCAGUGAAUGAACUAGAUUUUCCAUCUUGAUCAGAUCGCAGUUCUAGUAAACUGAACACUGGUUUAAAAUCCUUGUCAACCUGCAUCAGCAAAUAGUAAGAGUUUGCACACUGAGGAAAACCCAUUAUAAGUAUAUCUGACCCAUUCAAUAUGGACUUGGGGAUCUUCAGAGUAGUCAAAGACUGAUCAUAAACCUGCAGAUGACCAAAGAGAAUUAUUAGUACAGCAUAGUAGAGAUUAAAGCUCAUAACAUCUCCCUAGAAACAAACUGACAACCCAAGUGUUGUAGCUGCUCAAGUCAAGGUGAAUGACAACGUAGUGAAUAUGAUGUUUAUUGGUCUUAGCAGAAUCAGUAAGACAAUUUGGUAAGUAUCUGGAUUUGCACUUCUAAAGAUACUAAUGAAAGGUUAAAUAAGUUCUCCAAAAGUCAGAUUCUGUUUUCUUUUCACCUAUACAUGUGGUCGUGACUUUGAUGUUGAAAUAGUUGGGCCUUUGUCAAUAGCCAUCAAGGUGCUUUAGCUCAAAUUCUGCUCCCAUGAACUAUAUGCAUCUUGUAGUCGUUUUUGCAUUAUAUUAAAUGCCAAGAUAGCUUCCUACCAUAAGCUCAUUUAAAGGAGAUUAUGGAGCUUAACUCGAUUUAACAUUUCUAAAUGUUGCACUUGUUUUGAGAGGAUAUGAACAGAAAAUGAUGCAUUGAUCUUUAUCUCUGAAAAAAAUAGAGGUCCAGGCCUUCUGUCUAGACCACCUCAUCCGAGAAGAAAUAGAUUUGACUUCAUUCUUCUCAUGUCACUCAUGUUUCUGCUUUCUAGUUUCUUCUAUUUAAACUUAUUUAACCAGGGCUUCUUUUUAUUUCAUGCAAAAUGCUUGAAUCAAUCUACGCAACUGAAGUAAUUAAACAGACAAACAGAGAAAAACAGAACUAGCCGAGACUAGGUAACCAUGCGGAUUACAUCAAUCCCAAAUGUCCUUUCUGUAAAAUGAUAUAAAGCAGAAAACUCUAAACUCCAUAUUGAAUUAUUUCUGCAAAAAUAACCAGUCAGGAAGAGCAUAUAGCAAACAGAAGUCUCCACUUUCAUCACAUAUAUUGUUUAUUAGGUGUCCUCUUGGCUGCCAUCCAUUUAACUUCAUAACCUUUCUGACCUCAUAAACACGAAUUAUCCAAAAUGUGAUGUAUGCAUGUCCACAAGUCAGGACAUGAUAUAGUUUAAAGUGGGGAACAUAUGUUCUUCCUAAAUUACUUAACUAAUGAUGAUAAAUGUAAUUCAUUAAUAAGAAAAGCAUAAUAAAAGGGCAAUGUACAUUCUUCAACUUUUGCAUUCCACAUCCCACAUGACAACUUGAUUCAACUCUCUCCCAGAGAAGCUUCCGAAGAUUGAAACUUGACAUGAAACUGCCAAACAGGCUAGACUAAUUCAUAUCCUACAGUUACACAAACUAACAUCAUAAAAAAAGCAGUAAGAUAGCCACUGAAAAUCUUCUCAAGGAAAUCACAUCUCAAUUAUUGUUAAAUUUUGCAGACCAUCCACUAUGUAUAGAGCAACCCCAAAAUUAAUGAAGUGAGGGAGAGAAAGAAAGUGCAGAGGCACAUGUAUUAAAAUAACUGGUAAAUAUGUUCACUCGGUUUUAAGUCAGCACUUUGAUUAUUAGUCUCUUGAAUAUGUAAUGCAUCUUCUCUUUCUUCUUUCCUUAAGUGGACACUUGAAUAUCCCGACCUUGAAAUCUUAAACUUUCAAUAUAGGACAUAUCAAUAGUCAGUGCAACAAAAACAAAUGCUUUUUUAUGCAAAGACCCCUGAAAUUUUGAAAUUGAAAUCUUUUUGGUGAUGCUUUUGUGAAAAAUUUUGAAAAAAAACUUUACCUCGAGGCCCAAAAAUCUCCCAGUUGAUGCAAAUAAAUUGAGAAUACUCUUGCUUUUUAAGCUUGUAAACACAUCCAUUAUACUAAGGCUUCCUUGGUUUAAAGCCUCCUCAUAAUCAACUAGGGUGGAUGGUGAAAGGAUAUUUUUGGAAGACUGAAGAAGGAAUCUGCCAUUCCUGUACUUCAAACAAAAAAUUUUAAACAAAUGAGAAAAUAGAAGAUAACUGUUGCAAGAUUAAGAAACAUUGGCUAGAAAUUCUAAUCAGAAGGUUGUGAAAGCUUAGACAGCUAUUAAAACUGAUAUCUAACUAUAUAUAUAUAUAUAUAUAUAUAUAUAUAUAUAUAUGUAUAUAUAUAUAUAUGUGUAUGUAUAUAUAUAUAUAUGUGUAUGUAUAUAAAUAUAUAUANNNNNNNNNNNNNNNNNNNNAUAUAUAUAUAUACAUAUAUAUAUAUAUAUAUAUUAUUUAUUUAUUUUAUUAAUUAAUUUAUUAAUUUAUUAGAAACAUCACAAGUUUAGAUGAAACGUAAACACACACGAUAGCUGAACAAGAUGAUGGACACAAAUCCUCUCUUGGGUCAAAUUAAUAAUACACAAAACAGUGAGCCAAAAACACCCUCGGAACAGCUUACAACACCAUGUGAAUACUGUCUUACCACAAUAAACUACUGGUGGACUUAACCAAGACCCCCUAAAAUAUAAUACUACUAUACCAUAUAUUUGUUCUUGGGAUCAUAAAUAGUAAAUAUAUGAUGUUCCUGCUAUUAUUGUUACAGGUCCUUCUAUAGAUCUUGUACAGCAUAUUGUUUAUUUACUCGGGUAUUAUGAAAACAGCAUUCUUGUUAAAAAACAUGAAGAUGUAACACUAAUAUAAAUCCACAAAGAGUGUGUUGCUUUUGUCUGCAGCUUUGAAUUUAGAAGCAACAGUGUCAUUGGAACUGUAACUAAUGACAACAAGAUUGUCAAGAAAGCUUGAAAAGAAGAGUUUGAUCUAAAAUAAAAUCCAGGAUAAAAUUUUGAGAAGUUUAAAUUGUGACAAUUGGAUUAUGCCUCUUAAGGAUGUAAUAUGGCAUAUGUUUGAGUUACUAUAUGUAACAUCAAUUUUCAUUUUCCAGAUCCUCAAAUUCACAUAGAACCACUUCAGAAACAUAAUGCCAAGGUUCUAUCUCAACUUGCUAUUCCUGGGAAAAUUUACCAGAAAACAAUCUAAAAAUUAAUGGUCCUUUGACCAAGGUUGAAAAUUUUAAUAAUUAAGUUGGAUACAUCAAAAUUGCACCUCCUAGUGCAAAUUAUUAAGAGGAAAGCAACUGCCAGCUAAUUUUCAGUUUUUGGAAAACAAAAGUCAGGUAUGAAGAAGUAAUUAAUUAACAUAACCCUAUACAAGAAAAUCUGGUAGGUGUAUGUUGAAGACAGCAGACAACAAUGCAGAUGCAGGAGCUAAUGGAAUAUGCACUGGAUAGCACCAUAUAUGUGUAGAAUAAACUAGAACUAUGGUGUCUUUCAAUUAGUAAAAACUUAACAACAUUGUUUCCACUAGAUAUUUUGCAAGUGUUCCCCCUUUAACAGACCAUUCAGCCAAGUUCAGAAAAAAUGACAGAAGAAGAUGGUCACAUUGUAAAAGAUCAGAAGCCCGGGAUAUCAUUGAUAAUGUGAGUUUCUUAUACUAAGUAGAUACACUUUCUUAGCGUGCCCAUCACAUAAAGCUAACAUAGGCACUGUCCCCUACAGUUUUAUCAAGUGUUAUGAACUUAUCUACAAUAAAGUAAUAGUUUAUGCAAUGGAACCAUGUGCACCAUCACCAUACCAAAAAAGGGUAAGCCCAGUACAUAAGGCAACCGCAAUGCGGGUUGUGGGAAGAGAGUCAGAUACAUGCUCACCAUGACGGUUAUAUAAGUCCAAAGUAUGAUUGUGAGCACUCACAUACCAUAAUUGCCCUUGUGCAUAUAAGCCUCUCAGUUGCAUGCAACUUGCAUGUCCCAGAUGUUAUCAUUAGCAGGAAUUCACAAUUGUCACUGGCAUGAAGGCCAGCACAAGACAUCAUGGUAAAGCAAGAUCAUACCAAAUUAGUCUAAAUACACGAAUGCCAACCUAAUGCAUAUAAAUAUGGAAUUAUUAUUCAAAAACUUUAUACACUAAAUAAGUAAAUAUUCACUUGAAAAAAAAAAAAGAACAUGACCUUCAGUCCUAGAUGCGUGCUAAGUGUUUAUUAAAUAAAGUAAUCAAAACACAUGCUGGUAUGAAAUUGUGCAUUUGGUUAAAAUAAAUAACACAACAAUGUCCAAAAAGGCACCGUAAAUGUAAAGUUACCUUUCUGUAAUAUUGAGAAAAACACCAGACUUACAUGUGAACAAUAUGUAAUGCAUAAUAUGUUAAUCCUUGGUUUCUCAAGAAAUUUACAUUGAAACACAUAGUCAGAGGAAAUUUGAGAUCACUUGUGAUGCUCAGAUUUUGGGGGAAACAUGAAACAUAUAUGGUUGUUACAGAACGUAUUUACUUAACUGAAAGUUAAAAAAAAAAAAAAAGAUUUCCUGCAAGAGAUAUCACACACAUAAAUCUUGUUGAAGUUGUUCACCAUGAAGCUAAACUUUGACAGAACACCGUUUAAUAUAAAGCAUGAAUUCCUGAUGUUACAGGAGUAAAAGAUUAAAUAACCUGAUAUUUAUUCCAAGGGUAAUAAAUGACAUCCCACAAGCCCGCACUUUCAGUAUUUCAUCCCCAAAAUAAUCUUGGUUACUAGAAUCUUCAUCCAUCUGCAGAAUACUUAAAAGUCAAAAAGCUACUUGGAAUAUUCAUGUUCUCAUGAAAGAAUAAGCAUAGAACUUUCAAGUCAAAACCAAGAAACAUAAUUGACAGCUUGUUCAGCAUUAUUUCAUUUAAUCUUAGAGAUAAUGAAGAUGAUCAAACAAACACUAAUUAUAUAUCUAUUAUGAAAUCCCAAUCUAGUAAUUAUAUACUAGUUAAGUGAGAAAACUAUCAAGAACUGUCAAAAGAAAAAUUCCAUUUGACUCCCUUGUUUCUUAAAGGUUUCAACUUAAUUAGCCAUUUUGUGCUCAUGAAGAUGACUUGUUAAGAAUAAACAGAUGUUUGGAAGAAAAUAUGAUCAACUAUGAACUAUCAAAACAGCAAAUGAAAUUGUAGGGGGCAAAAGUAACUGUUAAAUAGAGCCUAAUCAUUCUUUUAUAUCAUUUGUAGUUGAAAAACCACAAAUGAAGUUAAUCCAUCUCUCACUAAAUUGGACAAAAACUCAAACCAACAUUGUCUGUAUUUUAUACUACCAUACGGAUGACCAAAUUUAAGUAAUGCAGUGUUAGACAUCAGAGAAAACAAAAAGAGGCAGUUGACAAAUAUUUAAGAGAAGGAUGACUGAACCUCUUCUUGUUUAACUUUCCAGAAACCUCAGCUAGUAGGCAGGAUAAAUCAUAAUAUCCAAUUAGAGAUGCUUUCAUUAAUGGCAUAUAAUUCUUCAGUUAUUUGUUCUAAGGUAUAACAAUUACAAAUGAUUACUCCAAAUCAAAUUUUCAUACAUGGAAGUUGCUCUUCAACAGAAAAUGAAGCUUCUUACAGACACCAAUAUAAGGAUAGGCAAUAGGCCUCCUUUGCUCUUUGCUGUAUCCUUAAUCAACUAGUUAUGAUGGAGCAGAUAUAAACUGACAAGUGAAUUUAUGAUGAGGCAAUGAGUCAAUACUAAUCUUUUUUGUUUUCUCUUUCCACCAAAAUUUGUAACAUGGUCAAGAGGUUAUACAUCAUGAGGGUCCAAGGACUUGGAAGGAGCCCAAGUUUGUAAAGUCACCUGCUAAAAGUAUGUUAUUCUGAACAAAAUGUUGCAUCCACCGUGAUGUGGUUAGGCAUAUGCAAAAGAAAGUAAGUAAAAUUUAUGAUGGAAGAUCAUUGUGAUAGCAUUCAAAAUCAAAAUUAACAACCAUAACCUUGAGGAGACCAUGAAACUGGGUCAUUCAGUGUGUAUUAAGAACAAGAAAGACGCAUUCAUGCUAGAAAUAUCAAUGACUCACAGACAUACAGUUAAUAAUUGUACAUGUAAAUUUUGUGUCCACAUAAAAAGCCAGCCUUCAAGUUCAUGGAACAAAAGCAUGACAUGACUACUUAAUGGCACUAAACAUGAAAAGAGACUGUUGUAAAAAGAUUAAAUGUCCCUAAACAUAUUUUAGACCUCUACAAAGAAAAUGAUAGCUUGAAUUAACAUAAUUCCUCCUUGUAUCACCAAAAUUCCUUAGAUAAACAUCUGGAUUGUAGUAGCCUCCAUUAGCACUGAUCUUAUGUUCCAAACCCCAAUGUUUUUUGAUCUUUUACCUCACAGAUACAUGAAAAACAGAAUUAACCACAGCCUGCAGCUAGAAAAGCCUACCUGUAUAAACAUUCCUCAUUCCAACUCUAUUUCCUAAACCCCAGAAUUAAUUCUUUCCAACAGGUAUGUUAUGGUGAGUUAUUUGGUACACAAUGAUCUGUAAGCCAAAAACAUUUACCUUACACGCAUGAUUUGUGACACUUUGAUAAUAAUUGCAAAAUUUAAUUGCAUUUACUUGAGAUAUUGGAGUUUGUAUGAAUGUCGAUGAAAUACAAAUAGAUAAACUAAGUGCUUUGGCCAAUUGUGUGGGGACUUUUUAAUGCACCAAUUAGUUGGUCUUCUGAAUUCUGAAUAUACAUGAUCAGAUGGGAGAAAAAAAAAAUCCAAACAAAACAUAGACAAUAAGAAUGAGACCAUGUAGUCAACAGUGACAUAGACCAGCACCUUCAAAUAUUUUUACUAGAACCACUUAGUCCUUCAGCAAAGAGUUCAGAAAAUCAGUGGCUACAAGCAAAACAAAGUAUAACUCGAUAUUGAUAGUAAAGACCCCCAUUAUAAAAUCUAUACAUAUACUUUAGACAUAGAUGAACCUAUAUAACAAUUGGAAGUAUAAGUUGCCCCUUUACAAACCUUUCUCAAAUCCGCCACUACACCUCCAUCACACCCAAGUACAACAUCGCCUGAUUCUCGACAAAUGUUAACACUUUUACUCAAUUCCCUCUGGAUCUCAAGUAGACGAGUGUAUCUAUUGCAUGCAAUAGCUCUUAAUAGGAGUCUCUCAACAUCAAUGCAAUUUUGAUCAAGUGCAAAGGUAGCUUCCUUGCCAGUAAGUGGAUCUAAUACAAAAGAACUAUGUACACACUUAAUCUGUGUAUCUUGCCCUGGUUCCACUUUAAGGAAUGGACAUGAGCUGAAAUCAGAUCCCCCAGCAUUCUUGUCAGCGUCUAACCAAUAAAUGAUCUUUAAACCAGGAGUUUUUAGACCAGUUGUAUCAAGUUCACCCUCUUGAGUUAGUUGCAAAGCACUAGUAUUCCCUACUUGUCCUGCACUGCCAUCAGAAACAAGCUCAAAGCGUAUUGCAUCCUUCCACCUACCUUGUCGUAGUACCUGAACUUGUCUUAGUACAGUGUCCAUAACAAGGGCAACACAUAAUUCAUGGAGAACCGUGUACAAAAUUGAUAAAGGAUUUUCAGCUGCAGCCAUUCUGCGCUCAAGAUCAUCCCCAAGAGCAUAUCUCCGUGUUUCUUCAAGUCGAAUAUUUCCAUUCUUCUCCCCAACAAGCAACUCCAAGUGUAGGAUCCUCCACAAUGACAAAUGCCCACGAUAACCCAAGGUAAGGAAAACCUUAAAUUCCCCAUCCACACGAAGAACAGCAGUACCAUUAGAAACAGUUACUUCAGUUAUUUCUUUAGGAAGUACAACCUCUAAAAGUUUGGAUCGGAGGAUUGUAUCCAACUUCUUUAAAGUAGGCUUUUGCUCGUCCUCAGAUAGUGAACUCUGAAUACCCAAAUCAUCUAUGCAUUUUGGCAGCCGUUGAUAACUUCCUGUGAGGAGGACUUCAGUAGCAGAUGGAACAUCAAAAAUAGGAGCACGUGCAUGCUGCAGACCCUCAUGCAUGAAAAACAAUGAAUCUGCCGUUUGGGUGAAGCAAGUUUCAUGGCUCGAAAGAGUUGCUGCAAGUUGUUGGCAAUAUUGAAUUAAUGGCACCUGCAAAAGUCAGAAUCUAAGUUCUGUUAUGACAAGAAUGGGCAGUAAAUAGGUUCGUUAAGAAUCAAUAUUCCAGAACCCCAAUGAGACUAAAGUAGCUUAAUUUUCUAAAAUCAUAACUUGAUUAUUGAUGCAAAUCCUCAAUGUAAACACCAAAAUUUAUUCAUCAUAUUUCCAUCCAAGCCAAAGUACAUACUUUACAAUGUUGCAUUCAGUGAAUCAUAAGUGUUAACAGUCAGGUAACCAAGUUAGAUAAAAGUGUAUCUUCAGGACUGUUCAACAAGAGUCAUUUUGUAGGUUCGGUGAAAGGAUUGUUGUUCCAUGGCAGCAGAGAUUGGCAACACCUUUCUAAAAUAUCACCAUGCCAUGGCAGUUGACAUUCUCCUCCACCAACCUUUACAAGCCAAAAUUUUGCAUAGGCAUGUGCUGACAGCUACAAUGACUCAGAAUAACAUGUGUGAAUACCUUUUUGAAAGGCCAUGAUCAACCCAUGUCAAUUAGCAUAGCAAUCCUUGGCCCACUACAAGAAAAUUGGACAAGUAACAGAUACAACCUUAGGAUCAACCUAAAAAUUGUUAGCCAACUACAAGAUAAAGCAUGUUGAUUGCAUGCUUAGGAUUACAACUAACUUUUUCCCAUUUGCCUCCUGCUUUAUAAUUCAAAAAAAAUAUUAAAGAAAUCAUUAAAGGAUGUAGUGAAUCAAACUUCUAUCAAGUGUUUUAAGAACUAUCAACUCCAUGACAUAACAGGUAUUGUGGUUAAUUGAGAGCAAGAAGAGGAAUUAUAAGGUAUUAGGGGAUGGCCAACUCUCCUAGCAAUCUCGAGGCAAAUGAGAGCUACUGGUGCAUCUAAUUCUUAAAGCCACCAAUUGAGUGGCUUGCAAAACAUCACCCUACCCACUGUCUCAUUCCUAGACAGCCUUUUGUGGGCCCUUAUCUUCAGUUCUUCACUACUAACAUGGCCCUUUUUUUAUUUCUUAUUUUUCUGACUUAAUUAAUUCAAACAUUACAAACAGUCUAAUACGUUACAGCAUCAUCAUCUGUUGUUUUUGAGCUACUAAUACAUUAAAAACAGUCUAAGCACCAGCGUUGGGGAUUCGAACAAAAAGAUGUUAGGGUCCAGAACAAGUUAUGUCCGGUACUAGGUUUUCCUAAUCAUCCCCCAAUUAAACGUAUUAGUACAGAGAGUAGUCUACAUUCAUACCAGGAAUUAGAAAGGAAGCUGCUUUCCAUCUACCAGAGCCUAGAAACCACAAAAAGAAGGAUCUCAUCCAGAAACCCAACGCCAAAAGCCAGUUCAGAGCAAGCGACAAAGAAGCACGAAGAGAAGGCAAGUAACCUGUUGGCACCACUUGGCAAGCACAUGAAGGCGGAGCAUCCGCUGCCGGGUCUUCACGAUGAACUUGAGGAGAUCAAUCUUCUUCUCGGAGUCGGAUCGCAGGUCCUCCGGCGUCCGGGACCGCUCCACCAGCUCCUUGAGGGCGAGGUAAGAGUCCUCCGCAGCCCGCCGGACCAGCGCGGAGAACUCCACCGUCUGCUGCCCCAGCUCCGCAGCCAUCGCCCUCCCCUCCGCCUCCUCCGCCGCCGCCGGCGCUCAGUAAUUGAAGCGGAGACCGGCCCCUAGGGUUUCGAUGGCCCUGUCCGAACGCGCGCUUUACAGCGAGGUCGGUCGUCGACGACGGCCAAUUCGCAGGUCCAAUUGAAGCUUCUCGUCGCCCGAUGCCGACGAAGCGACCAAGGAGUGAACCGGAGAUCGAGAGAGCGAGAGAAUGGCGGUUUGAUGUGUGCCGUUUGGGCUCAGGAGAAAUAGGAACAGGAGAAGGGCUGAAGGCGUUGGUCUAAUUUUCGUCAUCAACCACACUGUUUGCGGGCCACAAUGCCAUACCCGCAUAAUCCACCGUCCUUGUCAACCGCGAAUACGAUGGAUUCGCGGGUGGGUCCACGCUAUGGCCAACCACGAUACCAUGGAUUCACUUCUCUCAAGGGUACACGUAUACGUGGAGCCCGCCCAUUGACUCUGUGGCGCUACCGAAGUGGGUAUCACUGUAUCGAACAGUUCAGGUUAAGUCACAGUCAUCGGAAAUCCUCCCGAUUUCAUCAUUUUAAGUCGAGUAUUAAAUAGUCGUACAAUUAAUGAAAUUAAUCUAAAAAUUAAUACUUGAUAUUAUAAUUCCAAAUAUAUCAACCAUAUCAUAGCUAAUCGUUAAGCACUCUGUGACGCCAUCACCUCCGCAUCUGUGGGCUCUUCCCCGUGAUUGGCGAACCAGCGAUGUCUCCCGUUCCCACCGCAACGCUACCCCUUGUUGUGCCGUCGCUACUUCCACCUCCGCCUCCGCCUCCGCCUCCGCCGCCCACCUACGACAGGACCGAUGAUGGAAAGGGGAACGACGGAUCGUCGGGAGAGCAAAGGUAGAGGCGGUGGGCGACCGGGGCGGCGAAGGAAAAGGUAUUUUUGAAAUUACAAAAAUUAGGGUUACUAUAUUAGAAAAAUAAAAAUAUAUAUAGAUUUUAUGGAGAAAAACAAAAAAAAAAUGAAAUUUUCAAAGAAAUCACCCUUUUUAUUUCUUUGAAAAUAUUGUUAAAUUCCCUAUAAAGGGUGGCGAGUUCUUUACCAGAGUUGUCAGUCUUUCCAACAUGAUCUGCUUUCUCAGUUCUUUGACUGAGAAAGAUUGGAUCUCAACUUCUCAGAAACACAUGAACACACAGAGAAUGAGAUGCAUAAUGUGGGGAAUUGUGGCAGAGCAGAAUCACUCCCUCAAACAUCUGUAACAGCCCAUACAGCUUGUAAAGCAAUUAGGGAUGUCAAUUUGUUUUUUGAAUAUAUUUUCAUUAUAGGUAUAAAAUUCGAUCGAAACAAUCAGCUCGGUUCACUAAUUAAAAUGUUUAUAUAUCAAAAAAUAAAUAGAAGUAUUUAUUUUGUUUGAAGAUAAGUUCUUAAAUUUUCAUAACACAUUUGAUUUUAAUUUUAUUUUCUCCUAAAUCAAAAAUAUUUAUUUAGAAUUUGCAUAUCUUUAUUAGCAUUUUUUUUUAAUAUUUAAAAUUAAUAAAUAUGAAAGUUGAUUUGUCAGUCACUAUGGACUGAUAUUUGGUGUUGAAAUUUAUAAGUUGGGAAUUAAAUAUUAAGCAACAAAUUUUCCUUUAAUUGUUUUCUUAUAGUAAUUAAAAUAUGAGAGCUUUUUAAUUGGAUAGGAUGAUAGGCUUUGGAAUUCUUUGUCGCUACAUUUGGAAAAGCCUGUCAUCCAUGUGUCUCCACGUCGAUGGAUCGUUGACCGUAUGGGAGCGAGUUCUUCUAGAUGGACUCGACGGGCCUCUCAUUCUCACCCCCGCCCCCUUUAAACCCGAGCGCCAAUAGAAAUCGAAUCACAGAGAGAGAGAGAGAGGGAUAGAGAGGGAGAGUGUUUUGCGCAGUUGUUUUCGUUGUUCUCCUGCCGAUUCAGUUCCGAGGUACCUCUCCUAAGCCUCUCACAUCGAUCUAGUCUGUUGAUCUCCAUUCUUCUCUCGCUUGUUUUUGUGAUCAGAUCGAUCUGACUGGUUCUACAGGGUAUGUUUACUUCUGGUAAUCGGUUUUCUUCUUUCGAUUCUUCGUCAUUUUCGACCAUGUUCUCGAUCCGUUAAAACUUGUUGCUUGGCAAAUAUGUAUCGGAAUCAAGAAUUCCUGAGCCCUAUUAUAGAAAAAUUAGUGUUUUUUGUAUUUUGUUUCUGGAAUUGAAUCUUUGCUGCUUCUCUGAGAGAGUAAGGAUGCUAUUUUUCGAGCAUUCAAUCUCUCAAAAUCGGUUUUUUUUUGUUUGUCUUGUGGAUCCAGACGGAUACCGAAGAGAGGAAAAAAUUCUUCUUUUCUUUGAUGUUUUGGUUUGACUGGUUCUACAGGGUAUGUUUACUUCUGGUAAUCGGUUUUCUUCUUUCGAUUCUAUGUCAUUUUCGACCAUGUUCUCGAUCCGUUGCAACUUGUUGCUUGGCAAAUAUACAUCGGAAUCAAGAAUUCCUGAUCCCUACUACAGAAAAAUUAGUUUUUUUGUAUUUUGUUUCUGGAAUUGAAUCUUUGAUGCUUCUCUGAGAGAGUAAAGAUGCUCUUUUUCAAACAUUCAGUCUCUCAAAAUCAGUUUUUUUUUUUGUUUGUCUUGUGGAUCAAGACAGAUACCGACGAGAGGAAAAAAAUCUUCUUUUAUUUGAUGUUUUGGUUUGGAUCCGUCAAAUUGCAGAUUUUGUAAGAGUUGCGGGCUAGGUUUAUACAGAGGGAGGAAGGAUGUCUCCGGCUGAAUCAUCCCGUGCGGACAAUGUGUACAUGGCGAAGCUGGCCGAGCAGGCAGAACGCUACGAGGAGAUGGUGGAGUUCAUGGAGAAGGUUGCAAAGACAGUGGACGUCGAGGAGCUCACUGUAGAGGAGCGCAACCUCUUAUCUGUGGCUUACAAGAAUGUCAUCGGGGCUCGCAGGGCCUCAUGGCGCAUCAUCUCCUCGAUCGAGCAGAAGGAAGAGAGCCGUGGGAAUGAGGAUCAUGUUUCCGUGAUCAAGGAAUAUCGUGGCAAGAUCGAGGCUGAACUCAGCAAAAUCUGUGAUGGCAUCCUUAAGCUGCUUGAGUCCCACCUGAUACCCUCUUCCACUGCUGCCGAGUCCAAGGUGUUUUACUUGAAGAUGAAGGGCGAUUACCACAGGUUCUAGAAAAUAACAAAGGAUGACUUCAAUUUGUUUUGUGGGGUGACAUUUUAUUUAUCUGAAGUGCUAAACGUUUAUUGCAAUUAGGUACCUUGCAGAGUUUAAGACUGGAAAUGAAAGGAAGGAGGCUGCAGAGAGUACGCUGGUAGCCUAUAAUUCUGCUCAGGUUUGAUCCUCAUUCUCUUCACAAUGCAGAUUAGCUAAAAUCCCUUAUGGAUGGCUUGACUUUGUUAGAAUUUUCUUGAUAGUCUAGACACAUGACCACUCGAUAACCUACUGAAUGAUUCUGCCUAUCAAGGCAGGUCUACAUUCUUCAUUUUCGUCUAAUAAAACUUAUCGUUUUAUUGUUGUUUCUUUUAAAAUAAUAAUUUUUCACUAAAUUAUCUAUAAAAAUUUUGUAGGAUAUUGCCCUGGCUGAGUUGGCUCCAACUCAUCCUAUUAGGUUGGGGCUGGCUCUUAAUUUCUCAGUGUUCUAUUAUGAAAUUGUGAACUCACCUGAUCGUGCUUGCAGCCUUGCAAAACAGGUUUGACUAUAAUCUUACCUUUUUCUGUACUUGUAUUAUAAUCUUAUUUUGUUGUACUUUUAAAAUCCUUAGAUUUGAAAUGUUGUGCACUAUUUUCUAUGGUUACAAUAGAAGUGUCAGUUUUAUGAUUUGCUGCAUCCUAAGCAUUUAGUGUCUUGAUUCAGUAGUAUGGGUGUCAACUGGCUGAGUCAGGCUGGAGCCCGUUUUGGGAAACAAAGCAAGUCUAAGAUCCUGAAGUUGGGCCUGAACCAGCUUGAAAGAGCUGAGACUUCAUUGUGACCAGGCCUUUGUUAAGGCGUGUAGUAAUUUAUCAAAGUUUUCUAGAAUGCCAAAGCGCUGUCAGUAAAUUACAUGCAGUUUCAAUUCAAGUUAUUUUAUUGAGGAACUUAAAUUUUCAUAAUUUUUUAUGGGUUAAAUAUAGUUACAUACUAUUCACUUAUAUGUCUGGUUCCUGGUAGUUAUAUUAUUAUUAUAUGUUUCAAAAAAUUUUAAAUAUAUUAGUUGUAAUCAGUGACUGCACAAAUUAAAUUAAAGACUGCAAAUUCUUGUAUAUAAUAUUAGCUUUUGAGGUAGUACUAUGUAGUUCAAGAUUUUUGUAAAUUAAUUACAGUUUGUACUUUAGACUAUCAGUUCUAUAACCCUAGGAGUUAGGAGUUAGGAGUUUGGAGUUAGUAGAGAACAGGAAAGAAGGAGAAACAGAGGUUGACCUAGAUAUUCUAUAACCCUAACUGAACUACUUUUGAUAACAUGACCUGGUCAGCUUAUCUAGUCUCCUGUUGAGCUCUAUCUAUAACUAAAGACUCGGUCUACUUGCAACUAACUGCUCUUUCCCAUUUUGGUUCAUAUAUUUCACAUUUCUUUUAGUGAUGCUUGUUUUCUUUUUCAUAAUAUUUUUAUUCCAUCAAUAUCUGUUAUUCAUUCUUAUUUAAAUAGAAUGAAAAAUGAUAAUAUUACCUAUAAGUGCUUCUUUGAGAUUUUUUAAUAAAGAAACGCUACCUAUGUGAGUCGUAGUAGCUGCGUUCAAGGUGCCCGAAUGCAUGUUGUACUGUUGGUGCAUGUAAAUUUGUUUUGGCAAUUCAGUGUUUUCAUUUAGGUAUCAUAAGGAUUGGUUGCAUGUUUAUGUUUGAACAAUUGGGGUGGUAAGAAAUAAUCAUGCUUAAUUAUUAGUCUCGUUGAAGAUGUCCUGCGUACUUUGUCUCGGUGAUUGAUAUUUUCUAAGAUGAGUGUGAACAUAUUCAGAAAAACCUUUCUGAUAUAAUGAUGUGUUCUUGCAAAGGCAGAACUUUUCUUGAAUUAUGGAUGGCUUUUGAUACAUAUGAAAUGAAAGUUUGAAACUAGUGAAGUAUUUUUUAUGCUUGUAGGAAAAGUAACUAUAUUUUAGCUCAAGGGAAAAUCACUAAAACUUGAAUGGAAAUGCUCAAUUUCGGAUAGGGUUGCUGGAACGAAUGCAAAACUGGACAAAGUUUGGCUAAAACCAACUUAUUUAAUCGAUAUAUUUUAGUUUCAGCAAAAAAUCAAACCAUGAUUGUACCCCAGAACCUUUAAUUAUAAAGUACUAGAAAUUUAAUAAUUCAGCCAGAUAUUGGACCUUUAAUAGUCAUGAAGGUGUGAGGUAUUAAGAGCUAUACUAAUUUUGCAGCUUAAAAUUUUGAAAUGCUAAUCACCAUCUCAUAUUAGUAGAUUUUGCUUCAAUUUUCCAGAUGAUGACAAUUAUGCAUUAGUAUUUAUUUCAGAACCAUUUAUAUUUUGUUCUGCCAGCCUUCCAGGCUACCAGGUGAUGAUUUGAUAUUGCUGGUUGCUGAUUUAAAUGGUGGUUUGUCUUUCACAGGCAUUUGACGAGGCUAUUUCAGAGUUGGACACUCUUAGCGAGGAAUCGUACAAGGAUAGCACAUUGAUCAUGCAGCUUCUUCGCGACAACCUGACCUUAUGGACUUCCGACAUCAAUGUCAGUUCUCUAACAAGCUUAUUUUGCUUCCAAUUUAUUUUCCCUUUGUCCGGCACACACCCUUACCGCCUUCCUAAUGUUCUCGGUUGCCAGGAUGAUGUCGGGGACGAGAUCAAAGAAGCCCCAAAACAAGAAUCUGGGGAAGGACAGUGACCAAAAGCAAAGCAUGCCUUCUGAUGGAUACCGCCUUGUGUGUUCUUGAGUUUGUAGUUUCUUUGAUGUAACUGUGGUGUGUUAGAAACAUUCAAGCUUCUUAUUCCAUUGAAGGUUGUCCUGUGGUGUUGAACAAACAAGUGUGCUUUAAAAGGUUCAUAUCGUUCUUUCUACUUGUCAUGGGCUUAGUUGAUUUGCUUGAGUGAGACACCAUUGAAGUUAUAACUCCCUUAUGUUGAGCUUUCAAGUCUUAUUUCACUGUCCUCUCAAAAGCAAGACAUCGACAACAUUUAGCUAUUAUAGUUUAUAGACAUUAUUUUCUUUUAAAAAAAUAAAUAAAAAUAAUAAUAUAUGUACUAUUUAAUUAUUUAUAUGUGCCUCAAGAUUUCUCUUUCCUAUGAAUGUGAUGCUUCUUUGAUCAAUCACUCAGAGGCUGCUGAGAGUCACAAGUGUUCCUACAGGCAGAAUUCAAUGUGGUAGGAAGACAAAGAAAUGUUCAAUACUAAUAAUUCUUGGUCAAGUCAAUCUUUCCCACAAGUAGAAAAGAUGGGAAGACCAAAGACCGAUAUGUCAUUGGUGGCAGCACCAAGAAAUAUGUCUCUCUAUUUUGUUGCAUAUGGUCCUCUAAGUUACUUUGGAAUCACAGGUGUUUGAUAAGUAUUUUAAUUGUAAUAUUAUACAAUUCGAAAUAUAUUUUGUUUCAUAAAAUUUGGGACAUAGACACACAUCACUGAUGAAUAUUGUUUUUGGAUUGGUAAUUGUUUUUGGAUUUAUUAAAUUAUUAUACUUGGAAGAUGAGAAAUUAAGUAUAUAAAUUUUUGAAGUAAUAACGUUUUUAUUCUAUAAAUAACUUAUUUAUUUUUAAGUUUCAAUAAGAGAAAAUGAGAGAUAGCUCUUUAAUUGCUCAAAGGAUUUUUGUCUAGUAGACGUAAAGACGAUGAGAAAAUUGUUUGUGUUUAUAUCAAUAUACGUAUAAAGGGAUUUAUAAGCUUAUUAUUAGGGAUCAAGAAGGCUUCAAAAUUAAGAGAUAAAUCUCAAAUAUCAACAUCAAAGAACAUAUUUGAGUUAAUAAAAGAUUUACGUGGUUUCGACAUUCCUAUCUAUAUUUAUAGAGAAUAUCAAAUUCACCGCUAUAUAGAUCGAUUAUAAGUAAUCUUAGGGUUAAUCGAACUCAAGCACAAAUCCCUUUUAUACCAUCUUAUAUAAAUUCUUUAAAAAAAUUAUUAUUAUUUCUCUCAUCCUUUUGAGAUAAAAAAAACAUUCAAAGUAUUUCUCAUAUUUUAUUUUUUGAAGUUUCUUUCCUUCACAAAGAAAGUCUUUUUAUACUAUGAUUCAUUUUCCUCAAAGUACACUACCUCCAUAAAUCCAAAAACACUUAUCAACUCAACACUUAUAAUUUAUUCUCACAUGAAAAAUGAGUUUUUAUUUUCUUAGACGUAGAUACGAUACACCGAAUCACAUAAGUUUUGUACUAGUUUAUCUUUAUAUUUAUAUUUUGUUAUUGGUUCUUUGGAUUAUUCUUUUGGUAUGGAUGUGUUCUCCCUCUCCUAAAGUUCAAUGAACAUGUCAUAUAUAUUUUCGUGAUUUGUCUUAAUAACAACAUGUAGCUUAACUGAUCCACAUGAUGAUCAUAUUUAUUGAUUUCCAUAGUGAAGAAACACAUACAUCCUUCUAUCUUAUUCUACACAUGAAUUGAUGGCCCAAUAAACAAAAUAUUCAAGUCAUUUGUGUCUCAAAUCUCUCAAAGUGUAUAUGUUGUAGUAACUCUUCAUUCGUCAAUUCUCAAAAGCUUAGAAGAACGAGCGAUGACUACUCGUUGGAAGACAGGGAGAAGACGUGAGGUUUGGUGGACUCAUUCGAGCUCUAUCUUUCUCAUCUACACAUGUUGUUGAAAGAAGGUGGGAACAAAUACGAGAAAAAUUAGGGGAAGUCUAUAUUUCGUUGUCGUUGAUUGGCACAUGAAACACAAAAGUCACAUUGGUCAUAGCUAAGAAUGAUUCUUCCUAUGACACCAACAAAGAUAUAUGAAUCCAAACCUAGGUGAUCAUGUUUGACAUGGUCCCAUAUGCAUCCUUUUAUGAAUGGUCUAUGUCAAUGAAAAGUUUGGUCAGAUGGAAGUAGAUUGGUUCUUCCUACAUGGGACAUAUAAUUCUACAAGAUAUGGAUUAAAGAAUCAUUUUAUGAUUAUGUUGAGACUCUCCUAUUGAAUUAUUCUAAACCCUCCUAUCGACUAUGAACAUAAUGUGUGAAUAAUUAGAUACACAGAUAUACAGAUAAGUAGAUACAUGAUAUGUAAUUAUUUAGAUAUACAGAAACGCAGAUGAGUAGAUACGUGACAUUAUUGAGAGAUUAACCUUUCUAGUUCUUCGUUCACAGGAGCUUUGUCUUCCUCCAUAGGAGACAUGAAGGUUGGAGAAAACUGGUCAAUUGACUGUGAGGGAGAAGAGAAGUCAAAGGAAAGCAUGACCAAAACUUGGCACUUUCCUUGUGAAAGGAAUCAGCACAUUGGCAUCACCAUUUCCUUACGUGACAUAUUGGACUGUAAGAAACUUCAAAUGAACCUUCAUGAAACCCUGCUUUGACCGUCGUGCGUUCGAUCCAAUCAUGCAUGGAGUUGCACCGAAGACGUCGUCUCACGUACAUGCCAACUGCGAUCUCGUGGUCUUCACUGCAGCAGUAAAACACCGCCAUAGAGCUUCCCAGCAAUUUCGCUUCAUUUCAAUUCCUUGACCAAACAACUUCUCCUAUAUAUUGCUUCUCAUCUCCAUGAAGAAGAAGAAGAAGAAGUUGUAGUAGUAGCAGCAGCUCCAAGAAGAAGAGAGAUGGGGAAUGGCUUGAGCGGGAAGAAGCGAACCAUAACGGUGAUGAAGAUAGACGGCACCACCUUGAAGCUGAAGGCUCCGGUCCAGGCCGAGGAUCUGCUCCGAGACUACCGGGGCUACGACCUCCUCGAGUCCGAGGCGGUGAAGCAGCUCGGGGUUGGAGCCCGGCCGCUUGCUCCCGACGCCCCGUUGCACCCCGGGAAGCUGUACUUUCUCGUGCAGCUCCCCCGGGCGCCGGAGCAGCGAGCCCCGCGGAGGGCCUGGUCCGGGGGGCUGCCCGUGAGCGCCAGAGAGCGGCUGGAGAACCUCGCGUUUACCCGCCGGACCAUGUCGGACGUCUCGGUCGCCGGUAGGCCGUCGCGGGUCGAGGCGGAGGAGGGUAGCGAUGGCACGGUCCGCCUCAGGUUGAGGAUUCCGAAGGCCGAGAUGGAGAAGCUGUUGCAGGAAAGCAAGAACGACACUGAGGCGGCGGAGAAGAUUAUGGUGCUGUGUGUGGCGAAGAAUGGUGGCGCGCCGAAGCUGCCGGCGAUGGAAACUGGCCAGAAGGAGGUAAUAAUCUCAUUGAAUUUGCCGAAAGAAGUGCAUAGAUGGAUCAUAGUUACUUAGCCUGUCUUCUUUCUCAUUGGCUAUUCUUGUAGAAGCGAGCAAGGUUUGCUGCCAUGCCAGCUGAGAUUAUUGCUUAACGAAGAAGCAAGUGAAGGGGAAGCAGAUCACCAGGUCAUGGUUUCCAAUUGUGGAGACUGAAACUUGUGGGUGGAACCUGAGAAGCUGCUGAUGGUUUCCAAUUCCUACCAAAUUUAUAGCUUUCAUUUUUAUUCUUCUGGUUAUUUGAUUCUUUAUUAGUGCCCAAAUAAAUGUAAUCUCUAUUUCUAUCAACAACAAGACUUGCCUUUUCUCUCCACCGUGCUCUACUGUCAUGGCACUUCUCUUCUCGGUACGUAUGAAUGUAACUCCCCACAGCUGAGAGAGAGAGAGAGAGAGAGAGAGAGAGAGAGAGCCAUAUUCCANNNNNNNNNNNNNNNNNNNNNNNNNNNNNNNNNNNNNNNNNNNNNNNNNNNNNNNNNNNNNNNNNNNNNNNNNNNNNNNNNNNNNNNNNNNNNNNNNNNNNNNNNNNNNNNNNNNNNNNNNNNNNNNNNNNNNNNNNNNNNNNNNNNNNNNNNNNNNNNNNNNNNNNNNNNNNNNNNNNNNNNNNNNNNNNNNNNNNNNNNNNNNNNNNNNNNNNNNNNNNNNNNNNNNNNNNNNNNNNNNNNNNNNNNNNNNNNNNNNNNNNNNNNNNNNNNNNNNNNNNNNNNNNNNNNNNNNNNNNNNNNNNNNNNNNNNNNNNNNNNNNNNNNNNNNNNNNNNNNNNNNNNNNNNNNNNNNNNNNNNNNNNNNNNNNNNNNNNNNNNNNNNNNNNNNNNNNNNNNNNNNNNNNNNNNNNNNNNNNNNNNNNNNNNNNNNNNNNNNNNNNNNNNNNNNNNNNNNNNNNNNNNNNNNNNNNNNNNNNNNNNNNNNNNNNNNNNNNNNNNNNNNNNNNNNNNNNNNNNNNNNNNNNNNNNNNNNNNNNNNNNNNNNNNNNNNNNNNNNNNNNNNNNNNNNNNNNNNNNNNNNNNNNNNNNNNNNNNNNNNNNNNNNNNNNNNNNNNNNNNNNNNNNNNNNNNNNNNNNNNNNNNNNNNNNNNNNNNNNNNNNNNNNNNNNNNNNNNNNNNNNNNNNNNNNNNNNNNNNNNNNNNNNNNNNNNNNNNNNNNNNNNNNNNNNNNNNNNNNNNNNNNNNNNNNNNNNNNNNNNNNNNNNNNNNNNNNNNNNNNNNNNNNNNNNNNNNNNNNNNNNNNNNNNNNNNNNNNNNNNNNNNNNNNNNNNNNNNNNNNNNNNNNNNNNNNNNNNNNNNNNNNNNNNNNNNNNNNNNNNNNNNNNNNNNNNNNNNNNNNNNNNNNNNNNNNNNNNNNNNNNNNNNNNNNNNNNNNNNNNNNNNNNNNNNNNNNNNNNNNNNNNNNNNNNNNNNNNNNNNNNNNNNNNNNNNNNNNNNNNNNNNNNNNNNNNNNNNNNNNNNNNNNNNNNNNNNNNNNNNNNNNNNNNNNNNNNNNNNNNNNNNNNNNNNNNNNNNNNNNNNNNNNNNNNNNNNNNNNNNNNNNNNNNNNNNNNNNNNNNNNNNNNNNNNNNNNNNNNNNNNNNNNNNNNNNNNNNNNNNNNNNNNNNNNNNNNNNNNNNNNNNNNNNNNNNNNNNNNNNNNNNNNNNNNNNNNNNNNNNNNNNNNNNNNNNNNNNNNNNNNNNNNNNNNNNNNNNNNNNNNNNNNNNNNNNNNNNNNNNNNNNNNNNNNNNNNNNNNNNNNNNNNNNNNNNNNNNNNNNNNNNNNNNNNNNNNNNNNNNNNNNNNNNNNNNNNNNNNNNNNNNNNNNNNNNNNNNNNNNNNNNNNNNNNNNNNNNNNNNNNNNNNNNNNNNNNNNNNNNNNNNNNNNNNNNNNNNNNNNNNNNNNNNNNNNNNNNNNNNNNNNNNNNNNNNNNNNNNNNNNNNNNNNNNNNNNNNNNNNNNNNNNNNNNNNNNNNNNNNNNNNNNNNNNNNNNNNNNNNNNNNNNNNNNNNNNNNNNNNNNNNNNNNNNNNNNNNNNNNNNNNNNNNNNNNNNNNNNNNNNNNNNNNNNNNNNNNNNNNNNNNNNNNNNNNNNNNNNNNNNNNNNNNNNNNNNNNNNNNNNNNNNNNNNNNNNNNNNNNNNNNNNNNNNNNNNNNNNNNNNNNNNNNNNNNNNNNNNNNNNNNNNNNNNNNNNNNNNNNNNNNNNNNNNNNNNNNNNNNNNNNNNNNNNNNNNNNNNNNNNNNNNNNNNNNNNNNNNNNNNNNNNNNNNNNNNNNNNNNNNNNNNNNNNNNNNNNNNNNNNNNNNNNNNNNNNNNNNNNNNNNNNNNNNNNNNNNNNNNNNNNNNNNNNNNNNNNNNNNNNNNNNNNNNNNNNNNNNNNNNNNNNNNNNNNNNNNNNNNNNNNNNNNNNNNNNNNNNNNNNNNNNNNNNNNNNNNNNNNNNNNNNNNNNNNNNNNNNNNNNNNNNNNNNNNNNNNNNNNNNNNNNNNNNNNNNNNNNNNNNGAAGCCACCAACAGUGUAGGGGAGAUCACCGUCAGGUGUUUUAUCCAUGCCAAGCCUUAAUUCCAUAGCAAAUGCAUCUUUACUUUGAAGUUACUAAAAGACGUAGAAAAAUAAGAUGAUAAUGCAGGACAUGACCUUCUCAGAAUUAGAAGCCACCUACAGUAUAGGUGAGAUCACCAUCAGGUGUUUUAUCCAUGCCAAGCCUUGUCAAAUGUGCAGUCCUUCAUUUAAACCUCAUCUUCGCUCUCUAUUCGACCUUAAAAUUAUGCUGAAAUUAUGUGCAUCAAAGGAAAUGACUUGUGGUUUCUGUACCAUAUGACUUGAUUGUUUACACCAAAUAUAUGACCUUACAAACAUGUUAAGACUGGUUCUCUUGUAGCACAUUAAUUCUAGAUGCCUUAAACCUUAUGCUCUUUUCAUGUUUGUACAUCAAAGAUUAAAAUAUUUCUUCUUUCUAUGUUUGUGUAUGUGGCUUAGAGAGAGAGAGAGAGAGGAGGAGGAAGAUAAUAACCCUUGGGAGAGAAACGGACCACAAAGCAUGCAGAAAGCUUGUUAUAGGAGAUUAGCAGCUUUGCCUGCUGCUUAUCUAUUAAUCAUCUGCUUUUGUGCAUUUAUGUUCAUAUAACCAUUGCAUUAGGCUCCUUCUUAUGUAAAUGCAAUCAACUUUUAUCUCAAGUUCAGCCCAUGUGAAUGGCUGAUUCCAUAUCUUUCUUGCAAUUCAGACCCUAUUUCUGUGGUUAAUGACAUUCAAACAAAGCUAUUUCUUGAUCUCAAUCGAGGAUAUGAAGACUUGAUGGCUCAUAUUGUGAUCCUAACUCUGAAAGUACAGUAGAGAAGGUGGAGAGCAAGAAAGGAAGAAUCUGGUCUAAGAUUAGCAUGACUGUUAUAUGUUGUCAUACUUCAAGAAGCAGAAGGAGAAGAAGCAGCAGCAGCAGCUGAGCUUUACCAAUUGUAUUCUUCAAGGUCGAACAGACAACGAACACAAGGUCGAGAGCACAAGGACUGCUCACCUGACACAAAGCAUGGCAUGGACGUCACUCACCCUAUGCGUGUGCAUGGAGUUUUCUGCCGUGACCCCCACCAAGCGUCAGACAUAGAAGACACUGUACAUGCAACGGAAGGCCUCUGGUGACACAUGAAAGCUUCAUGGAGUGGUUUACACAUAGCUCAAAGAUCAAAGGAAAAGGGAUCGAUCAUAUAUAUGGGUGCUUCCGGCUUGCUAUGAGAACAAGAUGGCUAUGUUGACUUGCGGUUCAGGUUCCCCUGCAUGUGAUCCAUAACAACAACAACCCAUCUACUCCAAGGAGAAGAAGGGCAAUGAUGCUGGAACAGUGAAAGAAGGAAGCCAGCUGAUAUGAAGAAGACACCAUGAACCAGAUGAUUAGAGAAGUUAGAUGUGCUCGUGGACAUUUGAACCACUGCUUAAUCACACACACUCAUUCACCUCUCCUUCUUCCAUCUACCAAACCAGCCUGUUGUGUUCCUAUAUGGAAACUGUAUCUGUGUCACUUCCAUGUUCUCCCCUAAAAUAUCUUAGUGUAUGAAAGGGACAUCUUUUGUAUAUAGAUAGAAUCUCCCCUCUGAUAAAUAUUUUGAUUUGAUUUAUUAGAAAUCUUAAAAGUUUACUGAAAUACCAGAUAAAAUAGGGGGGAAUAUAUACAUGAUUCUAACUCAUAACCUUUUCUAGCACUGUAAUUAAGAUUUUGAUUGAGCAAUUAGUAAUUCUAAAAGUUUAAGUCAUUAGGAAAAAAAUAAAUCUGUAUUAAACUCAAACACCUUCUGUGUAACACCCCUAAUUAGUCCCACAUCGAAAGUGGACAGGAUUAAGAUUGACUUAUAAGAGUCUGAUGAGUGUACUACUAUCAACUUUAGCUUAAGCAUUUUGGUCAGUGGUUUAGACUAAACGAAGUUGAUAGGUCAGUUAGCCCAUCAGGCUCAAGUCAUUAUAUUUGGUAUCAAAGCCGAUCUAGCAUUUGGGCAUGGUGAGGGAGCUCGAGUAGGAAAGGGCUACCCGUAGACGGAGUUAGAGGACUCGUCAAUUGAAGAGGUCUUAUCAAUAAAAUUUGCAUUUAUCCGAGAUCUAGGCAUAAUUAACAAUCCAUUCUAAUUCUAUAAUUCUUUUCAUUACCCCGAGGGGUAAAUGAUCUCGCAAACUAAAGGAAUUGUACAGUACGAAAUAACAUAAAAACAGACUAAUUCUAAAAAAAGAUGUGUACCUUUUGUUCAAAUUAUCCCUUUUUGUUUGGAUUGGACAAGGAGAGAUAGGAAAUAUUGGAGGAUUUCAUUCCAAUUUCAUAGUGGAUUCUGAUAACUCGAGAAGUUUUGAUUUGGUUAUAAUCCAAAGAGGAAAAAGAAUGAAAUAAGCAUUAAAAAAAAAAUAGAGUAGAGUAAGGUUG
rnacentral:lncRNA from 1 species